rnacentral:lncRNA from 1 species
GCUCUGUUUGUUUGGUAUGUAUUGCGGUGUUAAUGUUAUUGUCUGUUGUACAAUGGAUGGUCUUGCUUGGUACUGUUGUUGGAGAGCUGCAGUGUUUUGAUCAACACCUCUAUCCUUAGCUUUCAAGUUAAGUUGAUUUUAUACAACACUUGUUUAAUUAAAAACUUGUAAUAUUCUUACUACUUUGAUAAAAAAAUAUUACGAUUAAAGCAUUAAUGGCACCAUAAUACGAAAUGAAUCUUAAGUGGUCAUUAUAGAUUUUAAGAUAGAGUUUUAAGUGAUUACCAGAUACUUUAGCUGCUGAACCGCCACAUCAUGGUUGCCACACAACAAUUUCAAACAGAGCCUAAAUAACUUCAUUGCAAAACAGUUAAAUGAAUCUAACUUAGUUUCGUCGUUUGAUUUUCAGCUGUUUUUAACAAGGAAGAUGAUAUUGGAACCUACACUAUCAAAGCGGUUGAUGAUCCGAGAACCUUGAACAAAAACUUUUACAUUCAGCCUCCCGGUAAUAUUUACUCAUUCAAUGAUCUUGUGUCUCUGUGGGAGAGAAAGAUUGGUAAAACCCUCGAAAAGGAGUAUGUUUCAGAGGAGCAGCUCCUAAAGAAUAUUCAAGGUUGGUUAAAACUCUCUUUUUUAAAUGUAUUAAAGAGAGCCGUAUAUUCUCUGCCGUAAAUGUUAUUGAUCCUGUCUUCUCCAAAAUGUUGCAGAAGCUGCACCUCCACACAAUGUGAUAUUAUCAAUUUAUCACUCUGCUUUCGUGAAGGGAGUUCAAACCAACUUCAAGAUUGAACCAUCUUUUGGAGUUGAAGCCUCGCAGCUUUAUCCUGAUGUCAAGUACACUACAGUUGAUGAGUACCUCAAUCAGUUUGUGUAACCCUUCUCUGUUUCCAGCUGCAGCUUGCAGGAUCUUGGACUCUUGGUAAAUAAAUAAUUGGCUUGUUGCCAUCUUUGGUUUUAUAUGUAAAAAUUAUGGUUGUUGGCCUUACUUUCUUCUGGUUGUCCAUGGAAUUUGUUAGACCAUAUUAUGUUUGCUAUGUCAGUGAUCAAAUGAAGUAGGCCAUGUACUUGAUUUGAGAGUAGUAGUUAUAAAGCCAUCAUGAUCAGGUGGGUGCGUGGGUUGGGCUUCUAUUAGGGUGCUUGUGUUGGGCUUCAGGGGCUUGUGAUAUGGCUUCGACAGCCCCUAACGGGCAGUCAUUAUAAAAAUAAUUAUAGAGUUACAAAUCUAUGUAAAAAGCAAAAAUUAAAAGUAAUUUAUCAAUAAAAAUAAUUAAAAUUAAUAAAAAGUAGGUAUGAUAUUUCAGAAAUUAAAUUAAAGAUAGUAUUCUAAAGAGUUGGAUAAUCCUCCAACUAAACUAAAGAUCUAGUACAUUUGAGAGCAAAUUUAAUUAAAGAAAAGGAUAAGGAAAAACAAUAGAAUAAUAAUAUUAAAAAUUGCAAAUCUUGGUCUUUUUUUUUUACGAUGAUGUUGAAUUCUUAUAAAUUUAAUCUUAUCUAUAGAAUUAUUUAGUUACUGUAUGUCAAAAUUUCCUAUAAAGAUGAAGAAAAAUUAUAUUAGGAGAAGAUCCAAAUCCGUUUAACUGAUGCAUCAUCAACAACAUGAGUACAACAUUUUCGAAUAAACAAAAGAAACUCGUUUUAUGUGCGAACCAGUUCCAAAAUAAAGAGCAGACUAUUGGAAGGAGACAAAUACUACAAGAAGAACAAAACAUUCUACAGUUCCUACAUGAGCCCGCAACAAUUAAUUAUUAACUCGACAUUCAUUACACUUUUUCUUUAAUUUGACAAAGAAACCAAAAAUAAGAUAAAAUUGACUAAGAAAUAAAAAAAUGACCAAAAUCUUUUUGAAGUUUUGCCAGUUCAGCCAUGCACGCUUAUCUUUAUUCACUUGUUUCCUUUCUUUCCUUUCUUUCCUUUCUUUGCUGAAGCCUUCACAGAUCCUUUACCUUUCUGAGCCUUGCCAAUUUUCCCCUUCUUCAAACCACCUGGCCUUGCUGGAUCCACGUGUCCUUGCAUCCUUUUUCAUUCGUGGAUCAACAAGAAUCUUCCCCUUUCCAGCUCUCUCUUGAACUCCUUUCUUUGGGACCAGUAUUCUUUUGUCGGCCUUUUGGGUAUAGUUGUCUUGUAUAAUUGUUCAAUUUGAUUCCUCUUCGAACGAUCAGAGAUGUCCGCUUAGUCUGAUAUGACAUUUGCCUUCUUGCGAACCUUCUCAAGAUUUCGCAUGGCAACCCGUAUCUUUCGAGCUUUGGUCUUAGCCACCUUCUUGGCAGUAUGGGUGGGCGAUUCGGUUUUGGGAUAAACUUUUGGUUUCGUAUCGGUUUAGAUUAAAAAAUAAUAUAAAAAAAUAUUUAGAUUUUAAGGGAAAAAAUCCGAACCGAGACUCACCUAUCGAUUUCGGCUCGGUUUCAGUUCAGUUUUGAUUCUCCUAAUAGUUUUAUUUUGCCUUAUUGACUUCCGGUCAAUGACACUUUUGAAAAAUUUACAAAAAAAAAAUAAAAAAUGGCCAUAACAAAAUUUCUAUAUGCAAAUAUUUCCUAAACAUUAGGCUAUACUAAAUUUUUUUAAAAGGUAGGGAUCCAAACGAUAUUAUCCCUCUACUUCAUCUUCAACCUUCGUCAUUAGGGAUGGCAAAAUCCGAGUUCGGGUCCGGGUUUAGCCAUUCGGGAUCCGGACCCGGAUGAAUAUUUUCUGUACCAGACCCGAAAAUAAACCCGCAUUUUUCCACUUCGAGUCCGGUACGGGUUCAACCCGAAAAAAUUCGGGUUCCCUGACUGCGGGUUUCCAACUCGGAUUGAUGAAUCCAAUUGAAAAAAAAAAACUAAAUUCAACUAAAAAAAUCAAAUAGAAAUACAUAUCCAGGAUUUUAGCAAAUCAAAGAAAAAUUAUUUCAUCUGGAAACUAAUUAACAAAAACAACAAUUUUGUUUGGCUGCCCAGAAUCAGCAACCCAAUGUGGCGGCUCGUUCAAAACAUUAGUGUUUUCAACAGAUUUUGGGGUAGGAAAAGCCAAACCUAUCUAGAACAAUGAAUUUGUAUUUUUGGGGGAGAUGAGGUACCUCACUGGUUUGUUGUGUGCGGUGCAGUGUAUCUUAAAUUUGGGGGAUGUGAGAAGGGGAGAGGGAGUGGUAAUAAUGGUGAAAGGUCAAAACCAAUAGAGAUGUCCUUCAAAAUGAGCUUCACACCUGUAAAACAGUGAAAUAAAGGUUAGAGGUGAAGCUGGGGUAUCCCGGUGUUCACACUCCGACGCUCAAGUUAGCAAACUCAAGCUUUUAUGACAAAGAGAACUGGCUAGCCCUCUGUAAAUUAGGGUUUAAGGUUCAAGGAAACCUAUUUUUUGGAAUGUGAGUGUUAAUGGUGAGUGAGAGACCUCUCGGAGAAUGAAACUUAUGCGCCUUUAUAUAUGGAGUACCUCAGCUGCCACGUGACGUACCCUUUUUGGCUAACGUCAUUUUUCCUUUUUAUGAUUUUUGGGUCGUUAUGUUCAUGUUCGCCGGGUAUCUCAUCUUUUAGAAACGUGGCGCGCGCUGGAGAGUGGUCCAGGGUACCUCUGCAGUAGCUGUCGGGUAGGCGGCUGAGGACCACUGUCCUUGGGACAGUGUCCUUCACUUUUGGUAAAGGUGACAUGCGGUUGUCCCCCCUUUUAACACGACAUUUUUUAUUCCUAAUUAUGACAAAAUCAAAUAAUAUCUUUUAAGAGAUGGAGACGUUUCUCAUGGUGGAUAUUUUCGGAAGAUUCUCUUGCAUCUGAUCAGCCGGGUUCCUCUAAUUACGCAGGGUACCUCAAUUUAUGUGGGGUACCUCUAAUUUUAUGGGGUACCUCUAUUUGCGCAGGGUACCUUGAAUCAUGCCAAGUACCUUAGAUUAUGCGGAGUACCUCUAAUUGUGCGGGAUACCUCUAUUGCGCUAGGUACCUUGAAUCAUGCCGGGUACCUCAGAUUGUGCGGGGUAUCUCUAUUUGCGCAGGGUACCUUGAAUCAUGCUGGGCACCUCAGAUUGUGCGGGGUACCUUGAGUCAUGCGAGGUACCUCUAAUCAGGCCAGGUACCCUCUAAUUGUGCUGAGUACCUAUAAUCAUGCAGGGUACCUCUAAUUAGGCCGGGUACCUCUAAUCAGGCCGGGUACCUUAGAUUGUGCGGGGUACCUCUAUUUGCGCAGAGUACCUUGAAUCAUGCCGGGUAUCUCAGAUUGUGCGGGGUACCUCAAAUUGUGUGGGGUACUUCUAAUCGUGCGGGGUACCUCUAAUCAUGUCGGGUACCUCGGAUUGCACUGAAGUUAUUCCAUUCGUUGACACGUGGCGUUAUGCUAUCUUUCUUAUUUUUCCCCCAAACAACAUCCCUCUAGUUUCUUUUGGCAAGAAGUUUUGGAGGCAAAAGAAACUUACAUAAAAAGUAGAAGCGACACGUGGCGAUAUGAUGUUUAGCUCGAUGGGUAACUAAAUAGAGGGCGCCUUUAGGGGUACCCUGAGAACCCAAAAAGGGAAGAUGGGCUCCAUUUCCUCGGAAAUGGCUACCACUUUGGACAUGUUGGAAAGGAUAGAGCUAAUUGAUCAAAAAAAUUUCAUCUAUUUCUGGGGAAGAACACCAAAUACGGGUAGAGGGUAUCGUUAGGGUACCCCACCAUUAUCCAUAGUUUGUUUUCUAGUGACUGACAUGUAUAAAUCGCUCUGGUGAAGGCUUCAAUACAUUCUUUGGGCAUUUAAGAAGCAAUUAUUUGAUUAUCUCGGGAUCCACCUUAUUUAAGGGUAUAUUUCCUUCAUGUACUUUGAAGACAAAAAUAAAAUCACAGGGCUUUCUUCCUUGUAACUUCAGAGGUACCCUCGACAGAAGAAUAUAGUCGACAAUGCUUUUAAGCGUAUCAUGAUCGAGGAAUGGAGUGCUGAUCUGGGGUUGGUGGUGCCAAGAGUGGAGAAGAUGGUAGAUGAACCGGCUAUCUUGAAGGCGAUUAACGAUAGCGGGGCUCUCAACACAUCUUGGUCUGAAGGGGUAAUGCAAAUAAGUUUACGUUGAUUGGAUAUUCAGAAGAAGUAAUACGCCAUUAAAAGCAACAAGUUUUCCAAAAAGCCAACAAAGACAGACACCACCACACCACCCCGCACUGGAUGAAAAACGAUGAAAGCAUGAUAAGUGGCAUCGAGUAAGCCACGUUCUCUCUCUCUCUCUCACUCGCACUCGCACUCGCACUCGCACUCGCACUCGCACACACUGUUACUAAGGUAGUGUUUACUUUCUGGAGUGGGAGUGUGGAGUGUGGAUUCCUCCCACUCCAGUGUUUACUUACCUUAAAAAUGGGGAGAGUGGGAGUGGGAAUCCGUGGGUCCCACCUAAAUUUGGAGUGGGGAGUGGGAUUCCCACUCCCAUUGGGGGAGGUGGGAGUGGGAAUCCACUCCCCCCUCUUCCCAUUUUAUCCUUAUAAAAUUAAAAUAAAUAAAUAAUAUUUAAUAAAAUAAAUAAAUAAUAUUUAAUAAAAUAAAUAAAUAAUAUUUAAUAAAAUAAAUAAUAUUUAAUAAAAUAAAUAAUAUUUAAUAAAAUAAAUAAUAUUUCAUAAAAUAAAUAAUAUCAUAUUUAUUAAAAAUAAUAAUUAUAUCAUAUUUAUUUUAUUAAAUUUAAUAAAAUAAAUAAAUAUUAUAUUUAAAUUAAUAAUAUUAAACAUUAAUUUUAAUAAAUAUUAAUUAUUUAUUUAAUUAAUAAUAAUAAAUAUUUUAUUCUAAAAAAUAUUAAUUUUGUACUAUAUUAUCAAUAAUAAUAUUUCAUUUGUGUUGCUAUUAUUAAUAAUUUUUAUUCACAUAAUUUAAAUUAAAAUUAAUAAAAAAUUAUGAUUUACAUAAUUAAGAAUAUUAGUAAUUAUUAUUAAUUUAUAAAUAUAAUAAAAUAUUUAUUUUAUUUUCCAAAUAUAUUUUUUAUUAAUUUUUUAAUUACAAAUUAUAAUUCUGUACAUAAGGAUAAAAUUGUAAUUUAAAACAAUUUACUCUCAAUCCAAGACAAAGUAAACAAAUAAUUAGGAUUCUAAUUGACAAUCCAUACUUUCAUUUAGUCUAAGUAAACACCCUACUCCCACUCCCACUCCACACUCCUAAUCCAAGGAUUCCCACUCCUCAGGAUUCCCACUCCAAUCCAAAAAGUAAACGCAGCAUAAAAUGACCAAAAAUAAGAUUCCCCUCAAAAUAUUUUCAAGUAUCGUUCUUGAAAGUGGCGGCGGCUGAUGAUGAUGAACACAGCCGCGAUUGCGAUUGGCGAAGGCGGCGUUCAGCCCGUAUCACAGAUAGUUAUCGGUCGCGGCAGAAAAGAUAAUGAAACGACGGUUGAUGAUGAUGAUGAUGAUGUUGAACAGCCGCAAAUAUGGGUAAGUGAUGCGACAAUGAUUUGAUUUGAUGAAGAUGAGCUGAAGAUGGAAUAAGAGAGGAAAUGUUUGUGCGGCUGGGAAAGUGUAAUGAGCUGCUAGGGCACCAUUUGGGUUUUUUUGCUUUCCUAUUUAUAUUAAAAAUAAUUUUUAAAAAUUAAUAUAUAUCCGGGUUCGGGUUUUGGAUGUACGGGUUUACCUAGACCCGGACACAUGCGGAUUCAGCAGCACCGACCACCCACAGACUUGGAUUCGAUUGCAAAGUUGGGACUUAGGAUUUGGGUUUGUGGCUGCUGAAACAGAAAGUGAGAGAGUAGAAAGUAGAGACUGAGAGUGGUGCAAACAUGUGUAAUUUUGUGUGUGUGUCUAUAUAUAUAUAUAUAAUGUGAAAUUACAAAAAUGCCAUUAUAUCAGUUCAAUUCGAAUUUUGUAACUUGUGAUCCAAAAACUGAACCAAACCGAACCAUUUGGUUUGGUUUUUAUAUAUUCAGGUUUUUAAUUUAAAAAAACUAAAUUGAAAUUGAAAGAACUAAACCGAACCGAAUUUUUUUUUUUUUUGUUUCGGUUCAAUUAUGCCCAUCCCUACUUAGUAGGCUGGGCAUCAAUUUCUUUGAAUUGUGCUUUCAUUGCAGUAAUCUCCUCCUUGGUAAUAGGUUUAAUUGCUUGCUGAUGCCUCCUUUCCUCUAGUAACAACUAGUCUAACAAGCCAUCAUCGUCAAACAUGUACCUAUUAUAAGCAUCAUCCAGAAUUUGCUCUCUUUGCUUUUUGCUUAGUGUCUUCUUUGCACAAGCUAUUAUCUCAGCUUUUGUAUCAAUAUCUUUAUCUUUUGAUUCACCAGAGGAUGAAUCAUCACCGGAAUAGAGUGGUGAAGGCCCCAUAGAUUAGUGUGAUCAAGUUCUAGUGUAGUUUUGGUUUUGAUUUCAGUAUUAGGAAAAUGAAGCCUAUGAAAUUUACUAAGCUAACAUGCUUCACAAAAGUGCUUUAAUACUUGAAGAGGAUAAAUGAGGAUAAAUAAAUUUAAAUAUACAUUAGAUUUUGAGGGUUGGGAUGUCAAAACUUUUGGUGAAAAAGAGUUAGUACAAGCAUUUUUAUUGAGAUUGAAAACAUUUCUUAAGAUGAUCAAUACUAGUUACAAAAUUGGAAUGAAAAAAAAAGGCAACAUAGACAAAGGUUUGUUUAUUUGAUUGUAAGAUAGAAAAGACUUGUAUUUAGGUUGUGGAAAGGAUUUGAGCAGCAAUUUAUACAACCUUUUCUCAGCAAAACCUUCCUCUUCAAUGAAUCCUUCACAAAACAAAUAGAUCCAAGAAAUUCGACAAAUAAAUUGUUGUCAAUGGUAAGUUUUGAAAUGCUCAAUAGAUUCUUUGUAAUGGAUGGAACAAACAGUACAUCCUUAAGUAAAAUAUGUCUUAUAUUAUCUUUUUUUAAUUCUUUUUUAAAAAAUAAGUGAAUAAUAGUAUGUCAAUCUCAAAUAUCAAUAUGUACAAUUUUUAUUUGUGUAAGAAUUUGCAUCCAAUAAUCAUCAAUACAUAAUUGUCUUUUAAUUGAAUGGUUCUCACCUCCCUUCCAAACUUUGAAAAGGUAAAAUAAGAUCAAUCAUGUCAGUGGCAAUUAAUAUAAAGAUUACUUUUCUUAUUUGUAGUAACGUCCUCUGAUUAUUUAGCUGAUUUUCAAGCUACACAUUUAUUCCAUUUGAUGUUGAUAUUAGUAAAAUUAAUGUAAUAUUUAAAAAGGAAAAAAAUCCGUCGAGCUAAAAGCCGAGUAUAAAAUUGAACUGGACCCAAACCAGAAACGCACGCCAACAACAUGCUUGCGUUAGUCGGCCCAUGCCCAUAAACCCACCAAGCCCGAUCCAAAUAGAAAAAUGAAUUGGACACCCGAGAUAGCAGAAACAGAUAAGUAACGGUCGUGCUAUCCCCAAUCUCAUAUCUUCAACGGUAUCCAGCCAACAUCUCAAAGUGUUCAAUUUUUUUUUAAGCCAAAAAAAAAUUCAAAAUUUUCAAGCGGAAUCUGGGAAGAUGGCGAUGAAAAGCAAGAUUCUGGUUAUCGGCGGAACCGGAUACAUCGGUAAGUACUUAAGGUGCGUUUGAAAUUGAGGUUGAACAACUAUAACUUUAAAACUGCAGCACUAAAAUAUUUGGUAAACACUAACUGUUGUAACUUAAAAGCUAUUUAAUAUAAUUUUUCAUUUGUAUAAUAAAAAAUUUAUUAUCUUUAAUAAUUUUGUCAAAAUUAUUAUUUAAAAUAUAUACAGUAAGAGAGAUUGUAACAUUUUCAAUCUUUGGUUUGAUAUUCUGGAAGAAAACGGUUUGCCGUUUACGGAGAAAAUGGCUAACCGUUUAAUUUCAUAGAGCAUGUUUUCUAUUCUAGAGAAAACGACUAACCGUUUGGAGAAAAUGGCUAACCGUUUGGAGAAAACGGCUAACCGUUUUGAGAAAACGGCUAACCGUUUAAUUCCAGAGAGCAUGUUUUCUGUUCUAAAGAAAAUGACUAACCGUUUGGAUAAAACGACCAACCAUUAAUUACAGAGAGUAACUUAUUUGACAUUCUGGAAUAAAACGGCUCACCGUUAUUGAGAAAACGGCUAACCGUUUAUUUCCAGAGAGCGUGUUUUUGCGUCAACUGGAAAAACGGUUAGCAAGCUUGGAAAUUUCAAUUGUCAAUCGAUGCAAACUCAAACCAAAAGAGUGUUUUUUAAAAGAAGUACCAUUUUUAAUGGUUGUAUUCUUUCAAAUAAACAUCUUCUUUAUUAAAGAUAGACAAACUAUUAUAUCAUAAUCAGAUUUUGCAGGUUUCAUAUAUGUUCUGGAAAUACAAUCUUAUUUUCUAGAGAUUGUAUUCAGGAUUUGAUAUAUCUUAGGGGUAAUUUGCCAUUAAAACUCUAUAGCAAACCAAGAUUGGUGAGGGCAAAUAAAACCUUAAAGAAAAGUGUGCAAACACGUCUCAAAUCCUAAGAUCUUUUCUUUGUUCUUUGCCUCCAUAUUCUUAAAAUUUGAAAAUUCACCCAUCAAUCUUUAAGGUUUUAUUUUGAUGCAAAUAGAGGCUGAGAAGAGUUUGACGCCAUUUCUUAAUCCUAGUGUCCAUCUCGAUCGUUUUGAUGGAACAAAUUUCACUCGUUGGAAGGGAAAAUUGUUCUUUCUUCUUACUGUUCUUAAAGUGACAUAUGUUCUUGAUCCGAAAUUGGAACCAUUUCCAGAACCAAGAGAAGAUGAUACCGAAGUUGUUAAGGCUGCAAGGAAACGUCGUGAAGAUGAUGAAUUGAUGUGCCGGGGUCACAUACUCAAUACGCGUUCUGACAGGUUAUAUGAUCUCUACAAUUUUAUGACUUCUCUGGUGGAAAUUUGGAAUGCUCUUAAGUACAAAUACAAAACGGAGAAAGAAGGUACUGACAAAUUCCUUGUCUCUAAAUAUUUUGAAUUUAUUAUGGUAGACACACAAUCCAUUCUUGAUCAAAUACAUGAGUUAUAAAUUAUUGUUGCUAAGCUUCGAGAGUUAAAAGUUGAAAUUUUUGAAUCAUUUCAAGUUGGGACUAUUAUUGCUAAAUUGCCUCAAAGUUGGAAUGAUUAUAGAAAGAAACUCCUUUAUAGUAAAGAGAACAUAACUUUAGAAGAAUUGCAAAAACACUUGGUAAUUGAAGAAGAGACUAGGUCUCGCGAAUCCAAGGAUAAGCAUGAUUCUACUAAAGUUAAUGUUCUUGAAGCUAGUAAAUUCUCAAAGAAUUUUAAAGUCAAGAAUGACAAGAAAUUUAAGAAGUCCAGCACACAAAAGUUUUCUGGAAAUUGUUUCUUUUGUGGUAAGAAAGGUCAUCGCCCAAGUGAUUGCAGAUUCAAGAAAAAAAAAGGAAGAAGUGAAUUCCUAUAAAGCUAAUGUUAUUGAAAACAAAUCUGAAAAGAUUUGUGCUAUGGUUUCUGAAAUGCAAAUUGGCAUGAUUAUCGAAACCAAUAUGGCUGAAACUAAGUCCUAUGAUUGGUGGCUCGAUUCGGGUACAACAAUUCAUGUUUGUAAUGAUAAGAAAUUUUUAUUAUCAUACAAAGAAGAAACGGAAGGACAAAUGGUUCUCAUGGGGAACAAUAAUGCAGCCAUAGUAGCAGGGAAAUGAGUAGUUGAGAUCAACUUCACUUCUAGAAAGAAAGUCACAUUGUAUAAUGUCUUUCAUGUACCUUUCGUUAGGAAGAAUCUUAUUUUUGCUAGUUGUAUGUGUAAGCAUGGGCUUAAGAUUGUGCUUGAGGGUAAUACUUGUAUUAUCUCAAAGAAUGAAUUAUUUGUUGGGAAAUGGUAUUCUUGUGAUGGAAUGUACAAACUCAACAUUAAUAAUAAUAAUAUCAACUUAGCUUAUAUUGUUGAGUCUUGUGAUGUUUGGCAUGCUAAAUUAGCACAUUUGAAUUUUAGAUCUUUGAAAUACAUGUCUGAGCAUGGUUUGAUUAAUUGCAAUGAUGUUAAAGGUCAUAAGUGUGAAAUCUGCAUCCAAGCUAAAUUAACUAAGAAACAUUUUCUUAAAGCCGAACGAAAUACUCAAAUAUUGGAUUUAAUAUAUACCGAUAUUUGUGAGUAUAAUGGCGUUUUAACAAGAGGAGGUAAGAAGUACUUUAUCACUUUUAUUGAUGAUUGUUCUAGAUACACUUAUGUGUAUUUACUUAGAACAAAAAAUGAAGCUUUUGAUAAAUUUAAAAUUUUCAAAGCUGAAGUUGAGAACUAAAAAGAUAAGAAAAUCAAAAUGGUUCGUAGUGAUAGAGGUGGUGAAUAUUUCUCAAUUGAAUUUAAUAAUUAUUGUGAAGAAUUUGGAAUUAUUCACCAAAGAUCAGCUCCAUUUACUCCUCAACAAAGUGGUUUGGCUAAAAGAAAGAAUAAGAUCUUCACGGAUAUGAUAAAUUCCAUGAUCCUUAAUGCAAAACUACCAAAUAAUUGGUGGGAGGAAGCAUUACUCACUGCAUGUCAUAUUCAUAACAGAAUUACAUCUUUGAAAACACAUAUAUCUCUUUAUGAAAUUUGGAAAGGAAGAAAACCAAACUUGAUGUAUUUAAGGGUCUAGGGUUGUUUAGCUUUUUAUAAAAUACAUGAUCCUAAAUCAUCAAAGUUAAGUGCUAGAUGUAUAAAGAGUGUUUUCGUAGGAUAUGCUGAAAAUUCCAAGGCUUAUAGGUUGUUAGAUUUAGAUUAUAAUGUGAUUGUGGAAUCUAGAGAUGUUGAAUUUAUUGAGAAUAAAUUUCAACAUGAUUCUAAUAUUGAAUUAGAAUCAAUUAUUGAUCAACCAUGUGUUAAUACUCCUGUUACCUCCACUAACAAUAAUAAAAGGAAAGACUCUAUGACAUCUUUCGAACCAAUGAGGAGUCAAGGUGAAAAGAAAGAAAAGAGUUUAGCUCCGAAUUUUAUUUCAUCACAAGCACUGCUCUUCUUGGUUGAAGGGGAUAGAAAGAAUGUACUUAACAAAGUACCAUUGUUGUUAAAUAUUGAAAAAGAUCCAAAGACAUUUAGCGAAGCUAUGUCUUCUAGAGACGCUUCUUUUUGGAGAGAGGCGGUAAAUGAUGAAAUUGAUUCGAUUAUUUCGAAUCAAACAUGGGUCUUGGUUGAUCUUCCUCUAGGAUCUAAACCAAUUAGCAGCAAAUGGGUAUUUAGAAGAAAGUACAAUAGUGAUGGUUCUUUGCAAACUUUUUAGGCUAGAUUAGUAGCCAAAGGGUUUAAGCAAAGAAAUGGUAUUGGUUAUUUCGAUACAUAUGCUUCGGUAGCAAGGUUAACUUCUAUAAGAGUGCUAUUUGCAAUUGCUUCAUUGAAUAAUUUGUAUGUGCAUCUAAUGGAUGUUAAAACCGCUUUUCUUAAUGGUGAUCUUGAUGAAGAAAUCUAUAUGGAACAACCUGAGGGAUUUGUUUUACCAGGAAAUGAGAAAAAAGGUAUGCAAGUUAGUCAAAUCACUUUAUGGUUUAAAGCAAGCACCAAAACAAUGGCAUGAGAAGUUUGAUUCGGUAAUUUUAUCUCAUGGUUUUAAGCAUAAUAAUGCUGAUAAAUGUAUAUAUUUUAAAUUUACGAAUGAUUUUGGUGUGAUUAUAUGCUUGUAUGUUGAUGACUUGCUUAUCUUUGGAACAAAUAUGCAAGGAGUAGAUGAUACAAAGAAGUAUUUAACUUCACAAUUUAAGAUAAAAGAUCUUGGUGAAGUAGAUACUAUCUUAGGUGUCAAAGUGAAGAAACAUAGUGGGGGUUACUCGUUGUGUCAAUCUCAUUAUAUAGAGAAAGUGCUUCUUAAAUUCAAUUAUUUGAAAUUUAAAGAAGCUAAUACCCCAUAUGAUUCUAGUAUUAAAUUAUUAGAGAAUUCAGGCCGAGUAGUAGCACAACUAGAAUAUGCUAGUGCUAUUGGUAGCUUGAUGUAUGCUAUGCAUUGUACGAGGCCUGAUAUAGCAUUUGCAGUUUGCAAAAUGUCAAGAUUCACGAGUAACCCUAGUGUUGAACACUGGAAAUCAAUUGGUAGAAUACUUGGUUAUCUUAAAAGGACCAUUAAUUUGGGUUUGUUUUAUAAUGAUUAUCCUGAAGUACUGGAAGGAUAUUCAGAUGCUAGUUGGGUAACCAAUAUAAGAGAUAAUAAAUCCACUUCUGGUUGGAUUUUUACAAUUGCUGGAGGAGCAGUUGCUUGGGCUUCAAAGAAACAAACGUACAUAACUCAUUCAACAAUGGAAAGUGAGUUUAUAGCACUCGCAGUUGCAAGCAAGGAAGUAGAAUGGCUGAGAAAUUUGUUGUUUGAUAUAAUGUUAUGGCCACAACCGAUGCCAUCUAUUUCUUUGUACUGCGAUAGUGAAGCUACAUUGUCUAGAGCUUAUAAUAAAGUGUAUAAUGGAAAGUCUAGACAUAUUAGCUUGAGACAUGAAUAUGUGAAACAAUUAAUAGCAGAUGGUGUUAUUAAUAUUGUUUAUGUUAGGACUAAUAAGAACCUAGCGGAUCCUUUAACAAAAGGUCUUACAAGAGACUUAGUUAAGGAUACAUCUUUUGGAAUGGGAUUGAAACCUUUAAAUAAUAAAGUCACCAACGACGAUAACCCAACUAUGUAGUAGUUGCACCGCUACUCCAUAGUUAAAUGGAUAAUAACAAGUUGUUGUUAUGUGACUGGUUUGGCACCGAGUAAUAAAUAAUCACAUUCGAGAUAUUCGGUGCAAAUAGCUACGAGGUUGAGGUUGAGUAUUUACUCUUAAUGAAGUUCAAGUCUUAUACUAGCUAAAGACAUGAUUUGAAACUUCACCUAAGUGAACAUAAGAAAUGGUGCCGUUUCUAACAAGAUCAUGGUUUAAUCUAGUAAAUGUUCAUGAAUCCAAGAUAGAGCACAAGGCCGGAAUAGUGCUAAAUAUUGGAACACAACUUUGAAAAUCUGGGAUAGCUUAUAUGUGAUGUAUCUCCGGUAUUUACUUAAGAGACAAAGUUUAAUGCUUAGCACACUAUUGUUUUGUAAAUGCUUUGAAAUACACUCACUAAUUAAAGGUUAAAAUCGAAAGAUAUCUUUUUGUAUGUAUAAGUUUAUCAUUAAUAAAUAUGAAAAAUAUUACAAUCUAGUGGGGGAUUGUAAGAGAGAUUGUAACAUUUUCAAUCUUUGGUUUGAUAUUCUGGAAGAAAACGGUUUGCCGUUUAUGGAGAAAACGACUAACUGUUUAAUUCCAAAUAGCAUGUUUUCUAUUCUAGAGAAAACGACUAACUAUUUGGAGAAAAUGGCUAACUGUUUAAUUUUAGAGAGCAUGUUUUCUGUUCUAGAGAAAACGGCUAACCGUUUGGAUAAAACGGCCAACCGUUAAUUACAGAGAGCAACUUAUUUGACAUUCUGGAAUAAAACGGCUCACCGUUAUUGAGAAAACGGCUAACCAUUUAUUUCCAGAGAGCGUGUUUUUGCGUCAACUGGAAAAACGGUUAGCAAGCUUGGAAAUUUCAAUUGUCAAUCGAUGCAAACUCAAACCAAAAGAGUGUUUUUUUAAAGAAGUACCAUUUCUAAUAGUUGUAUUCUUUCAAAUAAACAUCUUCUUUAUUAAAGAUAGACAAACAAUUAGAUCAUAAUCAGAUUUUGCAGGUUUCAUAUAUGUUUUGGAAAUACAAUCUUAUUUGCUAGAGAUUGUAUUCAGGAUUUGAUAUAUCUUGGGGGUAAUUUGCCAUUAAAACUCUAUAGCAAACCAAGAUUGGUGAGGGCAAAUAAAACCUUAAAGGAAAGUGUGCAAACACGUCUCAAAUCCUAAGAAUUGUUUUUUGUUCUUUGUCUCCAUAUUCUUAAAAUUCGAAAAUUCACCCAUCAUAUACAUACUACAUAUUAUUAAUUUUUGUUUUAUAACUAUAGUUUUUUUUUUACCGCAACUGUAGUUUAAAAACUGCAGCACCUCAAUCCCAAAUAAGACCUUAGUAGAAGUGAGCGCGAAAGCCGAUCACCCAACAUUCGAGCUUGUGAGAGACUCCACUCUCUCCACUCCUUCCAAAUCCAAAAUCCUCGACCGUUUCAAAAAUCUCAGCGUCAAUUUAGUUCAUGUGCGCCACUCUUUUAGCUUUCCAAUUUUCCCGCCAAUUUUCUUUUAUUGUGAUUAAUUAAUUAAUUAAUGUAAAGAUUUUAUAUUAUAAUUUUGUUUGCAGGGAGAUCUAUACAGCCAUGAGAGCUUGGUGAGUACAAUAAAGCAAGUGGAUGUGGUGAUAUCAGCGAUAGGUCGCACUCAAUUAGCUGAUCAACUCAACAUUAUCGCAGCAAAUUGCGAUAACUAAGUACUUGGGAUUUUAAAGAAGCUGGAAAUGUUAAGGUUCUGAUUAACUUAAGUAAAUGCGUUAACUAAUUACUUGGGAUUUUAAAUUCAAAUGUGUGAAUUGUUCUAAAAAAUUAUUUAUGUUUAUUAGUCAGAGAUUCUUUCCUUCAGAAUUUGGAAAUGAUGUUGAUCGCGUGCAUGUCGUUGAGCCAGCAAGAACAUCAUUUGCCACCAAGGCUAAAAUCCGCCGAGCUGUUGAGGAUGAAGGAAUUCCAUACACCUACGUAGCUUCCAAUUUCUUCGCUGGUUUGUAUCUUUCCAGUUUCUCACAGCCUGAAGCCACAGCUCCUCCAAGGGAUAAAGUGGUCAUCGUAGGUGAUGGAAAUGCAAAAGGCAAAGCGCUUCUGGAUACAUUUACUCUGUACACGCAAUGUGUGGUUACUGUUUGGAGAUAAAAAAGGAGAUUAAUUAAUAAAGAAAAUGAAAUUAUUGAGGGAUUUGCUGAAGAGUUGCGUGCACUCCUCAUUUUUCUCCACCACUCAUCUUACUUGCAAAAUGCAAUGACCAAACUAUCCUCGCCAAAGCCUAGACAUUUACUUGUGUUCAAAGGCCAUUUAAGGGAGACAAGUACAAAAAGUUAUAAAGGAUAGUAAGCAGAAGAAGAAAAUGGAAAGGGGAGGGGGGGGGGGGGAGAAAGAAAAAAGGGAAUGGGGCGUUAUCUAGGGAGGAAUUUUAUUUUUAUUUUUUUUUCUCUCUUUCUCCCACUAAGAAAUUCUUUCUUUUACACUCUAUUUUACUUUUAUGUAAAUUAUGCAAAAAACUUUUGAUUUUAAGGCAAUGUUUAUUAAGCCACGUGAAUUUGAAAAAGCAUGAAUAAGGGGAUGAUUUUAACACAUUAAUUCACCAACAUUAAUUGGAAAAGAUCAGUUGCCACUUCGAAUCAGAGUAAUUUCUUCGGCAAUAGCCAAAUAUUGAUAUUUGAUCUUGACACUGUAGUUAAAUCAAUGUAACUGAUUUUGUCAUUUGAUCCCCAGUAAUUUUUAACAAGGAAGACGAUAUUGGAAUUAAUUCUAUCAAAGCGGUGGAUGAUCCAAGAACACUGAACAAAAUACUUUACAUCAGACCCCGUUGCAAUAUCUACUCAUUUAAUGAUCUUGUGUCUCUGUGGGAGGAAAAGAUUGGCAAAGCCCUUGACAGGGUCUAUGUUACAGAGGAACAACUUCUGAAAAACAUUCAAGGUUAGUUAGAACUAUCACUUUAUCAAGUGGAUAGAUGUAACUGACCGAUAAUGGAAAUUUUUUUCCUUCUCCAAAAUGCGAUAGAAUCUAAUCGGUUUCAACAAUCUCAAGAACACCUAUUCAUGGUUGUGUUGUUUGAAAUCUGUAUGUAUCAGUUUUCUUUCUAGAUCUCAGAUUGCUCGCAAGGAUGUCAAGUUUUGAUGAUGCUUGCCUGUUUUCCUGUGUUUACAGAAGCUUCAUAUCCACUCAAUAUGAUAUUACCUAUUGGGCACUCUGCCUAUGUCCUGGGAGAUCAGACCAACUUCGAAAUUGAACCUUCAUUUGGAGUAGAGGCAACAGAGCUUUAUCCAGAUGUCAACUACACUACUGUGGAUGAGUACCUCAACCAGUUCAUAUAAACCUUCUGAGAUGAGCAGCAGGAUCCUAACAAAAAAUUGGGUGGUUUCCAUCCCUGAUUCUAUGGUAUAAAGAUAGCGGCUUUCCCUGCUUUUGCCAGUUCAGUGAAGUUUGUUAGAUGAUGUUAUUUAUACUAUACUAGCAAAGAUCAAGUUGCCUUUCUUGUCAAGAAGCCAAGCUCUGGCAUUGGUUUAUGCUAGUUUUUCACACUAAUAUUGGUAUUCACUAAUUUUUUUUUUCAUUUCACACCUCCAUCAUCAGUGGAGAUGCCCUCUUGUAUGGUACUAACUUUGAUUUUCCUUAUGCUUCACUUGCUGUCUCUGCAGAUUCGUAAAAGAUCAUUCAUGGAUAAGAUCAGAACAUCAAUAUGAUACAGUAUGCAUUGAGAACUCCCACAUGAUUCUUGUUCUAGUUCUGGUUAGACAUGAAACAUGUUACAGUUCCAUAACUUGAGACAUUGUCAUUCAACAAUUAUCAUCACAUUAAAACAGUGGCCAAUCCCUAACAGCUACCUUUUGACUCUUCACAUUUUUUUUCUGCAUUUUAUGCGCAUUAAUUAUCUAGACCUAGACUUAUUACACUUCUCAGCCUGGCCCGUUGGACAGUGAGUGAUGAAACAAAUUUUUUUUCAUGUUUAUUACUUUUUUUGCAUUCAAAAUGAUAAAACUGCAGAGGUUGUUGCAUGCACGUCAUUUGUUAGUAGGGGUAUCAAUUUAUGAACGUAUGAAGUAUCUCUUCUGCACCGGCAUCCUCCUUAACUGUCAGUAGGAUCACAAUAAGUCGACCAACCAUCUACCGUAUGGAUUAUCUAUAAAUUGAAAUUGGUGUGUAUUAUGGAUCUGUCACUCUGCUGUUUCUGUUUUCUUUUCUAUUUUUACCAAGAAAGAAACAUUGUUAAAACUGAAUGGUUGUUAUCUCGUCUUGUUGUAAUGUUGUGUAUGCUUUCUAGAAAAUAAUGAAGUGCCAAAUAUGAAAAUACUAGUGGCUACCUUACCAUCCUUAAUAAGUUGUCUGAUUGUCACCGUCAACAAUCACUCUCAGCAACUCAUAAUCCAUUUAAGCAUAUUAUAAAAUAAUCAAUUUUGUAUUUGCACCAACUUUUAGUUUUAAAUGACAAUUUCGUUGAUCCCCACACUUCUGUACUAAUCAAAUCCACUGAAACUGGACUUUUUUUUCUUUUUUUUUAUAAUUACAUCGAUUGCAUUGGCUAUUGCAGGGAAAAGACUGCCUCUACAGGGAACUAAACUUUCAGAAUUGUUCUUAUGAGGGUUUGAAUAUGCUCUCGUACUAGGUCAAUGGCCUAUUGGUUCGAGACCAUUCACAAAGAAAGAAAUGAGUUUUGCUUGUAUAAAUGAAAGAAAUCCAAAUGAUAACUAAUGUAUAGUGGUACAUGAGAAAAAUAAUUUCAGCCCCUGUGUAAAGUCAAAAAGAGAAAAUAUUAAAAGAAAGGAUAAUGUCAUUGAGUUCGGUGAAGUGAAAGAAAAUGAAAAACAUGGGAUUUAGUCAAACUUAGUGUCCCAAUCAGCAGAAAAAGGUUUUAGAAACUCACCUCAAGUUAAGCCAACUAUUAGGAGCUUUAUUUAAUCAUGGCUUUCUAAUGUAUAGUACUCCAAUACUAAACGAGGGCUACCUCUACGCUUGCAAAUGUAAAUGAAAUUGAGUUCGUGACGCACAAUGAAGUGAGCAAAAUGAGUUGAGAUCUGAGAAUAUAUUAAAGAAAAUAUGAAUCAAUGAAUUUUGGUUAAAAAAAACAAAUGCUGGUUCUUCAAGACCUGCGUGUAUUGUGUAAGUUUUGUUAGGAGAAGGAAAGCAUUUUGGUCUAAAACGCACUAAAUCGGAUUCAUUUGCUUGAUAUCUAAUAAGGGUGAAUUAACCACUCGCCCACAGCAAUUCAAGUCCCCAAAAAAGUAUUGUGGGGGCUAAAUUUCUUCUUUAAUUAUAACAAAUAAUUGAGCGGAGGAUAAAAAUUUAGGCCAUGUAUAACAAUAACUAAUAUAAACUAGUCCUAAUAAUAGUAUAAUUGUAAAUAUCAGUUAUAGUCUCAUACAAUAUAAGUUUAUAGAUUAUAAUAUCGGCAUAAAAAGAAAAAUGAUAUCUGAGGGUCAAUCAAUAAAAGGACAAAAACUUGGAGUAACAUACCACAAAGUCAAUGUAGCUGGACAGAUGAAUAUAAUAUGUAAACAAAUUUAAAUGGGAUAAUACCAUACGGUACAUACAUAACAUUUUAAAACUGAAUUAAAAAAAUAAAAUUAAAACUGAAUUGGAAUUCGUAUGUGUAUCCAGCUACCUUGCCACAGUUGUAAGGUACCCUAACUUUGCAACAAUUUCAUCCUUCGUGCAUUCGGUCACAAAGUCCAAAUUAGGCACGUUUAAGAAUCGAACUGAAAAACUAAAAAAAAGAAUCCGGCGAUAUUUGCGAACCGGAAACGAGCCAGCGUUAUGCUUAUGUCAUUUCAGAGAUAUCAACAGUCGUGCUUUCAGUCCUUAAACCUCAAGGGCAUUUUCGUCCUUUCACUCAAGCGUGAAACUGCAUGUAAGAACUGCUUCGCUUACACGCUCCAUGCACAUUUAAAGGCACCACUGUCGGAUAAAAAAUAUCCAUCCAUUUGAUCAUUUCAAAACAAAACGAAAAAAAAAAUCUCAGUAAUUGAACUGAACGAGUCUCAGAAAUGGCAUCGAAAAGUAAGAUUCUAUUCAUCGGCGGGACAGGGUAUAUCGGUAAAUUCACUGUCGAAGCGAGCGUAAAAGCCGGCCACCCGACGUUCGUGCUCGUGAGAGAAUCCACAAUCUCUGGUCCUUCCAAAUCUCAACUCCUCGAUCACUUCAAAAACCUCGGCGUCAAUCUCGUCAUAGUGCGUUUUCAUUUUUCUCUUUUCUUAAUUUUUUAUUCCGAUCAUUUUUACACGUCGAAGUGUAGCAUCUACUACUUAAUAUACAUAAUGAUAUUAUUAUUUUUUAAUUUUUUUUGGUUGCUGUUAUUAUUAUGCAGGGAGAUGUGUUGAAUCACGAGAGUUUGGUGAAGGCGAUUAAACAAGUGGACGUGGUGAUAUCAACGGUCGGUCACACUUUAUUAGCUGAUCAGGUCAAGAUUAUUGCUGCCAUUAAAGAAGCCGGUAACGUUAAGGUAUAACAUAAUUAAUAUAAAUAUCUUGAAUUCCGAUCAGGAUUGUGCACUCGCGAACACGUGGUGAUUUAUUCUUGGUGUGGAGCUCGCUGUAGAGUAGAGCUCCCAGUUCAGCUAAUAAACACCCCGUCACAUGCGCAAUUGCGCCUCAAAAUAAUUUAAUUGAUUAAUUAAGGAUAAAUACCAAUGGCAUGAAAGCAAUUAAAAUUAGUUGAUGUUUAUAAAUUAUUUAUUACUCAGAGAUUCUUACCAUCGGAAUUUGGAAAUGAUGUUGAUCGAGUCGAAGGCGCCGUAGAGCCAACAAAAUCGACGUAUGACGUAAAGGCGAAAAUCCGCCGAGCCGUUGAGGCAGAAGGCAUUCCGUACACUUACGUAGAAUCUUAUUGUUUUGAUGGCUAUUUCCUCCCCAAUUUGUUGCAGCCUGAGGCCACUGCCCCCCCUAGGGAUAAGGUUGUCAUCUUAGGCGAUGGAAAUCCAAAAGGUAAUAUAAUUUAAUUAAGCUCUGUUUGUUUGGUAUGUAUUGCGGUGUUAAUGUUAUUGUCUGUUGUACAAUGGAUGGUCUUGCUUGGUACUGUUGUUGGAGAGCUGCAGUGUUUUGAUAAACACCUCUAUCCUUAGCUUUCAAGUUAAGUUGAUUUUAUACAACACUUGUUUAAUUCAAAACUUGUAAUAUUCUUACUACUUUGAUAAAAAAAUAUUACGAUUAAAGCAUUAAUGGCACCAUAAUACGAAAUGAAUCUUAAGUGGUCAUUAUAGAUUUUAAGAUAGAGUUUUAAGUGAUUACCAGAUACUUUAGCUGCUGAACCGCCACAUCAUGGUUGCCACACAACAAUUUCAAACAGAACCUAAAUAACUUCAUUGCAAAACAGUUAAAUGAAUCUAACUUAGUUUCGUCGUUUGAUUUUCAGCUGUUUUUAACAAGGAAGAUGAUAUUGGAACCUACACUAUCAAAGCGGUUGAUGAUCCGAGAACCUUGAACAAAAACUUUUACAUUCAGCCUCCCGGUAAUAUUUACUCAUUCAAUGAUCUUGUGUCUCUGUGGGAGAGAAAGAUUGGUAAAACCCUCGAAAAGGAGUAUGUUUCAGAGGAGCAGCUCCUAAAGAAUAUUCAAGGUUGGUUAAAACUCUCUUUUUUAAAUGUAUUAAAGAGAGCCGUAUAUUCUCUGCCGUAAAUGUCAUUGAUCCUGUCUUCUCCAAAAUGUUGCAGAAGCUGCACCUCCACACAAAGUGAUAUUAUCAAUUUAUCACUCUGCUUUCGUGAAGGGAGUUCAAACCAACUUCAAGAUUGAACCAUCUUUUGGAGUUGAAGCCUCGCAGCUUUAUCCUGAUGUCAAGUACACUACAGUUGAUGAGUACCUCAAUCAGUUUGUGUAACCCUUCGCUGUUUCCAGCUGCAGCUUGCAGGAUCUUGGACUGUUGGUAAAUAAAUAAUUGGCUUGUUGCCAUCUUUGGUUUUAUAUGUAAAAAUUAUGGUUGUUGGCCUUACUUUCUUCUGGUUGUCCAUGGAAUUUGUUAGACCAUAUUAUGUUUGCUAUGUCAGUGAUCAAAUGAAGUAGGCCAUGUACUUGAUUUGAGAGUAGUAGUUAUAAAGCCAUCAUGAUCAGGUGGGUGCGUGGGUUGGGCUUCUAUUAGGGUGCGUGUGUUGGGGGGCUUCAGGGGCUUGUGAUAUGGGUUCGACAGCCCCUAACGGGCAGUCAUUAUAAAAAUGAUUAUAGAGUUACAAAUCUAUGUAAAAAGCAAAAAUUAAAAGUAAUUUAUCAAUAAAAAUAAUUAAAAUUAAUAAAAAGUAGGUAUGAUAUUUCAGAAAUUAAAUUAAAGAUAGCAUUCUAAAGAGUUGGAUAAUCCUCCAACUAAACUAAAGAUCUAGUACAUUUGAGAGCAAAUUUAAUUAAAGAAAAGGAUAAGGAAAAACAAUAGAAUAAUAAUAUUAAAAAAUUGCAAAUCUUGGUCUUUUUUUGUUACGAUGAUGUUGAAUUCUUAUAAAUUUAAUCUUAUCUAUAGAGUUAUUUAGUUACUGUAUGUCAAAAUUUCCUAUAAAGAUGAAGAAAAAUUAUAUUAGGAGAAUAUCCAAAUCCGUUUAACUAAUGCAUCAUCAACAACAUGAGUACAACAUUUUCGAAUAAACAAAAGAAACUCGUUAUAUGUGCGAACCAGUUCCAAAAUAAAGAGCAGACUAUUGGAAGGAAACAAAUACGACAAGAAGAACAAAACAUUCUACAGUUCCUACAUGAGCCCGCAACAAUUAAUUAUUAACUCGACAUUCAUUACACUUUUUCUUUAAUUUGAAAGAAACCAAAAAUAAGAUAAAAUUGACUAAGAAAUAAAAAAGUGACCAAAAUCUUUUUGAAGUUUUGCCAGUUCAGCCAUGCACGCUUAUCUUUAUUCACUUGUUUCCUUUCUUUCCUUUCUUUCCUUUCUUUCCUUUCUUUGCUGAAGCCUUCACAGAUCCUUUACCUUUCUGAGCCUUGCCAAUUUUCCCCUUCUUCAAACCACCUGGCCUUGCUGGAUCCACGUGUCCUUGCAUCCUUUUUCAUUCGUGGAUCAACAAGAAUCUCCCCCUUUCCAGCUCUCUCUUGAACUCCUUGCUUUGCGACCAUGUAUUCUUUUGUAGGCCUUUUGGGUAUAAUUGUUCAAUUUGAUUCCGCUUCGAACGAUCAGAGAUGUCCGCUUAGUCUGAUAUGACAUUUGCCUUCUUGCGAACCUUCUCAAGAUUUCGCAUGGCAACCCGUAUCUUUCGAGCUUUGGUCUUAGCCACGCUCUUGGCAGUAAGGGUGGGCGAUUCGGUUUUGGGAUAAACUUUUGGUUUCGUAUCGGUUUAGAUUCAAAAAUAAUAUAAAAAAAUAAGUAGAUUUUAAUGGAAAAAAUCCAAACCGAAACUGACCUAUCGAUUUCGGCUCGGUUUCAGUUCAGUUUCGAUUCUCCUAAUAGUUUUAUUUUGCCUUAUUGACUUCCGGUCAAUGACACUUUUGAAAAAUUUACAAAAAAAAAAAAAACUGGCCAUAACAAAAUUUCUAUAUGCAAAUAUUUCCUAAACAUUGGGCUAUACUAAAUUUUUUUCAAAGGUAGGGAUCCAAACGAUAUUAUCCCUCUACUUCAUCUUCAACCUUCGUCACUAGGGAUGGCAAAAUCCGAGUCCGGGUCCGGGUAUAGCCAUUCCGGAUCCGGACCCGAACGAAUAUUUUCUAUACCGAACCCAGAAAUAAACCCGCAUUUUUCCACUCCGAGUCCGAUACGGGUUCAACCCGGAAAAAUUCGGGUUCCCAGACUGCGGGUUUCUAACCCGGAUUGAUGAAUCCAAUUGAAAAAAAAAACUAAAUUUGACUAAAAAAAUCAAAUAGAAAUACAUAUCUAGGAUUUCAACAAAUCAAAAAAAAAUUAUUUCAUCUGGAAACUAAUUAACAAAAACAACAAUUUUGUUUGGCUGCCCAGAAUCAGCAACCCAAUGUGGCGGCUCGUUCAAUACAUUAGUGUUUUCAACAGAUUUUGGGGUAGGAAAAGCCAAACCUAUCUAGAACAAUGAAUUUGUAUUUUUGGGGGAGAUGGGGUACCUCACUAGUUUGUUGUAUGCGGUGCAGUGUAUCUGAAAUUUGGGGGAGGUGAGAAGGGGAGAGGGAGUGGUAACAAUGGUGAAAGGUCAAAACCAAGAGAGAUGUCCUUCAAAAUGAGCUUCACACCUGUAAAACAGUGAAAUAGAGGUUAGAGGUGAAGCCGGGGUACCCCGGCAUUCACACUCCGACGCUCAAGUUAGCAAACUCAAGCUUUUAUGACAAAGAGAACUGGCUAGCCCUCUGUAAAUUAGGGUUUAAAGUUCAAGGAAACCUAUUUUUUAGAGUGUGAGUGUUAAUGGUGAGUGAGAGACCUCUUGGAGAAUGAAACCCAGGUGCCUUUAUAUAUGGAGUACCUCAGCUGCCACGUGGCGUACCCUUUUUAGCUAACGUCUUUUUUCUUUUUUAUGAUUUUUUGGCCGUUAUGUGCAUGUUCGCGGCGUAUCUCAUCUUUUGGAAAUGUGGCGUGCGCUGGAGAGUGGUCCAGGGUACCUCUGCAGUAGUUUUCGGGUAGGCGGCUGAGGACCACUGUCCUUGGGACAAUGUCCUUCACUUUUGGUAGAGGUGACAGGCGGCUGUCCCCCCUUUUAGCACGACAUUUUUUAUUUCUAAUUCUGGCAAAAUCGAAUAAUAUCUUUUAAGAGAUGGAGACGUUUCUCAUGUUAGAUAUUUUCGGAGGAUUCUCUUGCAUCCGAUCAGCCGGGUUCCUCCAGUUACGCGGGGUACCUCAAUUUAUGUGGGGUACCUCUAAUUGUGCGGGGUACCUUUAUUUGCGCAAGGUACCUUGAAUCAUGCCAGGUGCCUCAGAUUAUGUGAGGUAUCUCUAAUUGUGCGGGAUACCUCUAUUUGCGCAAGGUACCUUGAAUCAUGCUGGGUACCUCAGAUUGUGUGGGGUACUUCUAUUUUCGCAGGGUACCUUGAAUCAUGUUGGGCACCUCAGAUUGUGCGGGGUACCUCUAUUUGCGCAGGGUACCUUGAGUCAUGCGAGGUACCUCUAAUCAGGCCAGGUACCUCUAAUCGUGCUGGGUACGUCUAAUCAUGCGGGGUACCUCUAAUCAGGCCGGGUACCUCUAAUCACGCUGGGUACCUCUAAUCAUGUGGGGUACCUCUAAUCAGGCCGGAUACUUCAGAUUGUGCGGGAUACCUCAGAUUAUACGGGGUACCUCUAUUUGCGCAAGGUACCUUGAAUCAUGUCAGGUAUUUCAGAUUGUACGGGGUACCUCUAAUCGUGCGGGGUACCUCUAAUCAUGUCGGGUACCUCGGAUUGCACUGAAGUUAUUCCAUUCGUUGACACGUGGCGAUAUGCUAUCUUUCCUAUUUUUCCCCCAAACAACAUCCCCCUAGUUUCUUUUGGCGAGAAGUUUUAGAGGCAAAAGAAAUUUACAUAAAAAGUAGGAGCGACACGUGGCGAUAUGAUGUUUAGCUCGAUGGGUAACUAAAUAGAGGGCGCCUCUAGGGGUACCCUGAGAACCCAAAAAGGGAAGAUGAGUUCCCUUUCCUCGGAAAUGACUACCACUUUGGACAUGUUGGAAAUGACAGAGCUAAUUGAUCAAAAAAUUUUCAUCUAUUUCUGGGGAAGAACACUAAAUACUGGUAGAAGGUAUCGUUAGGGUACCCCACCAUUAUCCAUAGUUUGUUUUCUAGUGACUGCCAUGGAUAAAUCGCUCUGGUGAAGGCUUCAAUGCAUUCUUUGGGCAUUUAAGAAGCAAUUAUUUAAUUAUCUCGGGAUCCACCUUAUUUAAGGGUACAUUUCCUUCAUGUUCUUCGAAGACAAAAAUAAAAUCAUAGGGCUUCCUUCCUUGCAACUUCAGAGGUACCCUCGACAGAAGAACAUAGUCGACAAUGCUUUUAAGCGUAUCAUGAUCGAGGAAUGGAGUGCUGAUCUGGGGUUGGUGGUGCCAAGAGUGGAGAAGAUAGUAGAUGAACCGGCUAUCUUGAAGGCGAUUGACGAUAGCGGGGCUCCCAACACAUCUUGGUCUGAAAGCCCAUUGAGAUUAGCUGAGGUACCUCAGAUGAAGUAUCUAUAAGGUACCCCUGAUACUAACCCUUGUGUUUUUGCUACUUUUAGCACUUUUGUUGAUCCCCUCAUCUUAAGAGAUGAAGUUGAAGAUAACCAUCCUGCUGUGUAACCUUGUUCGGCAUUACUGACAAGGUGUAUGGGGUACCUCGGGUACCCUAAUGCUUGGAUAUCCCUUGAGCUAUCUAUUACUUCAUGGCGGAAUAACCCAAUUUCAUCAACCGUAUGACGAUUCCUCCAGAUAUGCUUGUCGCUUAUCUUAAGCUUUCUUAGGGUUCCUCCUGGUGUAUCUGAGGAAUAACUUUCUGGCGUGGGGUACCCUUAAUCAGCGUAUGACGAUUUUCAUAGAAAUGCUUACUGCAAAUCUUCACAAAACUUGUGGCGGUUUCUGUUGAGAGAUGAUGAAAAACCUCAUGAUCCACAAUUCACUCUAAAUCAAAUAUGCAAGACAAAUAGUAAUAAAGGUGACUGCUCGCCUACCCUUAUGCAAAAUAGUGGAAAAUCUCAUGCUCCGCCAUUCGCGUGGAAUCAAAUAGACAACAUAGAUUGAGAUAAAUGUAGCUGCUCACCUACCCUUAUGCGAGAUGGUCGAAAACCUCAUGAUUCAUCAUUCGCAUGGAAUCAAAUAAACAAUAUAGAUUAAGAUAAAGGUGGCUGCUCGCCUACCCUUAUGCGAGAUGGUCGAAACCUCAUGAUCCACCAUUCGCAUGGAAUCAAACAUGACGAAAAAAUAAUGAUAAAGGCGGCUACUAGCGUGCCCUUUUGCUGGGUCUACUGUUGAGUAGAUUAUCAUGAUCGGAGAUUGGUCAGGUACACCUCGGGUACCCUGGAAUAAGGUACCUCGGGUACCCCGGAAUAAGGUGAUCUCUGGAUUCCAUCUUGCUUCAUAAUAAACAAUGCUCAACGACAUAUAUAAAAUUAGUUUAAUGGUGAACAUAUUAUUAUAGCAUUUCAAGCUACUCAUCCAUAUCAAAAAAUCGAGAGGCAAAUAAAAGAGCACACAUUAUCAAAUUUUGUAAAGAAAAUACAUUCACAAAGAGUGGCGAUAUGGAUCAUUAUAUGACACUAUUUUAUUAUCCUAAGGAGAAUAUAGGGGAUCCCGAGAUCACUUGUUAUUGUCAUUAAAGGCUUAGGAAACUGACCAGUUUGGGGUACACUCUGGAUACCCCAUAUAGCCAAGCAUAUAUUUCAAACAUACAAGCAUUAAAGAAAACAAACAAACUAAGUAGAAGGGGGUAAAGUGUUAUCACUUUACUAGUAGUAUGACUUUUCUUUGUUGUUCUUCUGAAAGGUUGGAGCCUAUUUUGACGGUCUUUGUUGGAUCGGUGGCGCAAAUUGAGACUGAAAUUGGGUAUUCAACCAGGGUACCCCGUUUUUCAUCUUUGGGUAUUCGAGGAUCCAAAUGUGCCUCCAAUUCACAUUUGGGCUUAAUCUGGUCCCCUUGGGGUAUCCCCGCAUAACUUCAGAGUAACUAGUUAUGGGGUACCCCACCACCGAGGCCUCGAUGGUGACUCUUGCUGCUUUGAUGGUGGCGAUCUUAGAGGUUGGGGUACUCGUGAGAUACCCUGAGUUUAAACCCUCGUCCCCGCGGGGCAGCCCGUGGAGGGCUCCGAGUUUGGGGUACCCUUAGUAUUGGGGAUUCGGUUUUCUUGGGCUUCUCCUUGUUCUUUGUGACUUCGGCCUUAUCUUCUUGGCGCUUCAAAUGACAUUUUUCAUCCAUCUCCACUUACUGCAACGCCCGAGAACGGGCUUCCACAUAUGAAAGAGGGCGCUUCUUUUGAAAAGAACGUCAUACCUUGCCCAACCGCAAAUUUUUCUCAAAAUGGGUCAAUGUGUAUUGGUUUCCAAAUGCUUCGGUUCGCAGCACCUCUUAGUGGAAACGACUCACAUACUCUGUCAAAGGCUCGGCUUCCCCUUGCUUAAUAAAGGCAAGUUUGGAGACUACCCUAUCUUGAGUAGAAGCGUAGGAAAAUUCUUUAGUAAAUUCGGAUAACAAUUGGUGUUUUCAACAGAUUUUGGGGUAGGAAAAGCCAAACCUAUCUAGAACAAUGAAUUUGUAUUUUUGGGGGAGAUGAGGUACCUCACUGGUUUGUUGUGUGCGGUGCAGUGUAUCUGAAAUUUGGGGGAGGUGAGAAGGGGAGAGGGAGUGGUAACAAUGGUGAAAAGUCAAAACCAAGAGAGAUGUCCUUCAAAAUGAGCUUCACACCUGCAAAACAGUGAAAUAGAGGUUAGAGGUGAAGCCGGGGUACCCCGGCGUUCACACUCUGACUCUCAAAUUAGCAAACUCAAGCUUUUAUGCCAAAGAGAGCUGGCUAGCCCUCUGUAAAUUAGGGUUUAAGGUUAAAGGAAACCUAUUUUUUUGGAGUGUGAGUGUUAAUGGUGAGUGAGAGACCUCUUGGAGAAUGAAACCCAGGCGCCUUUAUAUAUGGAGUACCUCAGCUGCCACGUGGCGUACCCUUUUUAGCUAACGUCAUUUUUCCUUUUUAUGAUUUUUAGGCCGUUAUGUGCAUGUUUGCGGCGUAUCUCAUCUUUUGGAAACGUGGCACGCGCUGGAGAGUAGUCCAGGGUACCUCUGCAGUAGCUGUCGGGUAGGCGGCUGAGGACCACUGUCCUUGGGACAGUGUCCUUCACUUUUGGUAGAGGUGACAGGCGGAUGUCCCCCCUUUUAGCACCACAUUUUUUAUUCCUAAUUCUGACAAAAUCGAAUAAUAUCUUUUAAGAGAUUGAGACGUUUCUCAUUGUGGAUAUUUUCAGAGGAUUCUCUUGCAUCCGAUCAGCCGGGUUCCUCCAGUUACGCGGGGUACCUCUAAUUGUGUGCGGUACCUCUAUUUGCGUAAGGUACCUUGAAUCAUGCCGGGUACCUCAGAUUGUGCGGGGUACCUCUAUUUGCGCAGGGUACCUUGAAUCAUGCUGGGCACCUCAGAUUGUGCAGGGUACCUCUAUUUGCGCAGGGUACCUUAAGUCAUGCGAGGUACCUCUAAUCAUGCGGGGUACCUCUAAUCAGGCUGGGUACCUCUAAUCACGCCGGAUACCUCUAAUCAUGCGGGGUACCUCUAAUCAGGCCGGGUACCUCAGGUUGUGCAGGGUACCUCAGAUUAUGCGGGGUACUUCUAUUUGCGCAGGGUACCUUGAAUUAUGCCAGGUAUCUCAGAUUGUUCGGGGUACCUCAAAUUGUGUGGGGUACCUCUAAUCGUGCGGGAUACCUCUAAUCAUGUCGGGUACCUCGGAUUGCACUGAAGUUAUUGCAUUCGUUGACACGUGGCGUUCUGCUAUCUUUCAUAUUUUUCCCCCAAACAAUUAGUAAAGAGAGCUAAAGAACUAGCUUUAGUUGCGAGUAGGAAGUCAAGAGUCAAGGAGCAGCCAAAGCACUUUUAAUGGUGAUGGGAAAGCUGGAGGGGUAAUGCAAAUAAGUUUACGUUGAUUGGAUAUUCAGAAGAAGUAAUACGCUAUUAAAAGCAACAAGUUUUCCAAAAAGCCAACAAAGACAGACACCAUCACACCACCCCGCACUGGAUGAAAAAAGAUGAAAUCAUGAUAAGUGGCAUUGAGUAAGCCACGUUCUCUCUCUCUCUCUCUCACUCGCACUCGCACACACUGUUACUAAAAUGACCAAAAAAUAAGAUUCCCAUCAAAAUAUUUUCAAGUAUCAUUCUUAAAAGUGACGGCGGCUGAUGAUGAUGAACACAGCCGCGAUUACGAUUGGCGAAGGCGGCGUUCAACCCGUAUCACAGCUGGUUAUCGGUCGCGGCGGAAAAGAUAAGGAAACGACAGUUGAUAAUGAUGAUGAUGAUGUUGAACAACCGCGAAGAUGGGUAAGUGAUGCGACGAUGAUUUGAUUUGAUGAAGAUGAGCUGAAGAGGGAAUAAGAGAGGAAAUGUUUGUGCGGCUGGGAAAGUGUAAUGAGCUGCUAGGGCACCAUUUGGGUUUUUUUGCUUUCCUAUUUAUAUUAAAAAUAAUUUUUAAAAAUUAAUAUAUAUCCGGGUCUGAGUUUCGGAUGUACGGGUUUACCUAGACCCGAACACACGUGGGUUUUUAAAAUGACAUCCGGAUCCAGAUUUUAUUUAAUCCGGUACGAGUUGAACCCGGACUGGAAAAUCCGGGUUUCAUCUAGGUCCGGGCCAGGUGCGGGUUGAAUUGCCAUCCUUAUUCGUCACUUAGCAGCUACCACAAUAUCGAAAUGGAAAAACUAAAAAAGCACCGUAGGAUACGCAUAUCCACACAUAUAUAAUAAAACUAAAUAUUAUUAAUAAUUUAGUAUCUAUAUAUAUAUAUAAAGCUGGGACUUGAGGAGGUGAUGUGGCAUCACCAUUUCUCAUCUUUGUAUAUUCUCUAUUAUCUAAUAAAUAGAGAAAUUUUCUUUUAGAUUUGGUUUUUCAUCUUCUCAUAAUUAAUUUGAUUGUUUUUACACAAUAACAAUUAUGUAAAGAUUUUAAUGAAGCAUAUUCUUUGUAAUGAACAUCCAAGGGGGAGUGUUAUGAAUUUAUUAAAAUAAAUGUAGAUGUUCAUAACAUAUAUCUCUUAGUCUCCCCACUAUCUCCCAUUAGCAACCUUUAACUUCCUUAUAACUCCCACUAUCUCACAAGGAAUUAUGAUCCAUAAUUUUUCAUUAAUUUCAUGGAGUGAUUAUGUAACUAUAAAAGGAGAGCUUAUCUUUUUGUUUUGUACACACACAAUUGGAAUAAAUAAAAUCACUCUAUAAUAUAUUCUCUCAUUUUAUUCUUUAUCUUGUGUUGCUUCUUUAUUUGUAUUGUUGGCUAAUAGCUUUUUUUGUUUUUUAUAAGGCUGCCUCAUCUUAAAAAAAAAUUAAUUCAUAUUUUUUAUCAGUUUCAUCAAGUGUAAAGUAAGAAUAAAAAAAAGGCAAACAUGAAAUUAGAAAAGACUAAAGAGCUAUUUAAAAAAAAAGCCAUUUAAAAAAAGGAAAAUAGCAAGUUAUUUGGCUAGUUAACUGGCGACAGAAGUAAUGGAAAGAAGCAACAACGGCAGCGGCAGGUCGACAGCGAAGAUUCAGCAGCACCGACCACCCACAGACUGGGAUUUGAUUGCAAAGUUGGGACUUAGGAUUUAGGUUUGUGGCUGCUGAAACUGAAAGCGAGAGAGUAGAAAGUAGAGACUGAGAGUGGUGCAAACAUGUGUAAUUGUGUGUGUGUCUAUAUAUAUAUAUAUAUAUAAUGUGAAAUUACAAAAAUGCCAUUAUAUCAGUUCAAUUCGAAUUUUGUAACUUGUGAUCUGAAAACUGAACCAAACCGAACCAUUUGGUUUGGUAUUUAUAUAUUCGGGUUUUUAAUUUAAAAAACUAAAUUGAAACUGAAAAAACUAAACCGAACCGAAUGUUUUUUUUUGUUUCGGUUCAAUUCUGCCCAUCCCUACUUAGUAGGCUGGGCAUCAAUUUCUUUGAAUUGUGCUUUCAUUGCAGUAAUCUCCUUCUUGGUAAUAGGUUUAAUUGCUUGCUGAUGCCUCAUUUCCUCUGGUAAUAACUAGUCUAACAAGCCAUCAUCGUCAAACAUGUACCUAUUAUAAGCAUCAUCCAGAAUUUGCUCUCUAUGCUUUUUGCUUAGUGUCUUCUUUGCACAAGCUAUUAUCUCAGCUUUUGUAUCAAUAUCUUUAUCUUUUGAUUCACUAGAGGAUGAAUCAUCACCGGAAUAGAGUGGUGAAGGCCCCAUAGAUUAGUGUGGUUAAGUUCUAGUGUAGUUUUGGUUUUGAUUUCAGUAUUAGGAAAAUGAAGCGUAUGAAAUUUACUAAGCUAACAUGCUUCACAAAAGUGCUUUAAUACUUGACUAUGAAUACUUGAAGAGGAUAAAUGAGGAUAAAUAAAUUUAAAUAUACAUUAGAUUUUGAGGGUUGGGAUGUCAAAACUUUUGGUGAAAAAGAGUUAGUACAAGCAUUUUAUUGAGAUUGAAAACAUUUUUUAAGAUGAUCAAUGCUAGCUACAAAAUUGGAAUGAAAAAAAAGGCAACAUAGACAAAGGUUUGUUUAUUUGAUUGUAAGAUAUAAAAGACUUGUAUUUAGGUUGUGGAAAGGAUUUGAGCAGCAAUUUAUACAACCUUUUCUCAGCAAAACCUUCCUCUUCAAUGAAUCCUUCACAAAACAAAUAGAUCCAAGAAAUUCGACAAAUAAAUUGUUGUCAACGGUAAGUUUUGAAAUGCUCAAUAGAUUCUUUGUAAUGGAUGGAACAAACAGUACAUCCUUAAGUAAAAUAUGUCUUAUAUUAUCUUUUUUUAAUUCUUUUUAAAAAAAUAAGUGAAUAAUAGUAUGUCAAUCUCAAAUAUCAAUAUGUACAAUUUUUAUUUGUGUAAGAAUUUGCAUCCAAUAAUCAUCAAUACAUAAUUGUCUUUUAAUUGAAUGGUUCUCACCUCCCUUCCAAACUUUGAAAAGGUAAAAUAAGAUCAAUCAUGUCAGUGGCAAUUAAUAUAAAGAUUACUUUUCUUAUUUGUAGUAACGUCCUCUGAUUAUUUAGCUGAUUUUCAAGCUACACAUUUAUUCCAUUUGAUGUUGAUAUUAGUAAAAUUAAUGUAAUAUUUAAAAAGGAAAAAAAUCCGUUGAGCUAAAAGCCGAGUAUAAAAUUGAACCGGACCCAAACCAGAAACGCACGCCAACAACAUGCUUGCGUCAGUCGGCCCAUGCCCAUAAACCCACCAAGCCCGAUCCAAAUAGAAAAAUGAAUUGGACAUCCGAGAUAGCAGAAACAGAUAAGUAACGCUCGCGCUAUCCCCAAUCUCAUAUCUUCAACGGUAUCCAACCAACAUCUCAAAGUGUUCAAUUUGUUUUUAAACCAAAAAAAAAUUCAAAAUUUUCAAGCGGAAUUUGGGAAGAUGGCGACUAAAAGCAAGAUUCUGGUUAUCGGCGGAACUGGAUACAUCAGUAAAUACUUAAGGUGCGUUUGAAAUUGAGGUUGAACAACUAUAACUUUAAAACUACAGCACUAAAAUGUUUGGUAAACACUAACUGUUGUAACUUAAAAGCUAUUUAAUAUAAUUUUUCACUUGUAUAAUAAAAAAUUUAUUAUCUUUAAUAAUUUUGUCAAAAUUAUUAUUUAAAAUAUAUACUGUAAGAGAGAUUGUAACAUUUUCAAUCUUUGGUUUGAUAUUCUGGAAGAAAAUGGUUUGCCGUUUAUGGAGAAAACGGCUAACCGUUUAAUUCCAAAGAGCAUGUUUUCUGUUCUAGAGAAAACGGCUAACCGUUUUGAGAAAAUGGCUAACCGUUUUGAGAAAACGGCUAACCGUUUAAUUCUAGAGAGCAUGUUUUCUGUUCUAGAGAAAACGACUAACCGUUUGGAUAAAACGGCCAACCAUUAAUUACAGAGAGUAACUUAUUUGACAUUCUAGAAUAAAACGGCUCACCGUUAUUGAGAAAACAGCUAACCGUUUAUUUUCAGAGAGCGUGUUUUUGCGUCAAUUGGAAAAACGGUUAGCAAGCUUGGAAAUUUCAAUUGUCAAUCGAUGCAAACUCAAACCAAAAGAGUGUUUUUUUGAAGAAGUACCAUUUUUAAUGGUUGUAUUCUUUCAAAUAAACAUCUUCUUCAUUAAAAAUAGACAAACAAUUAGAUCAUAAUCAGAUUUUGCAGGUUUCAUAUAUGUUAUGGAAAUACAAUCUUAUUUGCUAGAGAUUGUAUUCAGGAUUUGAUAUAUCGUAGGGGUAAUUUGCCAUUAAAACUCUAUAGCAAACCAAGAUUGGUGAGGGCAAAUAAAACCUUAAAGAAAAGUGUGCAAAUACGUCUUAAAUCCUAAGAAAUUUUCUUUGUUCUUUGCCUCCAUAUUCUUAAACUUUGAAAAUUCACCCAUCAAUCUUUAAGGUUUUAUUUUGAUGCAAAUGGAGGCUGAGAAGAGUUUGACGUCAUUUCUUAAUCCUAGUGUCCAUCUCGAUCGUUUUGAUGAAACUAAUUUCACUCGUUGGAAGGGAAAAUUAUUCUUUCUUUUUACUGUUCUUAAAGUGGCAUAUGUUCUUGAUCCGAAAUUGAAACCAUUUCCAGAACCAAGAGAAGAUGAUACCGAAGUUGUUAAGGCUGCAAGGAAACGUCGUAAAGAUGAUGAAUUGAUGUGCCAGGGUCACAUACUCAAUACGCUUUCUGACAUGUUAUAUGAUCUCUACAAUUCUAUGACUUCUCCGGUGGAAAUUUGAAAUGCUCUUGAAUACAAAUACAAAACGGAGAAAGAAAGUACUGACAAAUUCCUUGUCUCUAAAUAUUUUGAAUUUAUUAUGGUAGACACACAAUCCAUUCUUGAUCAAAUACAUGAGUUACAAAUUAUUGUUGCUAAGCUUCGAGAGUUAAAAAUUAAAAUUUCUGAAUCAUUUCAAGUUGGGGCUAUUAUUGCUAAAUUGCCUCAAAGUUGGAAUGAUUAUAGAAAGAAACUCCUUCAUAGUAAAGAGAACAUAACUUUAGAAGAAUUGCAAAAACACUUGGUAAUUGAAGAAGAGACUAGGUCUCGCGAAUCCAAGGAUAAGCAUGAUUCUACUAAAGUUAAUGUUGUUGAAGCUAGUAAAUUCUCAAAGAAUUUUAAAGUCAAGAAUGACAAGAAAUUCAAGAAGUCCAGCACACAAAAGUUUUCUGGAAAUUAUUUCUUUUGUGGUAAGAAAGGCCAUCGCCAAAGUGAUUGCAGAUUCAAGAAGAAAAAAGAAGAAGUGAAUUCCUAUAAAGCUAAUGUUAUUGAAAACAAAUCUGAAGAGAUUUGUGCUAUGGUUUCUGAAAUGCAAAUUGGCAUGAUUACCGAAACCAAUAUGGCUGAAACUAAGUCCUAUGAUUGGUGGCUCGAUUCGGGUACAACAAUUCAUGUUUGUAAUAAUAAGAAAAUUUUCUUAUCAUACAAAGAAGAAACGGAAGGACAAAUGGUUCUCAUGGGGAACAAUAAUGCAGCCAUAAUAGCAGGGAAAGGAGUAGUUGAGAUCAACUUCACUUCUGGAAAUAAAGUCACAUUGUAUAAUGUCUUUUAUGUACCUUCCGUUAGGACUUAUCUUAUUUCUACUAGUUGUAUAUGUAAGCAUGGGCUUAAGAUUGUGCUUGAGGGUAAUACUUGUAUUAUCUCAAAGAAUGGAUUAUUUGUUGGGAAAGGGUAUUCUUGUGAUGGAAUGUACAAACUCAACAUUAAUAAUAAUAAUAUCAAGUUAGCUUAUAUUGUUGAGUCUUGAGAUGUUUGGCUUGCUAAAUUAGCACAUUUGAAUUUUAGAUCUUUGAAAUACAUGUCUGAGCAUGGUUUGAUUAAUUGCAAUGAUGUUAAAGGUCAUAAGUGUGAAAUUUGCAUCCAAGCUAAAUUAACUAAGAAACAUUUUCUUAAAGCCGAACGAAAUACUCAAAUAUUGAAUUUAAUACAUAUCGAUAUUUGUGAGUAUAAUGGCGUUUUAACAAGAGGAGGUAAAAAAUACUUUUAUCACUUUUAUUGAUGAUUGUUCUAGAUACACUUAUGUGUAUUUACUUAGAACAAAAAAUGAAGCUUUUGAUAAAUUUAAAAUUUUCAAAGCUGAAGUUGAGAACCAAAAAGAUAAGAAAAUCAAAGUGGUUCGUAGUGAUAAAGGUGGUGAAUAUUUCUCAAUUGAAUUUAAUAAUUAUUGUGAAGAAUUUGGAAUUAUUCACCAAAGAUCAGCUCCAUUUACUCCUCAACAAAAUAGUUUGGCUGAAAGAAAGAAUAAGAUCUUCACGGAUAUGAUAAAUUCCAUGAUCCUUAAUGCAAAACUACCAAAUAAUUUGUGGGGGGAAGCAUUACUCACUGCAUGUCAUAUUCAUAACAGAAUUACAUCUUUGAAAACACAUGUAUCUCCUUAUGAAAUUUGGAAAGGAAGAAAACCAAACUUGAUGUAUUUAAGGGUUUGGGGUUGUUUAGCUUUUUAUAAAAUACAUGAUCCUAAAUCAUCAAAGUUAAGUGCUAGAUGUAUAAAGAGUGUUUUCGUAGGAUAUGCUGAAAAUUCCAAGGCUUAUAGGUUGUUAGAUUUAGAUUCUAAUGUGAUUGUGAAAUCUAGAGAUGUUGAAUUUAUUGAGAAUAAAUUUCAACAUGAUUCUAAUAUUGAAUUAGAAUCAAUUAUUGAUCAACCAUAUGUUAAUACUCCUAUUACCUCCACUAACAAUAAUAAAAGGAAAGACUCUAUGACAUCUUUCGAACCAAUGAGGAGUCAACGUGAAAAAAAAGAAAAGAGUUUAGCUCCGGAUUUUAUUUCAUCACAAGCACUACUCUUCUUGGUUGAAGGGGAUAGAAAGAAUGUACUUAACAAAGUACCAUUGUUGUUAAAUAUUGAAAAAGAUCCAAAGACAUUUAGCGAGGCUAUGUCUUCUAGAGAUGCUUCUUUUUGGAGAGAGGCGGUAAAUAAUGAAAUGGAUUCGAUUAUAAUGUUGUUUGAUAUAAUGUUGUGGCCACAACCGAUGCCAUCUAUUUCUUUGUACUGCGAUAGUGAAGCUACAUUGUCUAGAGCUUAUAAUAAAGUGUAUAAUGGAAAGUCUAGACAUGUUAGCUUGAGACAUGAAUAUGUGAAACAAUUAAUAGCAGAUGGUGUUAUUAAUAUUGUUUAUGUUAGGACUAAUAAGAACCUAGUGGAUCCUUUAACAAAAGGUCUUACAAGAGACUUAGUUAAGGAUACAUCUUUUGGAAUGGGAUUGAAACCUUUAAAUAAUAAAGUCACCAACGACGGUAACCUAACUAUGUAGUAGUUGCACCGCUACUCCAUAGUUAAAUGGAUAAUAAUAAGUUGUUGUUAUGUGACUGGUUUGGCACCGAGUAAUAAAUAAUCACAUUCGAGAUAUUCGGUGCAAAUAGCUAGGAGGUUGAGGUUGAGUAUUUACUCUUAAUGAAGUUCAAGUCUUAUAGUAGCUAAAGACAUGAUUUGAAACUUCACCUAAGUGAACAUAAGAAAUGGUGCCGUUUCUAACAAAAUCAUGGUUUAAUCUAGUAAAUGUUCAUGAAUCCAAGAUAGAGCACAAGCCCGGAAUAGUGCUAAAUAUUGGAACACAACUUUGAAAAUCUGGGAUAGCUUAUAUGUGAUGUAUCUCCGGUAUUUACUUAAGAGACAAAGUUUAAUGCUUAGCACAUUAUUGUCUUGUAAAUGCUUUGAAAUACACUCACUAAUUAAAGGUUAAAAUCGAAAGAUAUCUUUUUGUAUGUAUAAGUUUAUCAUUAAUAAAUCUGAAAAAUAUUACAAUCUAGUGGGGGAUUGUAAGAGAGAUUGUAACAUUUUCAAUCUUUGGUUUGAUAUUCUGAAAGAAAACGGUUUGUCGUUUAUGGAGAAAACGGCUAACCGUUUAAUUCCAGAGAGCAUGUUUUCUGUUCUAGAGAAAACGGCUAACCGUUUGGAGAAAAUGGCUAACUGUUUAAUUCUAGAGAGCAUGUUUUUUGUUCUAGAGAAAACGACUAACCGUUUAGAUAAAACGGCCAACUGUUAAUUACAGAGAGCAACUUAUUUGACAUUCUGGAAUAAAAAGGCUUACCGUUAUUGAGAAAACGGCUAACCAUUUAUUUCCAGAGAGCGUGUUUUUUGCGUCAACUGGAAAAACGGUUAGCAAACUUGGAAAUUUCAAUUGUCAAUCGAUGCAAACUCAAAACAAAAGAGUGUUUUUUUGAAGAAGUACAAUUUCUAAUGGUUGUAUUCUUUCAAAUAAACAUCUUCUUUAUUAAAGAUAGACAAACAAUUAGAUCAUAAUCAGAUAUAGACAAACAAUUAGAUCAUAAUCAGAUUUUGCAGGUUUCAUAUAUGUUAUGGAAAUACAAUCUUAUUUGCUAGAGAUUGUAUUCAGGAUUUGAUAUAUCUUGGGGGUAAUUUGCCAUUAAAACUCUAUAGCAAACCAAGAUUGGUGAGGGCAAAUAAAACUUUAAAGGAAAGUGUGCAAACACGUCUCAAAUCCUAAUAAAUUUUUUUUGUUCUUUGCCUCCAUAUUCUUAAAAUUCGAAAAUUCACCCAUCAUAUACAUACUACAUAUUAUUAAUUUUUGUUUUAUAACUAUAGUUUUUUUUUUACCGCAGCUGUAGUUUAAAAACUACAGCACCUCAAUUCCAAAAAAGACCUUAGUGGAAUCGAGCGCAAAAGCCGAUCACCCAACAUUCGCGCUUGUGAGAGACUCCACUCUCUCCACUCCUUCCAAAUCCAAAAUCCUCGACCGUUUCAAAAAUCUCGGCGUCAAUUUAGUUCCUGUGCGCCACUCUUUUAGCUUUCCAAUUUUCCCGCCAAUUUGCUUUUAUUGUGAUUAAUUAAUUAAUUAAAGUAAAGAUUUUAUAUUAUAAUUUUGUUUGCAGGGAGAUCUAUACAGCCAUGAGAGCUUGGUGAGUGCAAUAAAGCAAGUGGAUGUGGUGAUAUCAGCGAUAGGUCGCACUCAAUUAGUUGAUCAACUCAACAUUAUCGCAGCAAAUUGCGAUAACUAAUUACUUGGGAUUUUGGGAAAUUUACACCAAUAACCAUAAAAAUUUUGACUUUUUCCAUCUUAACCCCCCAAACAAACUUCUAUCAACAUUAGCCAUAAAAAAGCCUUUGAGACCAAAAUACCCCUCUCUCUCAUCUCUCCCCCAACAAUCUCUCUUUCUCCCAUCUCUCCCAAACCGAAGAACCAAGCUUUGCAAACAAUCUCAGUUGGUUUAUUCUAGUUAUACUCCAUCUUUUUUAAUUCAAAUCUAUAUUUUACAUACCAAGUCUUCACUAAUCUCUCUCCAUGACUUUUUGCAAAACUUAAUCAUGAGCAAAGUAUCCUCCCAGCACAUAUUCUGCACUGCGUCCCCACAAUCCUCUGCUUCUUGAUUGCAGUAAUUUGCUUGGUGGUUAUUGUCCUUCAGUCAAAUGGCCGGAAACAAUUAUCAACCACACGCUCUUUAGUUACAGUGAGACCGUUCGAAACCUCAGCAUAUUCUUCAACUGGGGAUAAUUUUUAUGAAGAUGGGUUGACAGGAGAGGAUGAUCCAGCGUUCUUAGACUCGUUCACCAGCAUUUACACUGCUCCCGUUUGCCACACACAGCGUACGUACAGUGCACAUGCAAUGUUUUGUAGCUUUUUAUAUAAUUAAACGAGAUGUGCAUCCCAUACCAAAAAAAUUCAACAAAAACUAUCAAUAUUAUGUUUAUUUAAGUCUAAUAAACAUUAAACACAAACAUGAAAGACUCGAUAAAAAUUUUCCCUCGGACCGUGCACAUUUGGCGGUUUGCGUUUGACCACUCUUAACAACAGCAAGUAGCAACAGAAAUAAAUUUGAAAAUUCUGAAACUAAGUUUUCUAACGAUCAAUUACGUACUAUGGAUCGGCAUUCACAUCGGAGGCGACAUCACCGGUCAGAUUUUGCAGAUCAACGGCUUACGGAACUCGCACGAGCUCCAAAUAAGAGAUUCAAUAUUAAUACAACGAGGCUUGCCAAGAUUUUGGCAACUGGUUUGAUCAUUCUUCCCAUUCUUGUCAUUCUCUCCUUGAUCACUCGUCAACAUCCGCUGAUCACACCGUUGGAUUAGCCGACGCCAGAAUCUUGGACGCAAGAGUGCGACUAAAUAUCACCACUUGAAGAUAACGUCAGGUAACAGCAGGGCUUCUCCAACAAGUGAGCAGACCAAAACAGCACGAGCUCCACCAAAUGUUGCUUCAAAACAGCACGAGCUCCACCAAGCUUUGGUGCGACAGGCACCUGUCGCACCAACCUUUGGUGCGACAGGCAGUCUGUUGUCAAAUUCACUCACGACUCGCAGUUUCGAAACUCUCGAUCAAGUUCAGAAAAUAAUUCAUACCACUAUGUGAUGCCGAUUAGUAUUGGAUCCGAAUAAAUUAUGAUCAGAUUUUACUUUUAUCGUUGUCUUUUGCCGUCGCCGUUGGUUAAUGAUUAAGCUGCGUUUGGUUUGAGGAUAUGGGAGAAAGAUGGUUGCUUUUGGUCUGUAAUGAAGGGUAAUUUGGGGAGAAAGGCUUGUAUUUGGCUAAUGUUGAUAGAAAAAAGUUGAGAGGAUUAGUUGUGAAAAUAAUAAAAUAUUUAUGGUUAUUUUCGUAAAUUUCCCUGGGAUUUUAAAGAAGCUGGAAAUGUUAAGGUACUGAUUAACCUAAGUAAAUGCGUUAACUAAUUACUUGGGAUUUCAAAUUCAAAUGCGUGAAUUGUUCUCAAAAUUGAUAUAUGUUUAUUAGUCAGAGAUUCUUUCCUUCAGAAUUUGGAAAUGAUGUUGAUCGCGUGCAUGCCGUUGAGCUAGCAAGAACAUCAUUUGCCACCAAGGCUAAAAUCCGCCGAGCUGUUGAGGCUGAAAGAAUUCCAUACACCUACGUAGCUUCCAAUUUCUUCGCUGGUUUGUAUCUUUCCAGUUUCUCACAGCCUGGAGCCGCAGCUCCUCCAAGGGAUAAAGUGGUCAUCGUAGGUGAUGGAAAUGCAAAAGGCAAAGCGCUUCUGGAUACAUUUACUCUGUACACGCAAUGUGUGGUUACUGUUUGGAGAUAAAAAAGGAGAUUAAUUAAUAAAGAAAAUGAAAUUAUUGAGGGAUUUGCUGAAGAGUUGCGUGCACUCCUCAUUUUUCUCCACCACUCAUCUUACUUGCAAAAUGCAAUGACCAAACUAUCCUCGCCAAAGCCUAGACAUUUACUUGUGUUCAAAGGCCAUUUAAGGGAGACAAGUACAAAAAAUUAUAAAGGAUAGUGAGCAAAAGAAGAAAAUGGAAGGAGGGGAGAAUAAAAAAGGGGAGUGGGACGUUAUCUAGGCAGGAUUUUUAUUUUUAUUUUUUUCCUCUCUUCUCCAUGGCAUCUCUUUCUCUCUUUCUCCCACUAAGAAAUUCUUUCUUUUACACUCUAUUUUAUUUUUCUGCAAAUUAUGCAAAAAACUUUUGGUUUUAAGGCAAUAUUUAUUAAGCCACAUGAACUUGAAAAGCAUGAAUAAGGGGAUGAUUUUAACACAUUAAUUCACCAACAUUAAUUGGAAAAGAUCAGUUGCCACUACGAAUCAGAGUAAUUUCUUCGGCAAUAGCCAAAUAUUGAUAUUUGAUCUUGACACUAGAGUUAAAUGAAUGUAACUGGUUUUGUCAUUUGAUCCCCAGCAUUUUUUAACAAGGAAGAUGAUAUUGGAAUCAAUUCUAUCAAAGCGGUGGAUGAUCCAAGAACACUGAACAAAAUACUUUACAUCAGACCCCGUUGCAGUAUCUACUCAUUCAAUGAUCUUGUGUCUCUGUGGGAGGAAAAGAUUGGCAAAGCCCUUGACAGGGUCUAUGUUACAGAGGAACAACUUCUGAAAAACAUUCAAGGUUAGUUAGAACUAUCACUUUAUCAAGUGGAUAGAUGUAACUGACCGAUAAUGGAAAUUUUUUUCCUUCUCCAAAAUGCGAUAGAAUCUAAUCGGUUUCAACAAUCUCAAGAACAUCUAUUCCUGGUUGUGUUGUUUGAAAUCUGUAUGUAUCAGUUUUCUUUCUAGAUCUCAGAUUGCUCGCAAGGAUGUCAAGUUUUGAUGAUGCUUGCCUCUUUUCCUGUGUUUACAGAAGCUUCAUAUCCACUCAAUAUGCUAUUACCUAUUGGGCACUCUGCCUAUGUCCUGGGAGAUCAGACCAACUUCGAAAUUGAACCUUCAUUUGGAGUAGAGGCAACAGAGCUUUAUCCAGAUGCCAACUACACUACUGUGGAUGAGUACCUCAACCAGUUCAUAUAAACCUUCUGAGAUGAGCAGCAGGAUCCUAACCAAAAAUUGGGUGGUUUCCAUCCCUGAUUCUAUAGUAUAAAGAUAGCGGCUUUCCCUGCUUUUGCCAGUUCAAUGAAGUUUGUUAGAUGAUGUUAUUUAUACUAUACUAGCAAAGAUCAAGUUGCCUUUCUUGUCAAGAAGCCAAGCUCUGGCAUUGGUUUAUGCUAGUUUUUCACACUAAUAUUGGUAUUCACUAAUUUUUUUUUUUUUCAUUUCACACCUCCAUCAUCAGUUGAGAUACCCUCUUGUAUGGUACUAACUUUGAUUUUCCUUAUGCUUCACUUGCUGUCUCUGCAGAUUCGUAAAAGAUCAUUUAUGGAUAAGAUCAUAACAUCAAUAUGAUACAGUAUGCAUUGAGAACUCCCACAUGAGUCUUGUUCUAGUUCUGGUUAGACAUGAAACAUGUUACAGUUCCAUAACUUGAGACAUUGUCAUUCAACAAUUAGCAUCGCAUUAAAACAGUGGCCAAUCCCUAACAGCUACCUUUUGACUCUUCACAUUUUUUUUCUGCAUUUUAUGCGUAUUAAUUAUCCAGACCUAGACUUACUCUUCUCAGCUUGGCCCGUUGGACAGUGAGUGAUGAAACAGAAAAUUUUUCAUGUUUAUUACUUUUCUUGCAUUCAAAAUGAUAAAACCGAAGAGGUUGUUGCAUGCACGUCAUUUGUUAGUAGGGGUAUCAAUUUAUGAACGUAUGAAGUAUCUCUUCUGCACUGGCAUCCUCCUUAACUGUCAGUAGGAUCACAAUAAGUCGACCAACCAUCUACCGUAUGGAUUAUCUAUAAAUUGAAAUUGGUGUGUAUUAUGGAUCUGUCACUCUGCUGCUUCUGUUUUCUUUUCUAUUUUUACCAAGAAAGAAACAUUGUUAAAACUGAAUGGUUGUUAUCUCGUCUUGUUGUAAUGUUGUGUAUGCUUUCUAGAAAAUAAUGAAGUGCCAAAUAUGAAAAUACUAGUGGCUACCUUACCAUCCUUAAUAAGUUGUCUGAUUGUCACCGUCAACAAUCACUCUCAGCAACUCAUAAUCCAUUUAAGCAUAUUAUAAAAUAAUCAAUUUUGUAUUUGCACCAACUUUUAGUUUUAAAUGACAAUUUCGUUGAUCCCCACACUUCUGUACUAAUCAAAUCCACUGAAACUGGACCUUUUUUUUUUUUUUUUUAUAAUUACAUCGAUUGCAUUGGCUAUUGCAGGGAAAAGACUGCCUCUACAGGGAACUAAACUUUCAGAAUUGUUCUUAUGAGGGUUUGAAUAUGCUCUCCUACUAGGUCAAUGGCCUAUUGGUUCGAGACCAUUCACAAAGAAAGAAAUGAGUUUUGCUUGUAUAAAUGAAAGAAAUCCAAAUGAUAACUAAUGUAUAGUGGUACAUGAGAAAAAUAAUUUCAGCCCUUGUGUAAAGUCAAAAAGAGAAAAUAUUAAAAGAAAGGAUAAUGUCAUUGAGUUGGUGAAGUGAAAGAAAAUGAAAAACAUGGGAUUUGGUCAAACUUAGUGUCCCAAUCAGCAGAAAAAGGUUUUAGAAACUCACCUCAAGUUAAGCCAACUAUUAGGAGCUUUAUUUAACCAUAGUUGCCUCAACAAUGACUGAUUCUCUUCCCCCCACCCACAUUGUAGCUUUCUAAUGUAUAAUAAUAACUAAUAUAAACUAGACUUGAUAAUGGGUGCUGACGAAACGGGGGCUACCUCUACGCUUGCAAAUGUAAAUGAAAUUGAGUUCAUGACGCACAAUGAAGUGAGCAAAAUGAGUUGAGAUCUGAGAAUAUAUUAAAGAAAAUAUGAACCGAUGAAUUUUGGUUAAAAAAAAAAAUGCUGGUUCUUCAAGACCUGCGUGUAUUGCGUAAAUUUUGUUAGGAAAAGGAAAGCAUUUUGUCUAAAACGCACUAAAUCAGAUUCAUUUGCUUGAUAUCUAAUAAGGGUGAAUUAACCACUCGGCCAUAGCAAUUAGGGGUGGGCAAAAUACCCGACCCGACCCGAUCCGACCCGAUCCGAUUCGAAAAAAAUCGGGUUCGGAUCGGAUCGGGUUGUAAAGAAAACCCGAUCGGGUGCAUUUGUGUCAACCCGAUCGGAUCAUGAUCGGAUCGGAUCGGGUUGACCCGAUCGGGUUGACACAAAAUAAAAAAAAAAAUUAAACCUCAAAUACACACCCCACACACACACCGGAACAUAUAUACGCCACACACACUAGAACACACACGCUGGAACACAUACACACCACACACACUGGAACACAUUACACAUACACACCACCCACGCACUGGAACACACACAUUGGAACACACACACUGGAACACAUACACACCACCCACGCCCUGGAACACACACACCACGCCCCCCACGCACUGGAACACACACACUGGAACACGAAGUGAACACCACACACACUGACACACCCACAGCCCCCUGCCGACCAGCAACAUAAUCGCCCACACCCACCCACAAGCCACAGCCUCCCUCUCUCGCAUCCCACUAUCGACGGAAACAAGCGACAGUUAUACAGCCCACUCCAACCGAGGCUACUCCGUGAGAAUGGUGACCCGAUCUACUGAUCUACUGCUACCAAGUACCGGAUCUGCUGCGCCACCUCCACGCCUCCAAUCCUCCGCCAUCACCCGAUCCGAUUCAAGCUCCAUUUGUCUGUUGAGUUUUGAAAGCUUUGGGUUGUUGCUGUAAAUGUGUAGAUCGUGUGUGUGUAAAUGGGUAGAUUGUGUGUAUUUUUUAUAUCCGACCCGAUCCGAUCCGAAUUAUAUUCGGAUCGGGUCGGAUCGGGUUAUAGAUUCGGGUUGAAUUCGGAUGAGUUCUCAUCUAACCCGACCAACCCGAAACCCGAUCGGGUUGAUCCGAACCCAAUUUUACCCACCCCUAAUAACAAUUCAAAUCCCCACAAAAGUAUUAUGGGGGCUCAUUUUCUUCUUUAAUUAUAACAAAUAAUUGAGCGGAGGAUAAAAAUCUAGGUCAUGUAUAAUAAUAACUAAUAUAAACUAGACUUAAUCAUAAUAUGUUUGUAAAUAUCAGUUGUAGUCUCAUACAAUAUAGGUUAUAGAUUAUAAUAUUAACAUAAAAAAAAAAGAUAUCUAACUGUCAAUCAAUAAAAUGACAAAAACUUAGGGUAACAUACCACAAAGUCAAUAUAGCUGGACGGAUGAAUAUAAUAUGUAAACAAAUUUAAAUGGGAUAAUACCAUACGGUACAUACAUAACAUUUUAAAACUGAAUUUAAAAAAAAAAUUAAAACUGAAUUGGAAUUCGUAUGUGUAUCCAGCUACCUUGCAACAGUUGUAAGGUACCCUAACUUUGCAACAAUUUCAUCCUUCGUGCAUUCAGUCACAAAGUCCAAAUUUGGCCCGUUUAAGAAUCGAACUGAAAAACUAAAAAAAAUGAAUCCGGCGAUAUUUGCGAACCGGAAACGAGCCAGCGUUAUGCUUAUGUCAUUUCAGAGAUAUCAACAGUCGUGCUUUCAGUCCUUAAACCUAGAAACAUUAUGGCUUUUCUCCUUAAACCUCAAGGGCAUUUUCAUCCUUUCACUCAAGCGUGAAACUGCAUGUAAGCACUGCUUCGCUUACACGCUCCAUGCACAUUUAAAGGCACCACUGUCGGAUAAAAAAUAUCUAUCCAUUUGAUCAUUUCAAAACAAAACGAAAAAAAAAAAAAAAUCUCAGGAAUUGAACUGAACGAGUCUCAGAAAUGGCAUCGAAAAGUAAGAUUCUAUUCAUCGGCGGGACAGGGUAUAUCGGUAAAUUCACUGUCGAAGCGAGCGUAAAAGCCGGCCACCCGACGUUCGUGCUCGUGAGAGAAUCCACAAUCUCUGGUCCUUCCAAAUCUCAACUCCUCGAUCACUUCAAAAACCUCGGCGUCAAUCUCGUCAUAGUGCGUUUUCAUUUUUCUCUUUUCUUAAUUUUUUAUUCCGAUCAUUUUUACACGUAGAAGUGUAGCAUCUACUACUUAAUAUACAUAAUGAUAUUAUUAUUUUUUAAUUUUUUUUGGUUGCUGUUAUUAUUAUGCAGGGAGAUGUGUUGAAUCACGAGAGUUUGGUGAAGGCGAUUAAACAAGUGGACGUGGUGAUAUCAACGGUCGGUCACACUUUAUUAGCUGAUCAGGUCAAGAUUAUUGCUGCCAUUAAAGAAGCCGGUAACGUUAAGGUAUAGCAUAAUUAAUAUUGUCAAUAAAAUUAAAAUAAUUAAUUAUAAACCAAUGGCAUGGACUCAAUUAAUUAAUUGAUGUUGAAUGUGAUUAUUAUUAUCCAGAGAUUCUUCCCUUCUGAAUUUGGAAAUGACAUUGAUCGAGUCCACGCCGUUGAGCCAGCAAAGUCUUUAUUUGCCAUAAAGGCGAAAAUCCGCCGAGCCGUUGAGGCUGAAGGCAUUCCGUAUACUUACGUAGCAUCGAAUCUCUUUGCUGGCUACUUCCUUCCCAAUUUGUCGCAGCCUGGGGCCACUGCCCCACCUAGGUAUAAAGUUGUCAUCUUAGGCGAUGGAAAUCCAAAAGGUAUGAAUUUAGGUCAUUGCUUAUAGCAAGACUGUUGAAAUAACCAUGAUUAAGGCUCCGUUUGUUACUACGGUGUUAAUUUUAUGGCCUAAAACUGCUGUACAAUGGAAGGUGUAGCAACCUAACUUACGCUCUGUUCGGUGUGGUUGUUGCAUAGCUGUAACUUAAAGUUAACUGCAAAAGUGUUUGAUGAAUAUUUGCAGACUUAACUUUAAACCGAGAUGAUUUUAUCCAACAUUUGUCUGAUUAAAACUUAUGAUCCCUAAGAAGUUUGUCAAAAUAUAUAUAUAUAUAUAUAUAUAUAUAUAUAUAUUAAAUGGAGCACCUCAAUACUAAAUGAAUCCAUGUAUUCAACUUUGGAUAGACUUUUAAAUAAUGACCAAACACUUUAGCUGUUAAAUUGCCACAUCACAGCUGCAACACAAUAAUUCCAAACGUCUUCAUUGCAAAAUAGUUGAAUGAAUCUAAAUCCACUGGCUUCGUCAUUUGAUUUUCAGCGAUCUAUAACGAGGAAAAUGAUAUUGGAACCUACACCAUCAAAGCGGUUGAUGAUCCGAGAACCUUGAACAAAAUCCUUUACAUUAAACCCCCUGGUAAUAUUUACUCAUUCAAUGAUCUUGUGUCCUUGUGGGAGAGAAAGAUUGGCAAAACCCUCGAUAGGGUGUACGUUCCAGAGGAGCAAGUCCUAAAGAAUAUUCAGGGUUAGCUAUAAUUCUUACUGUUUGAGGGAAAAGUAGGAAAGAUAAUAGAGCGCCACGUGUCAGCCAAUGGAAUGAUAUCAGCACAAUCGGAGGUACCCUGCAUAAUCCGAGGUGCCCGGCAUGACUUGAGGUACCCCGUAUAAAUAGAGGUACCCUGCACAAUUAGAGGUAUCCCACACAAAUAGAGGUACCCCAUAUAAUAUGAGGUACCCCAUACAAAUAGAGGUACCCCAUACAGAUAGGGGUACCCCGCGUAAUUGGGGAUACCCCAUGUAAUUCGAGGUAUCCGGAAAAGCGAAUGCAAGAGAAUCCACCAAAAAUACCCGCCAUGAGAAACGUCUCCGCCUCCUAAAAGAUAUCAUUUGAUUUUGUCAGAAUUAGGAAUCAAAAGCGACGUGCUAAAAGGAGGGACAGCCGCCUGCUACCUCUGCCAAAAGUGAAGGACACUGUCCCAAGGACAGUGGUCCCUAGCCGCCUACCCGACAGCUACUGCAGAGGUACCCUGGACCACUCUCCAGCGCGCGCCACGUUUCCAAAAGAUGAGAUACGCCGCGAACAUUCAAAUAACGGCCCAAAAACAAUUAUAAAGAGGUAAAAGGACGUUAGCCAAAAAGGGUAUGCCACGUGGCAGCUGAGGUACUCCAUAUAUAAAGGUGCCUAGGUUUCAUUCUAGGGCAUGCUCUCAUUCGCCCAAAAACACUCACACUCCAAAAAAGAGGUUUUCUUCAACCUUAAACCCUAAUUUACAGAGGGCUAGCUAGCUCUCUUUGCCAUAAAAGCUUGAGUUUGCUAACUUGAGCGUCGGAGUGUGAACGCCGGGGUACCCCGGCUUUACCUCUAACCUCUAUUUCACUGUUUUGCAGGCGUGGAGCUCAUUUGGAAGGACACCUCUCUUGUUUAUGACCUUUCACCAUUGUUACCACUCUCUCUCCCCUUCUCACCUCCCCAGAAUUUCAGAUACACCGCACCGCACCGCACACAACAAACCAGUGAGGUACCCCAUCUCCCCUCAAAAUAACAAAUUUAUUGUUCUAGAUUGGUUUGGUUUUUCUUACCCCAAAAUCAGUUGAAAACAAUUGGCGCCGUCUGUGGGGAAGUCGCACAAAAAGCCUCCACCGAGGUUACCAAACUAGUUGUUGUGUGUACUCCAAUACAUGGCACCCGACGUACCUCCCGAAGGUUUAAUGGGGGAUCCUACAAGGAUGAGAGAUGACAGCAGCAGUGAAGAUAGUGAUCCCGCAAGAAGGGUAGCCCGCAUCAGCAAGGGCAAAGGUAUCAAGCAAUCGACAGGUGUUCGCCAAGAAGAGGAACCUAUUUCGCACAAGCGUUUUGAGGAUCUUGCCCACGCAAUACUUAGGGCGGUCGGAUCUCGAGCACCCGAAAGUUCGCUUCCACCAGUGAUGCUAGAAGCUCCGCCACCUCAAACGGACGACCAAGCUAUGGUCAGAAGAGGGGUACCCGAGGCCAGCAAGCCAAAGCCUAGGCCAUCGGGUACCCAUUCUAAGUUUCAAACCGUGGGCUCUCGCGACGAGCGUUCCACCGCCUCUUGCAAUUCCCGCAGCAGCCAGGGUACGAGGCGUGCAAAGCGUACCCACGAGGAUCUCCGUGAGAAGCUAAAUGCCAAAAGGGCUUCUCAAAUGGCGGCGACAUCAUCGGGUACACCGAGGGUACCCCUCGAACUUGUGGAAAAGAUGGAGAACCUAGAAGCCCAAGUGAAGCUCCUCUCCGAGAAGCAAAACAUCACAGCUGCACCAACACCAAUGACCUACCAGUCACCAUUCACUAUGGAGAUUAGGACGGCAGCUCUCCCCGAGGCGUUCGCCAUGCCUCAGAUACCCCAAUACUCGGGUACCACUGAUCCCUCGGAGCAUGCUGAGUUAUACCGCGACCAAAUGCUUAUCAAGGGUGUAGAUGAGAGCGCCAUGUGUAGGAUGUUUACCCACACACUCACGGGCCCCGCGAAGUCAUGGUUUCGCUCUUUGAAAGCGGGUAGCAUAUCUUCCCUACACCAAUUGCUAUCCGAAUUUACUAAAGAGUUUUCCUAUGCAUCCACUCAAGAUAGGGUAGCCUCCAAACUUGCCUUUAUCAAGCAAGGGGAAGCCGAGCCUUUGGCGGAGUAUGUGAGUCGUUUCCACCAAGAGGUGCUGCGAACCGGAGCAUUUGGAAACCAAUACACAUUGACCCAUUUUGAGAAAAAUUUGAGGUUGGGCAAGUUAUGGCGUUCUUUUCAAAAGAAGCGCCCACUUUCAUAUGGGGAAGCCCGUUCUCGGGCGUUGCAGCAAGUGGAGAUGGACGAAAAAUGCCAAUUGAAGCGCCAAGAAGAUAAGGUCGAUGUUACAAAGAAUAAGGAGAAGCCCAAGAGAGUGGAGGCCCCAAUACCUAGGGUACCCCGAGCACGGAGCCCUCCACGGGUUGCCCUGCGGGGACGAGGGUAUAACCCUCAGGGUACCUCAAGGGUACCCCAACCUCCAAGAUCGCCACCACCGGAUCAGCGAGAGCCACCACCAAGGCCUCGGUACGAGUCUUACCACCCACUGAAUCGAUCUCCAGAGCAGAUAUUCUAUCAUAUUCGGGAUAGCGGCCUCCUCCGUCCUCCUAAGCCAAUGAAGAAGUACCCCAACAUGAAGCGUAGCCUGAAGUAUUGCGAGUUCCAUGAGGACUUUGGUCACAGCACAGCCGAGUGCUUCACCUUGCGAGAGGAAAUUGAAUCUUUGAUUCUCAGCGGGUACCUCAAAGAAUUUGUUACUGGCAUGAGAGAAGCUCGGAAAUCUGCGGAGCAGGAUAAGGGCAAGCGGGUAGCUGAUGGUAGCCUUGAACGAGAGGUACCCCCUGGACACAAGAAAGGCGUGUAUGUCCGGAUGAUCAUGGGCGGACCGACUUUAGCGGGCCAAUCUAGGAGGGCUAUCAAAGGCUAUGGUAGAUCGUUGUCGAUAACCACCAAUAUGGGCAGAGAAGUCAACCUUAAUGAAUGGGGUACACCGAAGGUACCCCACCAUCCCCCGCCUAUCUUUUUUACAGAAAAAGAUGCGGAGGGCAUCUCGUACCCCCACGACGAUGCCUUCGUAAUUACCCACUGGUAAGGUAGCAAGAACUCUCGUAGAUACCGGUAGCUCCGUUGACAUCAUUUUCAAAAGCGCAUUGGAUCAACUAUUGAUUGAGUCGCCAAAGAUCACCCCAUAUGCUACGCCUCUUAUUGGGUUCGCCGGAGAUAUGGUUAUACCAAAAGGCAUCAUUACGCUGCCCGUUACACUUGGUAAGGUACCUCACCGUGUUGUUCAUAUGAUUGAUUUUCUUAUUGUAGAUCACCCGGGUGCCUACAAUAUUAUAUUGGGUAGGCCGUUCUUAGUAGCAACUAAAGCGGUGGUAUCCAUGCACUACCUCGCCAUGAAAGUCCCAGCCGCCCAAGAAGUUAUCACCAUUAAAGGGGACCAGCAAUCGGCUCGUGGAUGUUAUUCUGUGGCCUUCAAAGUCACUUACCAAAUAGCUUCUGAUCCGCCAAUGAAGGGGUACCCCAGUGGCAGCCAGCCCACACCUUCCCCUUCAAAGCGAGCACUUGCUAGACAGCGGAGAGCAGUACUCAAAAAAUCUCCUCAGGUAGCCCACCCACGAAAACAGUUGGAGUCUUCACCAAUGGGGGUAGAAGCAGUUACGGGGGAUAGCUCGAGGGUACCCCACGGGGACCAGGAGGAGCCCAGAUGUGAAGUUGAGGCACCUUUGGAUCCCCGAAUAUUGAAAGAUGAAAAGCGGGGUACCCCAGUUGAAGACCUUAUUUCAGUCUCGAUUUGUGCCACCGACCCAACAAAGACAGUGAAAGUAGGCUCCAACCUCUCGGAAGAACAAAGAGAGAAGCUCAUCACAUUUCUACGCGAGCACCACGAUGUAUUCGCUUGGUCCCACUCGGAUAUGCCGGGUAUCCCACCUUCCCUCUCUUGUCACAAACUCAAUGUCAGCCCGCAUAAUAAACCGGUCAAACAGAAGCAUCGCGCCUUCAACCAAGAGAGGUAUGAUGCAAUUGAACAAGAGGUAGACCGCCUAUUAGCCGCAAGGUUUAUCCGGGAAGCAGUGUACCCUGAUUGGGUAUCCAACGUUGUUCUAGUCAAGAAAUCAAACGGAAAGUGGCGCAUGUGUGUGGACUUCACUGAUUUGACCAAGUCCUGCCCCAAGGAUAGCUUCCCGCUUCCUCGGGUGGACCAGCUGGUUGAUGCAACAGCGGGGCAUGAGAUGCUUAGUUUUAUGGACGCCUUCUCCGGGUACAACCAAAUUCCGAUGUAUGAACCCGAUCAAGAGAAAACGGCUUUCAUCACCAACCGUGGAUUAUACUGUUAUAAGGUUAUGCCAUUCGGUUUGAAGAAUGCCGGGGCUACCUAUCAACGGCUGGUGAACAAAAUUUUCAAGGAACAAAUCGGGCGCACCAUGGAGGUGUACAUAGACGAUAUGAUCACCAAAUCGGUGCAUGCGGGGGAACACUUGGGGCACCUCAGAGAUACCUUUACCGUUUUGAGAAAACACCAUAUGCGGCUUAACCCUGAAAAGUGUGCAUUCGGGGUCACCUCGAGAAAAUUUCUUGGGUUCAUGGUACAACAGCGGGGGAUUGAAGCCAACCCCGAUAAAAUUCGCGCGGUUCUUGACAUGAAAUCGCCAAGCACCAUCAAGGAGGUUCAAAGCUUGGCGGGCCGGGUAGCUGCUCUGAGCCGCUUCAUCUCCAAGGCUACUGACCGGUGUAAGCCUUUUUUCAAAGCUUUGAAGACUGGCAAGAAGCUCCAAUGGACACCCGAUUGCGAAGAGGCUUUCCAAGAACUGAAGGGGUACCUCGUGAAUGCUCCACUACUUGCCAAACCUGAGCCGGGAGAGGUGCUUUUGUUGUAUCUCGCCGUAUCUGAGCAUGCCACCAGCUCUGUGUUACUCCGAGAGGAUGAUAAUGGGGUACAACGACCUAUUUACUACACUAGUAAGGCUAUGGUUGAUGCCGAAAAGAGGUACCCCACAUCUGAGAAGAUCAUUUUGGCAUUGGUGGUCUCCGCACGGAAGCUCAGACCAUAUUUUCAGGCUCACACCAUUGCGGUCGUCACCAACCUUCCCCUUCGGCAAAUCCUCCAGAAGUUAGACAUGUCCGGAAGGCUUCUCCGAUGGUCCCUUGAAUUAAGCGAGUUCGACAUAAUUUUCAAGCCUCGUUUGGAGAUUAAAGCACAGGCCAUCGCUGAUUUUAUUGCGGAAUUCGCCAAUGACUCAAGUGGUGAAGGUGACUUGAGAUACCUGUUAGAUACCCCACCCACCGAUGAACGGGGGCAGGUCUGGGAAAUAUAUGUAGACGGUUCCUCUAACUCACACGGAAGUGGUGCAGGAGUUAUUAUAAUCGACCCGAAUAAGGUGAAAAUAUGCUACGCCUUGCAAUUUGGAUUCAAGGCUUCAAACAACGAAGCCGAAUACGAGGCCAUCAUAGCGGGGCUGAGGAUGUCGAAGGCUUUGGGAGCGAAAAGGGUACACGUCAAGAGCGACUCCCAGUUGGUGGUAAGCCAAAUUACCACACAAUAUCAAGCGAAAGAGGAAAACAUGAAAGGGUACCUCGGGAAAACCAGAGAGUUGAUGUCCCAAUUUUGUGAGGUUAAGGUGGAACGGGUACCCCGACUGGAGAACAGCGAAGCCGACACCCUAGCGAAAAUGGCAUCCCUUGGGAUAGCCCAAUCAUCUGGCCCCAUCACAACAGAACACAUACCCGCACCCAGUGUUGGUCUCCCAGAGCCAUUGGAAGUAGGAUGGCUGUCCAACGAGGGGCUUUGGAUGGAGCCUAUCAUAAGGUACCUCAAGGACGGAGACCUCCCCUCCGAUAAAAGUGAAGCAAGAAGAUUAAAGUAUAAAGCUGCCCGGUAUUGCUUGAUCCAGGGUACCCUAUACAGAAGAGGCUUCACUCUUCCUUAUCUUAAAUGCUUGGGAAGCGACGAGGCCGAGUAUGUCAUGAGGGAGAUACAUGAGGGGAUUUGUGGCAAUCAUUAUGGAGCACAAUCACUGGCGCAAAAAGCUCUCCGUCAGGGGUACUACUGGCCAACCAUGCGGGAAGAUGCCAAGAAUAUGGUACGAAGCUGUGACAAAUGCCAAAGGUUCGCCAGGGUACCCCACCUACCCCCAGAGAAGCUAACAGUUAUAUCUUCCCCUUGGCCCUUUGCUAUGUGGGGAGUGGACCUCAUUGGCCCGUUACCUACCGGGAGGGGACAAGCAAAACAUGCAAUCGUGGCGGUAGAUUAUUUUACAAAAUGGGCGGAAGCGGAGCCACUAACAAGCAUCACAGAAAGGAAAACCACCGAAUUCAUUUGGAAGAACCUCAUUUGCAGAUUUGGAAUCCCCUAUGCAAUUGUCAGUGAUAACGGCAAGCAAUUCGAUAAUGACAAAUUUCGAAGCUUUUGUUCGGAGUUGGGGAUCGCCAACCGAUUUGCUACACCUGCCCAUCCCCAAUCUAAUGGGCAAGUCGAAGCCGUUAACAAGAUUAUCAAAGGUAUCCUGAAGAAGAAGCUAGAAGAAAGAAAGGGAGCAUGGGUAGACGAGCUACCUGGGGUACUGUGGGCGUACCGAACUACUCAAAACACCUCCACCAGGGAGACCCCGUUUUCCCUCACAUUCAGUGUUGACGCAGUGAUUCCAGCAGAAAUUGGGGUACCCUCUCACAGGGUUGAAUACUUUGAUGAGGCCGAGAACACCUCCUUGGUUGCUUCAAACCUUGAUUUGGUGGCUGAAAAAAGGGCAAGAGCAGAAUUGAGGACCACCAUAUAUCAGCAUCGCAUUUCGGGUCUAUAUGAAAAAAGGGUACGCCCUCGAUCCUUCAAGAAAGGAGACUUGGUCUUGAGAAGGGUAACUCAGAACACUAGGGUACCCUGCGAAGGCGCUUUUGGGACGAAUUGGGAAGGACCCUACCGCAUCGACAAACCCGUUGGGACAGGUGCAUACAGGCUACUCCACAUGGAUGGCACAAUAGUGAGGCACCCCUGGAAUGCUGCAAUGCUACGGAAAUAUUACUAAAGGACAGUGUCUUAACCUUUAGUCUUUUGCUUUAUUUAAUGCUUUCUUUAAUGUUUUUGGGUGGUAGGCCAAAUGGGGUACCCCAAAUGCCCUAUGUUGGUCAGUUGCAACUUUAGAAGUUUCUUUAAUUUUCAAAUGAAAAGAGUAGGAGGUCUUGCGGUCUCCCAUUCUCCUUAGGAUAACAAAGCUAAGUCAUGUACUGAUCAACGCUUUCGUUAUCUAUAAAUGCAUUUUCUUUCUUUGCAAGUAUGAUAUCUCCUUUAUUUUUCGCCAUUUCGAUCUUAGAAUACGGAUUAUAUUCACUUAUCGCCAUUAAUAUACCCUUGCAUCUGGUUAUAUGCAAUUCUCGCCAUACGCUUGUCAAUUAUGACUAACCAAACACAGGACCAGUCAGGGUACCUGAUAUGCCAAGAUCGUGACGAUCUAUGUAAAGCCAAGAGGGGCAACAGAGGGAACAGCCCAGGGAUAGCCUUUCUGCGGAAGCAGGACCGAGCUACAUAGACAAAGAGAGGGAGGGUCAAAGAGGACCCGAGGGUGAAGAAAAACCGUCAUACCCUAGCGGCACGAGGUUCGGCUUAGGUAUGAGAACACCCACACCUCCGUCCUCGUACUUGAGCAAAGUAGGGGGUAAGCUAUUCAAAAAUUCGGAGAGAACUUCGAAAGAAUAAGAAAUUGAUUGGUUGGACCAAUUACGCACUUUCAAUUUUUGAUCGAGAUGUCGCGAUGAUGUUUUGAUGACCUAUUUGUGGGAAAUCUGCCAAGGUUGCCGAGAAGGGCAUGCACCAAACUCGCCGAUCUGUGUAAACCAGCAGGCGCCUGAUGCUGAAUCGUUGUUAAGGUACCAGGGGUACCCCAUUUCAAAAAAAUGAGAGGUACCCUAAGCAUUUACAAGAUAACAGUUUAGCCAAGCAUUCAUUUGCAAAAUAACAAGAAUGCAAAGUAUAAAAGGGCUCGGUGGCAUAGUAUCAUAACAAAAGUGAAGUCUCAAUCAUACAAAAUAUCCCAGGAAACCAAAAGGAAAGAAACAAGGUCCAAACAACAAAAUAUGGAUAGAUCCGAAAAACAAGGGCACAAUGAAAAGGCUACACCGAGGGGGGAACGCCAUCCCCAACAUCCGUCUCUAGAGGGCGAUCUGCAGAGGACUCCGAGGUACCCGGAAUAUGAGCAGCCGAAGUAGGGGCAUCCGAGGCAGGCAACGGCUGGAGCGCACGGGGUACCCUAGGCGACCCGGAAGGGGUACCCGACCGUGCCUGAGAAGACUUCUUCCUUUCUGCAAUCGUCUUCAGAAUCGUAGCCUUGUUGACAAAUUUCUGCACGCGGGGUACCUCCAACUCCGGAUCCACACUCUACACCUCCGUCAUGAUGAGUGAGAAUGCAUCCUCCGCCAUCGUCUUUUGUCGAGAUAGCAGAUCUCCGUUGGUGGCCCUCAACUCCUCACAAUCCUUCUCCACCCUAGCUUUCUCUCCCGACAGGCCAGCAAUGCGUUCUUGCAGAGUUUUAACUUCUCGAGCGAGCUGAUCCUCACGAGAUUGAUGGCUUUGAAGCUCACUCCUUAACUUGUUGACCUCUGACUGUGCGACAACAAGGGAGUCGAGAUCCGGAAGGUAGUGGCUAAGGAGAAAGGAUGCCUGCGGGUCAUGAAAGACAUGUUAAAUAUAUGUGUAUGACAAAAAAGAUUAAAUAAGUAAAAAGAAAAUGAUGAAGAGUACACCCGGGGUACCCCGGGAAAGCCUACCUCUUGGGUAGCCCUAAGUGCUUGACCGUAACGCUGGCUCAAGCUCAUCUUGUCAGCCUCUUCAGCAACCUCGGAGGUAACAUUUUCAGCAGAGUAGUAAAAGUGGCGAGCCAAGUGCGAAACCUCCUUGUUAGAAGCCGGGUCUAAGUCACCCUCACGUAACUCAUCAGGGAAAGUAGAAACCAGCCCGAAUUUUCUCUUCUUCGAGCGAGGGGUACCUUUCGACCCGCUGUGGGAGGUGCCCUGAGAUUUCCCCUUUGGACCGGGAGCUCGAGGAGGUCGGGAGCCUUUCGGGGGUACCGCCGAAUCCUGAGAUCCGGAAGCACCGCCCACUACCGCUUGGAAGAAGGCGUCAAAAGCGUCACCCGUCGAUUCCAUGACUGCACCCAAUGCACAAAAGUUAUGUUAGCUGGACAAGUACUAAGUACUGCAAAAGUAAAAAAUGGGAAAAGGAAAGCGGGGAAGCGAAACGAAGAAUGCAAUGAUAAUGGGGUACCCCAGUCCCAUAAGUAAUAAUAGGAUACCCCCCGACACCCAAAUCAUACAUGAGUCACCCCCAGGAGCAGGUGUAGGACUUCGGUCAAUCAGCCCCGCUCUCCAUAAUCGGCUCUCCUCCAGCACAUCACUACCCCUAUGUGCACCUCGAAGCCUGUCCACAAACUUCUUCACCUCUCUCCCCACCUCCUGAACUGGGCAUGAUCCUUUAGCCCAUGUCACACCUGCGAAAGCAUAAAGAACUCAAGGUUAGCGAGACAUUCAGGCGAAAGAUUCCGAUAAAGAACCAUAAGUAAGGGAGAUACUUACAGUCUACGUUGAAGGAAUGGGGAACCUCCACGGAGUCGCCCUUCUCACCCAGAGUCUCUGUCCCCCACCUACCCUCAGCGACAAACCAUCCCUUUCGGUAACCCUUCUUCAAGGCGGGGUUCCCCUCAACGAUGUAGCCAUGAUCACCCCAGGGGGAGAAGUAAGCAAUGCCGGGACCCUUAGGCUUCUUGAAUUGGUAAAGGCCCCUCAACUCCCGAACAGAAAUGUCGCGCUUCACGACCUCCAACCAUAACACAUGUAAGCCCGUCAGUGUCCUCCACCCUGGAAGGGACAGCUGCCCAGGAGCUACCCCCAAAUAACUAAACAUUUUCAUAAAGAAUGGUUGGAGGGGCAGGCGGAGUCCUAGAUCGAAGAGGUCGAUAUGGAGAGCAAUCCCAUCAGACUUUGGACACUCGGGUCGCUCAUCUACAUGGGGUACCCUAAGCUGGACAGACGGAGGAAUAUUGUAUUUGGCUCUAAUUUGUUCUAAGUCCCCUAAAAUAGCCCUCAUAAUGCCUAGGGAAAAAGGGUUGCUAGAUUUUGAAGGUGUGGCAGGGGGAGACUUAGGCGGCUGGACCGAGGAACGAGCUGGAACCUUAGGCUUGGUUGGCUUACCCUUCUUUCGAGGAUGGGGGGUAGGCCGUUUACUAGGAAAGCGUGGGCUGACACGAGGGGUACUCCUAGGGGGAGGGGGCUCAGAACGAGAAUUACAACUCUUGGAGGAACUAGGAGGGGACCGAUCCCCCUCGCUAAUGGAGAUGUGGGAAGGGGAACCCGCAGAAGGGCUGUCAACCCUACUAGCCCCAACUUUACGUCGUUUCAUCACGGGUCCCGUGUGUUUCUUACCCAUCUACUUUCCCCCAACAACACAUCCACAAGCCCCCAACAACACAUCCACAAGUUCCCCAAACAACACAUCCACAAGCCCCCAACGACACAUCCAGCAAACCACACGUUUCCCAAACAGCAACAUGUCCAUACCAAGCACCAUCCACCACACAUCAACCACCAAAUGCAAACACCAACCAACAAAAAAAAAAAAAAAAAAACAAACAAACACAACAAAAACCAAAAAUAAAUUUUUCUCAGAGUAUGCAAAAUAGCGCCACUGUAAAUACGCCAAAGGAGGAGAAAUGAUGAGGGAUACCUAUGGUUCACCAACUCAGUAGAUCGGGAUUGAAAAUCGUGGCAAGACGAAGCUGCAGGCAACCAAAAACAGUAAGUAAAAAUAUGCAAGUAUAAAAAUAAAAAAUAAAGCUUAUAUAUAUGUAAUUGUUUAUAAAUAAGUAAAUAAAUAAAAUGAAGAACGAAGAAGCUGCAGUAACCGGCGUCGGCUGUAAUGGCUGCAACCACCGAGAACCGACGCCGACCGCCGUAGCCACCGAACCGACGCCGAUCGCCGCAGCUGCCGCCACCAAGAAGAACCGACGUCGGAAAAAUGCAAAGGAGGACGUCGGCCAAAAAAAAAAAAAAAAAAAAAAAAAGAGAAAAAUCGAGAAGCUGCAGCCGUUAAACUAACGCCGGAAACCACCAAACCGACGCCGGCUGCCGCAGCUGCAGCCACCGAACCGACGCCGGCCGCAACCACACCAAACCGACGCCGGAAAUCACAGAGAAAAACACCAAGCCGAAACGAAAAAGAGAAAAGAAAAAGAGAGAAGAAAAAGAGAGAAGAAAAAGGAAGGAAGAGAGAAAGCACCAAGGGAAAAAUGAAGAAACGAUGAAGGGGAGGGUUACCGUGUGUAUCGCCGGACUGAGAUCUCGCCGUGAGCCGCCGGAAAUCGCCUUGAACCGACCAGAUCUGGAGCCCAAAACCGCCACUGCAGCAGCCGAGAUCCACGCCGGAAAACGUACUAGAUCAACGCCAGCCGAGAGAGAAAUAGAAAAAAGAAUGAAAGAAAAGGAAGAAAGAAAAGAGAGAAAGAGAAAGAAGAGAAAACGGAAAGAGAAGGAAAUAAAAGAAAAAGAGGGAAGAAAGAAUAAAACCUAGGGGAAGACGAAAGGAAGUAAAAAAAAAAAAAAAAAAAAAAAUUUUUUGAUGAUGUUGAUGCAUUUAGAAGAAGAGACGAAAUUAUGGAAGAAAAAGGCUACUGGAAAUAAUCAAUUUUUUGGAGUUCGUUUGGGGAUUUUCAAAAUUUUGACACACGUCAGGAGUUUUAAAUUCAACCUGACAGAACACGUUGCCCAAGAAAGGAGUUCGGGGAUGUCUGAGUGAGAUUUGUAUUUUCAAAAUUCAAACUGCGUGUCAGACGGCUGCCACUUCCCAAGAAAAAGGAGAGAGACAUAUGAAGACAACUGUUCUUUCUCAUCGUCAAAAAAAAAAAAAAAAAAGCGGGAAAAGGAAAAGACAAAGAGACGACUUUUAGUUUGAAGUACACAAAGUUUAGUCAAGGGAAGAAGCUAAGCAAGGUACCCUCCGGUCCGGCCGCGUCGCCACGUGUCACUCAUACAAUGAGUUUCUUUUGCCUCCAAUACUUCUCACCAAAAAGAAACUAGGGGGAUGUUGUUUGAGGGAAAAGUAGGAAAGGUAAUAGAGCGCCACGUGUCAGCCAAUGGAAUGAUAUCAGCACAAUCGGAGAUACCCUGCAUAAUCCGAGGUGCCCAGCAUGACUUGAGGUACCCCGUAUAAAUAGAGGUACCCUGCACAAUUAGAGGUAUCCCACACAAAUAGAGGUACCCCAUAUAAUAUGAGGUACCCCAUACAAAUAGAGGUACCCCAUACAGAUAGGGGUACCCCGCGUAAUUGGGGAUACCCCAUGUAAUUCGAGGUAUCCGGAAAAGCGAAUGCAAGAGAAUCCACCAAAAAUACCCGCCAUGAGAAACGUCUCCGCCUCCUAAAAGAUAUCAUUUGAUUUUUUCAGAAUUAGGAAUCAAAAGCGACGUGCUAAAAGGAGGGACAGCCGCCUGCUACCUCUGCCAAAAGUGAAGGACACUGUCCCAAGGACAGUGGUCCCUAGCCGCCUACCCAACAGCUACUGCAGAGGUACCCUGGACCACUCUCCAGCGCGCGCCACGUUUCCAAAAGAUGAGAUACGCCGCGAACAUUCAAAUAACGGCCCAAAAACAAUUAUAAAGAGGUAAAAGGACGUUAGCCAAAAAGGGUAUGCCACGUGGCAGCUGAGGUACUCCAUAUAUAAAGGUGCCUAGGUUUCAUUCUAGGGCAUGCUCUCAUUCGCCCAAAAACACUCACACUCCAAAAAAGAGGUUUUCUUCAACCUUAAACCCUAAUUUACAGAGGGCUAGCUAGCUCUCUUUGCCAUAAAAGCUUGAGUUUGCUAACUUGAGCGUCGGAGUGUGAACGCCGGGGUACCCCGGCUUUACCUCUAACCUCUAUUUCACUGUUUUGCAGGCGUGGAGCUCAUUUGGAAGGACACCUCUCUUGUUUAUGACCUUUCACCAUUGUUACCACUCUUUCUCCCCUUCUCACCUCCCCAGAAUUUCAGAUACACCGCACCGCACCGCACACAACAAACCAGUGAGGUACCCCAUCUCCCCUCAAAAUAACAAAUUUAUUGUUCUAGAUUGGUUUGGUUUUUCUUACCCCAAAAUCAGUUGAAAACACUUACUUUUUAAAUUUUAUCAAAGAGAGCAAUAAAUUUUGUGCCUUAUUGAUACUGUCUUCCCCAAAAUGUUGCAGAAGCUGCACCAGCUGCACCUCCAGUCGACGUGAUAUUAUCAGUUCAGCGCUCUGUUUUCGUGAAGGGAGAUCAAACCAACUUCGAGAUUGAACCAUCGUUUGGAGUUGAGGCGUCGCGGCUUUAUCCUGGUGUCAAAUACACUACAGUUGAUGAGUACCUCAAUCAGUUUGUGUAACCCUACUCUGCUGAGCUACAGCUUGCGGGACCUUAGGAAAUAAAUAAUUGGCUUGUUGCCAUCUUAAUUAUAUAUAUAUAUAAACAUUAUGGUUGUUGGUUGUUGGCCUUUCUUUUGGUUUUCGAUGGAAUUUGUAACACCAUAUUAUGCCCGCUACGUGAGUACACCAGUGAUCAAGUAAAGUAGCCCUAUGUGCCUGAUAUAAAAUAAUUAUAAAGUCAGAAACACCUAGAAAUUAAAAGGUAAUUCAUCAACAUUUGUCACGUAAAAUUUACUUUAUGGAAGAGAGAUUCCAGGAACCAACUUUAUGAGUGAGAAAAGUGUAAAAAUCCAAGAUAUAUAAGAAUCAAUAAUGAUACAGCCACAAAUUAUUGUAGAAAUCUUUUUGUACAAAUUAUUGUAGAAAUCUUUUUGUACAACCUGAGUUGGCAGCUGAUGGGUACUAACCACGUCACUUAGUUAAAUCACCCCAAGUUAACGGCGUAAAAGCUUUUUUUUAACUAUUUUCCUAUUUCUCCCAUUCACGUCUUCGCGAGCUCCUUGGACGACGGCUCCAACAUCUCUCUCUUUUGCCGGCGACAAUCUUUGCUGGUUUCGCUCUAUUUUACGACAACAAUCUUCCUAUGCCAUCGAAUGUUUUUUGGGUAUGUCCUAUAAGAUUUUAUUUUUAGAUCUAGAACUAAUAAUAUUCAUUAGAUUAAACCAGUCGAAGUUAUCAAAACUUCAACAAAAUCCACUAAGGAGAGAGAGAAAGUAAAGAAAUUGAAAUAAUAAUUAUUAGGGAUAUUAUUAUUUUCCCACCAAAGGUAUUCUGACACAUCAUGUCAGUACCACGGUUUGGUAAAACCAUCAAUUUAUUACCAAACGUUUAAACUGUUAGUAUUUUCCCACCAUUCCGUUAAAACUCAGUUAAUAUGUAACAGAAAAUUAAUAAAAGGUCAAUUUUAUCCCUGGAGCGUAAAAGACCAUGUAAUUAACCUUUUAUGAAUUUUAUAAUUAAAUCAUCAUUUGCUGUUCUUCCUUCUUAAAUGGUAAAAAUUACUUUUUAUGAAUUUUGUAAAAUUGACCGUGUGGUGCUAGGUACUUCAUAAAUUGAUUUAAUUUAUUUAAUUUUUAUAAAUUUUAAAGGGAAAUUUUAUUUAUUAAAUUGACGAGCUAAAGACAAUUUAUUCUACUACUAAAAAUCAAUUUAUGAAAGGGAAAAAAAAGAAUGUGCAAAAGAAGCAAUUUAAUCUUUGAUAUGAUGAUAAUAAUUUUACACAAAAAAUUAAAUAAAUAAANNNNNNNNNNNNNNNNNNNNNNNNNNNNNNNNNNNNNNNNNNNNNNNNNNNNNNNNNNNNNNNNNNNNNNNNNNNNNNNNNNNNNNNNNNNNNNNNNNNNGAUGGAGAGUUUUUUAAUUUUUUUCAAAAUGGGGGUUGUUUUUUUUUUAAAAAAAGAAAAAGGGGUUUAAUUCCCCCCCCCCCCCCCCCCAAACAAAAGACUCAAAUUCAAUUAGAAAAAAAUCGAAAUAAUAAUGGCACAUCAUGGAAGAUUGUAAAGAAAAUACCCUUAAACUAUCUGGCAAUUUUAUAGACCAACCGAAAAAAAAAUAUGGUGGCAAAGGAAGAUUGUAAACGAAGAGCCGAAGUCAUAAAAGGAGCCCGCGAAGUCGUGAAGUCAGAGAAACAGAAAAACAAAAAUUAAAAAAGAAUGCUUUUAAUUUGAAUUUAUAAACCGUAUAGGUUUAACUCCGUUAGCUUAGGUUUACUUACCUUGAUGAUGUGGCCAAAGCCAUAUCAGCUGCCAACUUAGGUUGUACAAAAAUAUUUGUACAAUAGUUUGUGGUUGUAUCAUUAUUGUAUAAGAAUAUAAGAGCCAGAUCAUGUUGCAUUAAAUUCAUGAGUUGUGUCUCAUGAUAACUCAAUUAUUUCACAUGUUGCCAUUCUUUAAUUUUGAAUAACAACAAUACUAUAUGUUACAUAUAAUUUAACAUAGUAUGACCUUUUUUCUAAUAUUAUUUUAAUUGAUUUGAAAUUCUGGAACUAAAAAUUGAAAAGAAUGGACCGGACAUUGUUAUGAUCCAAAAACAAGCCAGUAUUAUGCUUAAAUCAUUUCCUUGCACAUGAAAACUUAUUUAUAAUCAUAAUGGUAGGAUCAAUUAAUUUUAUUAUUAUGUAAAGGUUAUAACUUAAUAAAAGUAUAGUUACAAAAAUUAUUAUUUUAACUUAAUCAUCUUUAGUGCGAUUGAUGUAGAGAUAAAAAUAUGCACUAUAUUGAUAAUUAAUUAAUGUAGCAUGUCAGAUUCAAUUUACAGAUGACGACGAAAGAGAUAGACAUACUCUUAGAAAAAUAGUGCAUAUAUCUACGUAGUGUUGGAAUUAUACAAAGUUAUUUUGAAAGUCUAAAAAAUAAAUCAUUAUCCCAAAUAAUUUUAGAAAAAUAUUUUACUCUUUCUUAAACCUUUAAUAUAACACAGCAUAUAUAUUUUUACAAUUUAUUGAUAACUAUUACUAUACAGAGGUAAGUUUUUUAAAACUGGAUUUAGAAAAAUUAUAAGUUAUUAUAAUGUAGAAUUUCUUACUAUUUAGCUUGACAAUGAAUGUUGUGCUUGAGCCAUACCAAGCUCAAGCCCUACCCAACCCUAUGACUAAAAUGAAAGGUCUUAACCCUUAAAAUACCCGACCCUUCAAACCAUGGAAUAGGCUUGGGCUUUAUCCAAGACCGGCCACAAAUUUUUUUUUUUUUUAGAAUAGAACUCUUAUUUUCCAUUCUUUAUUAAUAAUAUUAUAUUAUUAUUGUUUCUUUUUUGUUGAAUCUUUUGUAAGGAAUUUAAUACAUUAUUUUGUUAUUUAACUUUAACAAUAAUACAACAUCUAACAAUCUAACCAAAUUAACAUAUUAACCAAACUAACAACAAGUAAAUAAACUUAGGGUAUAGUUGUAAUUGCGUUUGUGGCAUGUGUGUUUUAAUAACUUUUAAGUAAUACAUUUUUUAUUUCAAAAAUUAAUUUAAGAUUCAUGAGUCAGAUAAGAAUUUUUUUUUUGAUAAAACCUAAAUCUUUAUCUAAAUAUAAUUGUGCUUUGAUUCCUUAAUCUUAGAGUUUUAUUAAAAAAAUAAAAUAAAAUGUAACAUUUGCUUGUUCUUUGUCAUCUUCUUUUAAGCUUCUGCAUUGAGUUCAGAUGAGAUUUCCCCCUCUUCUCAUUUUAUUUUAUAUAUAUAUAUAUAUAUAUAUAUAUAUAUAUAUAUAUAUAUAUAUAUAUAUAUAUAUAUAUAUAUAUAUAUAUAUAUAUAUAUAUAUAUAUUUGUUUUUGUACGCAUAUCUGUAAAACUAUAAAAUGUUGAGAUAAUGUUUAGAUUAGGUUGGGAGGUGGGGAUAGUUGACAUGUGUUUUUAAAUAUGUGUUUUUUUUCUCUUUUCUUUUUCUUUUUAAAAAAUAAUAAUAAUAAUAAUAAUUUUUUGUCUAGGAUGGUUGUGUAAAGACUCACGACUUUUGAGACGCAUCCUAAUAGUAUGUUGUAUUAUAUUUUGAUUUUGAAAUUCAUAGUAAGUUGUUUUUGUUCCCUUUUUCUUUGAAUUACUCAAAUUUAUGAACUCUCCAAUUUGUUAUUAAGUCAUUUAAUUGUUUACUCAUUUAACAGGUAUUAUUGAAUCAUUCUUCACACACGCACUAUUGUUGUGCAAAUUUUAAUGUACUCGCAAGCGCACGAAUCUAUUGUAGUAUAGAUCAAUGGUGACGAGUGUCGAUCCCACGAGGAGGUGGAUUUUAAUUGUGUAUAGAAUUUAUUUUGCAAAUGGUUGAUUGGAUCUGUGGUGGAAAUUGAUUUGGAAUAUUCUAAAAUUGGAAUUGCAAUGGCGAGAAUAAAUUGUAGAGAAAAUCGAUUAAAUUGACGUACUUGGGUAUCUGGAUCCGUAUCAACAUGCAUCAUGGGCUAAAUAAUCCGUAUUAAUGCCAAUUAAAUCAUGAGGGGGGAAUCCACACCUCAUGAACCACGCUCUAAUCAAUAUGGUGCUAAGGGCUUAUCGUGCCAAAUAAUAAUAACCUUAUACUAGAGAGUCGGUGUAACCAAGGCGGUAUCUAGACAAGAUUAUUAUUAUUUGUCGACGAGAAGUCAAAACAUCCACAAAAACUAGAGGGGAAGAGAAAAUAAAUUUACCAAAUUAAGCCCAUGACACAUGUUGAGACUUCACCUUCAACCCAAGCUUGAAAGAAAAUUAGCCACUCAUAAUUGAAUUAGGGGCAAAAUGAGAAUUUAUUAAAAUACAAAGAAAAUACAAGAUGGAGAAGGAAUUACAGAAAAUGGAUCCCAAAAAUGGAUUCAGAGAUAUCAAAUUAGGGGGGGGAGGCCCCCUUUUUAUAGAUACAUGGAGUAAAUCAUGGCCAUCGAAUUAAAAACAGUUUGGACGCUCAGGAUUGCGCCACGUCAUCAGUCAACAGUCCACGGUUUGACCACGCGGAUGAACAGUAACACGGUUUGACCUGGAUGAACAGUAACGCGGUUUGGUUGAAAAUAAUCCUGUGUGAUGCAUGCACCGUACGCGAGAUUUUUCGUCCACUGAUAUGCUGCCACGUCACCAUCAACAGUACAUAAGAAUUUUAGUCCAACAGGAUCGUGACACCUCAUCAGUCAAUGCCACAUCAUCGGUCAAUGCCACGUCAUCGAUCCGUCUAUGUGAACAGUGUCGUGAACAGUAACGUAGACAGUACCGUAUACGUGAAUAGUACCGUACAUGUGAAUAGUGCCAUUUUUCCUUUUAUGCUCCUCCUAAGGUUUUCGACCGUCCUGAGUUCAAAAGUGAUGUCCGUUUUGCCGUCUGAUCUCUCCUUUAUUGUGAAAUGACUAUAAUGCCCCUAAAAUACAUAAAAUACUUAAUUAAAAUAACACACACGUAAUUACAUCACAAGAAGGUUAAAUACAUAAAAGUAAGAGUUGUUAGUAAGACUUGAAAUGUAAAAUGAUGGUUUUCUCCUUUAUAAAUAUGCAUUUUCUAACACUCAACACACCCCCCAACCAGCUUAUUGCUAGUCCCUAGCAAAUAAAGCGAAAACAAAAUUCAAAUUCAAAAUAUAUAUAUAUUUUUUUUAGAAACACUCGUGUUUAUUCAAUCAGAUUAAUGAUAGCAAUCAAAUAAAAGUAUAAGCAUUAUCUCCAGUCUAAAGAAAUAUCACACCCACAUCAACCAUCCACAUGAAUUAGCCCAGUAGACUUUGUUAUAGCUACUUUCAAGAAUGACAUGUCAAACCCCAAAAUCUCACUGGAAGUAGUGACACUCUCACAAAGAAAUUAAAACCCAAUAAACAUAGUCACUCCAAUGAAUGGUAAUUGAGAGAGAAAAUAAUAAAGAAAUGAUAUCACAUGCUCUCACCAAGAUGAAAUAAAUAUGCCCUCAGCUUAGAAAUAAUACGAUCUUAAGUCAAAUAAAAUGUUAGUCAACCCACUUUAUUUAUCUUUUUUUUUUUUAUUAUGCAUCACUACAUCUGUUUAGCCCAUAUAACUAGCUUCUACUUCAAAUUAUAGUUCCCUAAAAUCAAGAAGGACUUUUAUUAGGACGUAACGUAGGCUAGGGAUAUGGCUAACAAAGAAAGGAAAUAAGGAAAACAAAGUGUGUGUUUGAGAAAAAUGCAGAAAUAUUUUUUUUUUUUUUUUGAAGUUGCAAGGUGGAUUUCACCUAUUAUUGUUAUUUUAUUCUUUUGAAACAACAACUUUUGUUUUUUUUUUUUUUUUUUUUUUUUUUUUUUUGCUUUUAUUUGGCAUAACUUCACUGAACAACAUAAUUAUUUACAUUUUCUCAAACAGAAGUAGGUGAUAGAACUUAUAAGACAUCGGGUAAUACUCCAAAUCGGAGUGGGUCAAGAUGAUAAGUUGACAAAGAAAAAGUUUUUUUUUUUUUUUUUUUUUUUUUUUUUUUUUUUUUUAAAGGCUCAAAAGUGGUAACUAUGGAUAUUUAAUAACAGGGAUGGCUAGAAAGGCUCAAACGGAUCAAAGAUGGCGUUUCCAUCGUCUUUUAGGGCUCUAAAUAAUUAUCCAUAUCUACUAGUUAGAUGGGCCUCCCAAUGUAGUAACACACAUUUUUUUCUUUUUUCUUUUUUUUAAUUUUACCAUUUUUUUUUAAAGGGUUAACUCAAAAGAAAUCUAGAGAUCGUGUAUAAAAUAAUAAACUGCUAAGCUGUAUAGAGAAUGGGCAAAAGGGUUACUCUCCAAGAAAAUGAUAGGCUCAACAACUCACUUGGCACUUAUUUAUGAUAUGUUCAUUCCUUCAAGCAACUCAUAUUUGUCUCCGACAUCAACAUGUAAAGUAGCAAACAUAGCGUAACAUCACUUAAGACCAAAGAGAAUACAAAUACUAAAAUUUGAAAUUAAUCAUGUCAUCCAAUGUUAAAACAAAUCACACAAAUUUUUUUUUUUUUUUUUAAACAACAUUCUACCCCCCAACCUAUUCUAAACAUGAAAGGAAAAUAUGCAUGCAGAAAUGUGAAAAUGAUGUAGAAAAUUAAUUUUUUUUUUUUUUAACUAAGAAGAUGCGUUUCUAGAGGCACUACACUCCAUAUUCAGCCAUCUUCGACUCAAAAGUUGGAAAAUGUAUAUUUAUAGAGGAGAAAAUAAAAAGAAGAAGAAAAAUGAACAUCAAAACUUAAUAAAGAAAAAGAAUUUUUUUUUUUUUUUUUCGAACAAUGAAGAUGCAUUUCUAGAGUAACUACACUCCAUAUUCAGCCAUCUUCAACACAAAAAGUUAGCAACAGUUAGUUUCUACAACAAAAAAUUAGUAAAAACUUAACCAAGAUUCCACAAUUGUCGACUAUUCCCUCCCCCCAACCAGAACGAAACAUUGUCCUCAAUGUUUUAAAGGAAAGAAGUAGAGUUUAGAAGACAUCACCUGGGUGGUGCAACACAGAAGAAAAUAUUUACAGGCGGAGAGUUAAAUCUAAUUUGUACUUCUUACUGCGGCUACUGUUACCAUCAUUAUUUGGUCGCUCCAACACAAAGGUCCAGGGGUCUGGCUCCGGUUUAUAAGCUUGUAACAUAUCAAGUAGCUCAUUAGCAGUGUGAGCACAAAUAAAGAGUUUUUUCACAUUAGAAUGAAUGAAAUAGUUUUUUAUUGCAUGGUUAAGAAAUGCGAUAAAGCCAUCAUAAAAGUUAUUGACAUUUAACAAACCGAUGGGUUUCUGGUGGAUGUGCAGAUGGGCCCAAGAUGCUAGUGUGAUAAGUGCCUCUAGUGUUGCAAGAUCUCCUGGAAGGAAAAUAAAAGCAUCAGCAUGAUUAAGCAUUUCAGUUAUUCUUUCUUGCAUACCUGAGACGACUAACUCUUCUCCAGUUGAUGAGUCAGACGAACUGCCCAAUGGUUUUAGGACUCUUGGGAUGAUGCCUAACACUUGACUUCCUCUGAUAAAAGCUGCUUCUGAGACCAUUUUUGAUAACCCUCGGUUACCUCCUCCAUACACCAAAUGUAAUUUUCUCGCUGCUAUGCUUCGACCAAGAUCUAUGGCUGCCUCAACGAACUCUUUAUGUUUGCCAUAGGUAAAUCCAGAAAGCACACAAAUGUUCUUGAAUUGUCUAUUGGGAGUAGCUGCCAUUGUGAUACUUCUCAAAAACAAUUUGUGAGUGCUUGACAAAAGAUAAAUCACAUUUAAGAAUCUUGGUGACAGUGGAUCACAGCUGUGAAUGAGGUAACAUGUCAGUGUCAAAUAACGCGUAAAGCACGUGGCUCGCGAGUCAAAAAGGAAACAGUAAAAAGGAAAAAGCAAACAGUAAUAAAAUUAUUAAAGACAAUAAUGCAAAAAAUAAAACAACAGUGAAAUGAAAUAAAAUAACAGUAAAGUAAAAGGAUAUUUACACGUAGUUGCGACUGUGGCUCACAUCUUCCUCUGGUUUUACGUCCAGAAACGGCUUGAACGCCCUCUAUGGGUCGAGGAUGGGCUUCCCAUCCAGUUUUCUUAUAAACUGGCAAACAGGGUCGUUUAUAGUCAGAUUCCCGAGACUAUAUCGUGUAUGCUCUUUCUGGAAUAAUGGCCAUAACUGGAGAAUCGCUCCUUGCACAUAUCCACUGGGAUGCGUUUCAAGAGACAAAAGGAUAUCAUCCAAUGACUCCUUAUUCAAGCCAUCCCUAAUGAAUUGAAUCUUAUCUUCCCUGUUAUCAGACACCAUUCCUAAAGAACAUGGGUUUCUAUCGCAACUCAUUCUGGCACACUUAUGACAAGCAACAGAAAUUCUUCGAGCUCGUCGUUUUCUUGCAUAAUUUCCUUUACCACAACCAGGCAUGAAUGCAAUAAAUUGUGGAGGUAACUCACCUGCCGAUCGUACUUUAGCCUCGAUUAACCAACGGAUGUCAGCAGGUAUGUUAUUCUUCAUGAACAAUCGCAUGCGUUCGGACCGAGCUUUAUAGAUCGUAAGGAGGGCAUUCUGAGGAAGUGAAGGGAAUCGCUUGUGAAGCUUCGCUAGAAUCUCGUUUCUGUCCAUACCUUUGCCUCAGAAUGUCAGUUAUUGUGGGAAACUGAAGUUAACCGACUUGAUUGUCACGGAGUACCGUUAUCCGCCACUUCACCGGGGUAACAAACUAAAGCACACAAACAGAAAAACAAAUCAAAACACACAAAGAAAAUUAAAAUCGUCCUCUUAUUGAAUUUACCUCAAGCUCCAACUGGAUGUCGUAAACACUUCUCUCAAUGUCUCUGAGUUGGCGUUCUAAACCCUCAACAUAGGCUACUAACUCUGGUGGUUGUAGAGCCCAAAUGCGUUGUGUUUUACAAAAUUGAAUCUGCUUUUUGAGAUGAGUUUUGACACGUUGAAGUGGUUUAAGAAUGUUCAGGAGGAACGGUCUAAGUAAGGUACUCAUGAUUAAAAAUGAUAAGAGAAAACUUAAUAGUUAGACAAACACACUUAUGCAAAAAUAAUUUCAAUUAGCAAAAGAAUAAUAAAAAGAAAGAAAGAAAAAUCAAAUCAACGAAAAGAAAAAAAAAAUCAAUUCAAAUCUGGUGGGUCACUCAAAUUUAUUUCGGUGUCUUCUCCAUGUGGUUGGUACUCAAGAUAUGGCUUUAAUCUUUGACCAUUAACUUUAAACGUGACACCGUUCUUUGGGUCCUUAAUUUCAAUUGCCCCAUGUGGAAAAACAGUAUUAACAAUAAAGGGACCAGACCAUCGAGAGCGUAACUUACCUGGGAAUAGGUGCAAGCGAGAAUUGAAUAAAAGCACUUUCUGACCUGGAGUGAACGAUUUUCUAUAAUGUGCUUGUCAUGAAAGACUUUCAUUCGUUGCUUGUAAAUCUUGGCAUUUUCGUAUGCAUCAUUGCGAAUUUCUUCAAGUUCUGCCAGUUGUAAUCUUCUUUCUGAGCUGGCUUGCUGCAUGUCAAAGUUGAAUUUCUUGAUGGCCCAAUAUGCACGAUGCUCGAGUUCCACAGGUAGGUGGCAAGCUUUUCCAUACACUAGCCUGUAGGGUGACAUCCCAAUCGGGGUCUUGAAAGCCGUUCUAUAUGCCCAUAAUGCAUCAUCAAGUCUUAAUGACCAAUCUUUUCUGUCUGGCCUCACCGUUUUUUCUAAUAUGUGCUUGAUUUCUCGAUUGGAGAUCUCAACUUGGCCACUGGUUUGCGGAUGAUACGGGGUCGCCACUUUGUGUGUGAUUGAAUACUUUGUCAAAAGAGCUUUGAAUGCUUUGUUACAAAAGUGGGCACCACCAUCACUGAUUAUCGCUCGAGGGAAUCCAAAGCGUGAAACAAUGUUGCUUUUCAAAAAUCCUAUCACCACUUUGUGAUCAUUGGUCCUACAUGGAAUUGCUUCUACCCAUUUCGAGACGUAGUCAACACCAACCAAUAUGUAUUGAUGGCCAAAAGAAGGGGGAAAGGGUCCCAUGAAGUCGAUACCCCAUACGUCAAAAAUCUCAACCACUAAAAUUGGAUUUAGUGGCAUCAUGUUCCUUCGUGUAAUACUCCCCAUUCGUUGACACCUAUCACAUGAAGAACAGAAAGUGUAAGCAUCUCGAAAUAUAGUUGGCCAAUAGAAACCACAUUAUAAAACUUUAGUCGCUGUUUUCUUAGCGCUGAAAUGGCCUCCACAAGCUUGUUCAUGGCAGAAUGAAAGGAUAUUCUGAAUUUCACUUUCUGGGACGCAUCGCCUAACAAUUUGAUCUGCACAAUACUUGAACAAAUACGGGUCAUCCCAAAAGAAAUUCUUUAUUUCCGCAAAGAAUUUAGCCUUGUCUUGCUUGGUCCAAUGCUCUGGAAGUUUACCUGUAACAAGAUAAUUAACUAUAUCAGCAUACCAAGGUAAUACUUCCACACUCAUUAAUUGUUCAUCUGGAAAUGACUCAUUCAAUGGUAAUGGUUCUGUAAUUGUGUCAAAGUGGAGACGAGAGAGAUGGUCCGCCACAACAUUUUCUGUCCCUUUCUUAUCUUUGAAUUCCAAGUCAAAUUCCUGCAAAAGUAACACCCAACGAAUUAGUCUAGCUUUUGCAUCUUUCUUUGUGAGAAGAUAUUUAAGAGCAGCAUGAUCUGUGAACACAAUUAUUUUACAACCAAUGAGAUAAGAUCGAAAUUUUUCCAAUGCAAACACUACUGCUAGCAUUUCUUUUUCAGUAGUUGAAUAGUUCAACUGUGCAUCAUUCAAUGUCAUACUAGCAUAGUAAAUAACAUGAGGAAUUCGAUCAACUCUUUGUCCUAAAACUGCUCCUACUGCAUAAUCAGAUGCAUCACACAUAAGCUCAAAUGGUAAGCUCCAGUUUGGGGCCUGAAUGAUGGGUGAUGAUGUCAACAAUUGCUUUAAUUUUUCAAAAGCCAUAAGACAUGAAUCAUUAAAGAUAAAAGGUACAUCCUUAGCAAGUAAAUUGCACAAGGGUCUAGAAACUUUGCUAAAAUCUUUAAUGAAACGUCUAUAGAAACCAGCAUGUCCAAGGAAAGAUCUUACUUCUCUGACUGUUUUAGGUGGAGGAAGAUUAGAAAUGAGAUCCACCUUGGCUUUGUCAACCUCAAUACCUUUGCUCGAAAUGAUGUGACCGAGAACAAUACCUUGUUUUACCAUAAAAUGACACUUCUCCCAAUUUAAGACUAAGUUCUUCUCGAUACAUCUCUGCAGAACUAGCGUUAGAUGAUGUAAACAUUGAUCAAACGAGUCACCAAAGACAGAAAAAUCAUCCAUAAAGACUUCAAGGAAUCGUUCAACCAUAUCAGAAAAAAUGCUCAACAUGCAUCGUUGGAAUGUAGCAGGUGCAUUACAUAAUCCAAAUGGCAUUCUCCUAUAUGCAAAAGUGCCAAAAGAGCAAGUGAAAGUAGUUUUCUCUUGAUCUUUUGGUGCUAUGGGAAUUUGAUUAUAUCCUGAGUAGCCAUCUAGAAAGCAAUAAAAUUCAUGGCCUGCUAAUCUAUCAAGCAUUUGAUCGAUAAAUGGUAAAGGAAAAUGGUCUUUACGUGUGACAGAAUUCAACUUUCUAUAAUCAAUGCAUACACGCCAUCCUGUAGUUACUCUAGUUGGUAUCAAUUCAUUAUCAGCAUUGGUAACUACUGUGACUCCUGACUUUUUGGGGACAACUUGUACAGGACUGACCCAUGAACUAUCAGAAAUUGGGUAAAUGAUACAUGCAUCUAAUAGCUUAAGGACUUCUGUUCUAACAACUUCUUUCAUAUUAGGAUUUAACCGACGUUGCAUUUCCCUAGUAGUUUUAGCAUUUUCAUCAAGGUGAAUGUAAUGCAUGCAGUCUACUGGGUUUAUACCUUUAAUGUCUGCUAUGGUCCAUCCUAAUGCUCCUUUGUGCUCUUUUAAAACAUCCAACAACUUACCUUUUUGUUCGUCAUUUAGGGAUGAUGAGAUGAUUACCGGUAGAGUGCUUUCUUCUCCCAAAAACGCAUAUUCCAAUGUGUUGGGCAAUUGUUUGAGCUCGAGUUUCGGUGGUGAUUCUGAUGAUGGGAUGAGUUUCUUUUCUGACGGUGCUAGUUGUUCUACUCUUGACUUCCAUUUAUUAGUGUCCAUGGAUGGUGCUGAGUCAAGUAGGGCGUUGACCUCUUCGACCGAUCUGUCAAUAUCAAAAUUCAAACCAAAGUGAGUUAAGCAUGUCUGUAAAGGGUCAUCACUAAGGUUUGAAAUAAAAGUAUUAUCGACUAUUGUUUCUAUUAAAUCCACAUCAACAAUUCCAUCAUCUGCACUGUGAGGUUGUUUGGCAAUGUUGAAAAUAUUUAGCUCCAUAGUCAUGUUGUCGAAGGACAACUGCAUAUUUCCGGUCCUACAUUGAAUAUGAGCAUCUGCAGUUGCCAAGAAAGGUCGGCCUAGAAUAAUGGGGAUGUGCUUCCUUGAGUCCUGUAUUGGUUGAGUGUCAAUUACAAUGAAAUCAACAGGAAAAUAAAACUUGUCUACCUGGAUAAGCACGUCCUCCACAAUACCACGGGGUAUUUUCGUGGACCGAUCUGCAAGCUGUAACACCACUGGAGUUGGGUGUAAUUCUCCCAGUCCAAGUUUCACGAAUACAGAGUAAGGCAACAAAUUUACACUAGCUCAUAAAUCCAACAAAGCAUUCUCAAUUGUGUGGUUCCCUAUGCUACAUGAGAUAGUGGGGGAGCCUGGGUCUUUGCAUUUUAAAGGAAUUUUAUGUUGGAGUAUAGAACUAACGUUUUCUGUUAAAAAUGCCUUCUUUUGAACAUGCAUACUUCUCUUUUUAGUACAAAGGUCUUUAAGAAACUUGGCAUAAGAUGGAACUUGUUUAAUAGCAUCAAGUAAAGGGAUGUUGACACUUACCUGUUUGAAGAUUUCGAGAAUCUCACCUGUGGAUUUUCCCUUUUUUCCUUUCGCUAACCUCUGAGGAAAUGGAGCUUUGGGAACGUAUUCUCGUGGGUUGGUUUCUUCUCUCUCCUCCGGUGGUGAGUCCUCAACAUUCACAGGUACAAUUUGAUUUUCUUUUGUCACCGGCAUCUCCAUUUUGUUGUCGACUUCCUUUCCUUUUCGCAAGGUCAUAACUGCUUUGACCUCUCCAUGCUGCUGUGGUGAACUGGUACUUGCUUCAUGUACUCCUUUAGGGUUAGGCACUGGUUGACUUGGAAACUUGCCUUUCUCAACAGUCAUUGCCAAGGUCUGAACUGAAGAAGCAAGUUGUCCCACCAUCUUCUCGAGGCUUGAAACUGAUUGAGCUUGUGAGUUGAAGCCCGCUCUCAACUCAUUUCGUAGUCCAUCAAUGGUGCGGUUCUGUUGCUCAAUCGUGGAGUGAGUAAGAUUCUUGAGAUUCUGGAAUGAAUCCUCCCAUGGUCUGGGUUGAGAGUAGUUCUGGUUCUGAUUGAAUGGUCUAAAUGGGGGCUGAGAGGCUUGAGGAUUUUGAGGAAUUAGUUGCAUUUGUGGAGCUGGAGCUGCUGGUCCAUUCUGUUGGAAUCCUUGAGACCAUGAAAAAUUGGGGUGGUCUCUCCAUCCAGGGUUAUAUGUGUUGGAGUAUGGGUUGUAAUUAGAUGGCUUUCUCAUUACACCUAUGGCAUUGGCUUGAUCUGGAUAUGAGUCAGGGUCAUGUGAUUCUGUUGAUUUAGCAGUCGAUAACGAUGCUAUUUGUCGAGCAAGACCUUCAACCAUCUCCUUGACUUCUUUGAUUCCCGAAGUUGACUCGCCAAUGUGAACCUCAUUCACUCCUUUAAUCCUUCUAGUAUUCCUGAGUGAUCGACUCCGUUGUUGGGAAUUGUCCGCUUGUCGCUGGAAAAACUCCCAAAUUUCUGAUGCACUUUUUGACAUUAGCUCUCCUCCACUUGUUGCCAUUAGCCAUUCUUGCACAUUCGGCAAUAAUCCCUCCAAAAAGUAUUGGCAUUGGUGCCAUUUCUCGUACCCAUGAUGUGGACACUUCAAGAGUAGCCCAUUGAAUCGCUCCCAUGUUUCGAAAAACUGCUCAUCUUCUCUCUGCGUAAACUCUGAAAUUUCCCUGCGAAUAGAAUUGGUUUUAUGCACUGGAAAAUAUUUAUUUAGAAAUUUUGUAACCAUUUGUUCCCAUGAUGCAAUGCUAUUAGCAGGCAAAGUAUUUAACCAUGAACGAGCUCUAUCCUUUAAAGAAAAUGGGAAUAAUCUAAGUUUAACAUCAUCGUCUGAAAAAUUUUCAUAUUUAAAAGUUUGACAAAUUGCAUGAAAAUCAUUCAGAUGAUUAUAUGGGUCCUCAUUUUCUAAGCCAUAGAAUGUGGGGAGACAAUUUAGCACACUAGGUUUUAGUUCAAAACUCCUAGCAGCUACAUUUGGGUAUCUUAUGCAUGAUGUGCUCAAAUUAGCUAAGGGACUAAAAUAGUCCUUAAAUGGCCUCUCCUGUGGUGCUUGUAAAUCCAUUUUAUUUUUAACGUGUUUGUGUGUGCGAAGUGUUUUUUCUAAUUCAAGGUCUAUAGGUUCAAGAUUAGGUAAUAAUGACCUACGACCAUGCAUGCAAAAUAAAUAAAAUAAAAAUAAAGAUGCAAACAAAACAAAAAAUAAAGAUGGGAACAAAACAAAUAAAAAAUAAAGAUGAGAACAAAACAAAUAAAAAUAAAGAAGAGGGAGAAAUUACGAUACUAACCUUAUUACGCUGUUACAACCUUUCUAUAAAAAUACACAAAAAUAAAUACGUGAAAUAAAUUAACUAAAAAUUAAAUUAAUAAAAUAAACAAAAAAUUACAAAGAAAGAAAAAAAAUAAAUUGAAAAAUAAAUUACAAAAUUUUAAAGAAGAGAAAAAGAAAAGAAAUACUAACCUUUAAUUUUAGAUUCACUUUUUUUUUUUUUUUAAAAUAAAAAAUACAAGAAAAAAAAUUAAAUGGAAUUAUUCACAAAAAUUAAUUCUAUGAAUUAAAAUUACUUACCUCCCCGGCAACGGCGCCAAAAACUUGUUGUGCAAAUUUUAAUGUACUCGCAAGCGCACGAAUCUAUUGUAGUAUAGAUCAAUGGUGACGAGUGUCGAUCCCACGAGGAGGUGGAUUUUAAUUGUGUAUAGAAUUUAUUUUGCAAAUGGUUGAUUGGAUCUGUGGUGGAAAUUGAUUUGGAAUAUUCUAAAAUUGGAAUUGCAAUGGCGAGAAUAAAUUGUAGAGAAAAUCGAUUAAAUUGACGUACUUGGGUAUCUGGAUCCGUAUCAACAUGCAUCAUGGGCUAAAUAAUCCGUAUUAAUGCCAAUUAAAUCAUGAGGGGGGAAUCCACACCUCAUGAACCACGCUCUAAUCAAUAUGGUGCUAAGGGCUUAUCGUGCCAAAUAAUAAUAACCUUAUACUAGAGAGCCGGUGUAACCAAGGCGGUAUCUAGACAAGAUUAUUAUUAUUUGUCGACGAGAAGUCAAAACAUCCACAAAAACUAGAGGGGAAGAGAAAAUAAAUUUACCAAAUUAAGCCCAUGACACAUGUUGAGACUUCACCUUCAACCCAAGCUUGAAAGAAAAUUAGCCACUCAUAAUUGAAUUAGGGGCAAAAUGAGAAUUUAUUAAAAUACAAAGAAAAUACAAGAUGGAGAAGGAAUUACAGAAAAUGGAUCCCAAAAAUGGAUUCAGAGAUAUCAAAUUAGGGGGGGAGGCCCCCUUUUUAUAGAUACAUGGAGUAAAUCAUGGCCAUCGGAUUAAAAACAGUUUGGACGCUCAGGAUUGCGCCACGUCAUCAGUCAACAGUCCACGGUUUGACCACGCGGAUGAACAGUAACACGGUUUGACCUGGAUGAACAGUAACGCGGUUUGGUUGAAAAUAAUCCUGUGUGAUGCAUGCACCGUACGCGAGAUUUUUCGUCCACUGAUAUGCUGCCACGUCACAAUCAACAGUACAUAAGAAUUUUAGUCCAACAGGAUCGUGACACCUCAUCAGUCAAUGCCACAUCAUCGGUCAAUGCCACGUCAUCGAUCCGUCUAUGUGAACAGUGUCGUGAACAGUAACGUAGACAGUACCGUAUACGUGAAUAGUACCGUACAUGUGAAUAGUGCCAUUUUUCCUUUUAUGCUCCUCCUAAGGUUUUCGACCGUCCUGAGUUCAAAAGUGAUGUCCGUUUUGCCGUCUGAUCUCUCCUUUAUUGUGAAAUGACUAUAAUGCCCCUAAAAUACAUAAAAUACUUAAUUAAAAUAACACACACGUAAUUACAUCACAAGAAGGUUAAAUACAUAAAAGUAAGAGUUGUUAGUAAGACUUGAAAUGUAAAAUGAUGGUUUUCUCCUUUAUAAAUAUGCAUUUUCUAACACUCAACAACUAUGACACAUACUAGUGGGUUGUAAGUUAAAAGUGAUGCAGCAUUUAGUUCUUUUGAUUUAUUAGGGAUAAUAUCUAAGAUAGUAAAAAGUGUAUAUUGUAUAUUUGAAUGUGUUUAAUUUUGCUAUAUGUAGAACUCGAGUAAUUAAGUCUGUAGGGGUGUUUCAACACCUAAGGUCAACUGGUCUGGGAGUCGUUGGCAUAAAGCUCGCUCAUGAGUUAUAGAUAUAUUGUUUGCUUAUUAGAAACCCGAGUAAUUAAGUCCUUAAGGGUGUUUCAACACCUAGUGCCCUAAGGGCGACUGAUCUGUGAGUCACUGGCUUAAAGCUCGCUACAUGGGUUAUAAAUGUAAUGUUUUAAAAUUCAUGUGAAUAAUCUACUACCUAAAGAUAGAAUUUCUAAUGAAUUUUGGAACGAAAAUGUUAUUUUUUUUCUUUUAAUUACUUGAGUACAAAAGAAGUUUGAUGAUAUUCUAGAUAAUGAGUAAAUGACAAAGAGGUAAAGAAAUUUGGGAGAGUUUAUUUGUUUGAUAGUUUAGAGGAUAGACAAACAAUUAUUAACUUACAUUUGAAUUUUAUAAAUCUUAAUUUAAUAUAGUGCUUUUAUUGCUAGCUGCUAGAAAUAAGUUGGUUGGAGGGUGUGAUUAGUAUUAAAAAUUGUUUGAUUAUCAAGUGAUAAAACUAUUAUUUUAUGCCUAUAUUAUAAUUUAUAUUUGUGUUUAUGCAAUAUAUUAGGAAUUAUUAAUUAUGUCUUAAUUAUAUUUAAUUUUGUGUAUUUUUGUGUGUUUAUUAGGUAAAAUAUUAAAUUGGUGUAAUUCAAGAUGCCAAACAGAUAAACGGAUGACAAAUUUGGAUUCUGGAGGUCCGAAAACUUUAAGAUGAGUCAAAACCGGCUUAAAAUUGAGGUUGUGCAAAAGAGUUGACUUUUUCAGUUGACCGAACACUAAUUGGAUGAUAAAAUGAGCUUACAAUAGAUAUGAGUACACUAGAUAGCUGGCAAUUUUGACUAAAUCUCAACCGUUCAUAAUUCAAUGGCCACGAUUGUGCCACGUGGUAAUGGUUGGUGAAGCAAGUUGUAGGAUCCGAAUCUUUGUAUUCGGGUCGACCCGAUCCACCUAAUAACCUGCCAAAUCUCAACCGUUCUUUGGCCAAAUCGGAUGCGUCACAUGAUGCCACGUGUAAUGUUGACUUUUGAAGUUUGGCCAGUGUUGGUUAAUUUUAAACUCAAUUGCUAUUGAUGCCAAUGUGCAAGUAUACACAACAAGUAAUAAAGUGAUAAGUAUUUAAGAUCGUCUCCAUAGGGAUUGAUGUUGCUAGAAAUGUUACAGCAAUCACAAUAGCGCUAUCUAUCUUAAUUUCAAGAUGAAUAAAUUUAAAGUUGUUUACUCCGAAAUUAACAAUUGUAAAGAAAUCAAACAAAUAACUGCAAUAGUAAAAUAAACUAAGUAAAUCGCGUAAAAUAAUCAAUUGAGAAUGAGGUAGUUGAAUGAUCAAACUCUCUUCAUGGGCUGAUUGCUUUCCAUCAGAUUAACACCAGUUGCUACAACAAUUCCUACAGCACUAGGUAGAAUUAUUUUGCAUCCUCAGCUGUCGCGUGUUGGACUUCUCAUACCUUUAAGUAUCCUAACAAUGACCAGUUGUUAUUCUGCAUGAGGCAUGGCAUUGUGAACAUCCAUUCUAUCAACCCUACAAGGUGAAUGACUAUAUCUAGUUCUUCACAAAUCUUAACUUCAAGUAUAGUCCUUAUGGGAUUCAAGCUAAACUUAAUCCAGGAAACUCAAAUUAAGAUCAAGUAUUACUCUAAUAAUAUCCACUGAGACAGUCCCUUUUGCGGCUCUAUCUUAACUUGAACCAUUAAAUAGGUGGUCAGCCGAAAUAACAGUUAUAAUAAUAGCUACUAGAAUAAAAUGCUAUAGCAAUCAUACAACAACUCAUAAGAACAGUCAAAAACCCAUUCCGAUUGUUUGUCACCCAACUACAAGCAAGUUAAGUUCAUACUUUGAAAAAGAUAAACAAACACCAAACUAAUGGUCACGAAAUACAUUGGUCCAAUCAAAGAGUAGAGAAAAGAACAAGUAAAGGAUGAUGAAGACUAAAUCCAAAUAACUCUGUUGGAUUCUUCACUGAUGCAGACUCGGUUCCCUUGAAUUCUGAUUGUUUUCCUCUUUCCCUAUUGAUUUCUCAAUGUUAAUUCCUUGCCGUCAUUUUAUGUGAUGCGCGCCUCCUUUUAUAACUGAAAAUUAGGGUAAGCAAAAGCCUAGGACGCGCGAGAGUCAAAUUAGGAAACUAUAGAUCGCAAUCUUGUAGAUUUCCCGUGCUAAGUUUUCUCUAUCGUUGUUCCAGAAUUGCUACAGCAAUGGCUGCUCCAACAACGACUCUAGCACUGUACUGCUUCAGAUUUGGUUUCACUUUUUUUGUGGCCAUAUUCUUCAUCUUUUGUGCCAGCCUAUUGCUUCCACAUUCUUUCCCUGAAUCAUAAGCUUCUGGAAACCUACGAUUUUACACACAAUUUGAUCACAAAUUAAUCUAAAUCAAGUAAAAUUUAUUAAGACUAAAAUAAAUUAAGACUAAAAUAAAAUGAAUGUUUAUGCAAAAUGUAACAAAAAUGCAAUAAAAACACAUCAUUUGCUCUCUAAGUGAUCUUGUUUUCAGUCUAGAAUUGCCGUAAUAACUCUCAUUUCAUAGAGUUAUCAACCAGCCAUUAGAUCGUGAUCUAAUGGCUGUGAGGAACGCAUGCAUAAAACUUAUGAUGGGCCGCAAAACACUGGAUUAUGAAUUUAUUUUUCUAUAAAUAAAGCCUUAUUUUUAUGUUUUUUAUCAUCUCUCUUCUUCUCAAUUUCUCUCAAUCUCCCUAUGAUCUUGUUUUUCAGGUGUGUUUUUAAUAUUUUUCUUAAUUAUUUUUAUAAAUAAAUUUAGUUUUAUUUUCAAUUUUAGUUGUUUUUAUUCAUUUUAAUUAUGAGAAAUUUAAUUUUAAUAAUUCUUUUUAUUUCAAUUAUGCUUAACUAAAUAAUAAUAGUUAAAGUUUUACCUUCAUAUUCCUUCUUGUCUUGUCUCUGGGACAAGUUUCGUUUGUCUUGUCAUUAGGGCAAGUUUUAUCAGUGGUCAUUCUAUCCAUUUUUUCUUCUUUUACUUUGCAAUGGCCAAUAACGAGGGACAAUCAGAACUUGAUAUCAGUAAUGGAUAUGCUAGCAUGACCAUUGAUGAUGAGGAGGAUGGUGGGUUGAGUAUUGAAGGAGAAGAUGUAGAUGAAGGGAACAAGGUCAAGAUCGAUUACCGAUGUUGCUUGGUGGCAGAUUUCUAACGAAUAAGGUGAUUAAUUUUGCUGUUAUGAAGAACACAAUGGCUUCUAUUUGGCGGCCAGGAAAGGGUGUUUGCAUUAAGGAUUUAUCACCUACGCUUUUUUUAUUUAAAUUUUUCCAUGAGAUUGAUGUAAAUCGGGUAUUGGAGUUAGGACCAUGGACUUUUGACCAGCACAUUCUGCUAGUUAAAAGGUUAGAGGAGAAUGAACAACCUCAGACUGUUCCCUUGUUUUUUGCAUCUUUUUUUAUUCAAAUAUACAACCUACCCAUUGGCUUUAUGUCUAAAUUUUUUUUGAAGAAUAUUGGAAACUAUGUUGAUACUUUUUUGGAUUCUGAUGAGCAUAAUUUCAUGGGAGUGUGGAGUACCUAUAUGUGCAUUCGGGUAUCCAUUGAUGUUAGAAAGCUUCUUAAGCGUCGAAUGAAACUUUAAAAGGAGGGUGGAGAGUGGAUUUGGAUUGAAUUUAAAUAUGAACGGUUGAAUAUUUUCUGUUUCAUUUGUGGACUACUUGGGCAUACUGAAAAACAAUGCCUGAAGUUGUAUGAUUGCCCGUCGGGUGAGGUUGUGAAGGCUUAUGGUCAUCGGAUGAAAGCGCCGAACAAGAGGAGUCAGAUGAAUUCCGAUGAAAGGUGGCUGAGAUCGGAGAUGCCAAACGAGUUCAACAAUGGAAAAGGUAACAACGUGAAUUUUGCUGGUAUGGCGAUUGAUUCGGUUAUUAGCACAAAUCCUGAAGAUCAUGUGCUAAAAAUAAGGGAUUAUAGUGUCAACGCAGGGAUUGCAGGGAUCAAUAAGGAAAGCAGUAUAUUGCUACCAAAUAGGAGCCAUUUCGUAUCAAUGACAAGUCAACAGUGGGAAUCACUAAUGAUUUGUGCGGGAGUAAGGAUUUUGAAGAGGAACAAGAAGCUGGCAUUAUUGUUAAUGAUUCAAAGAGAAGACGAUCUUAAGUUGGGCAUCGUAGCACUGUGGGCCUUAAUGAUGAGUCAUCUACUCAAGUGAUGGAUAUAUCAGUUGAACUAAAAAAUGGGCAAACGGUGGGACCUGUGACCUAGGCCCACCGAGAUAAAUAAGCAUGCUAAGCUGGAAUUGUCGUGGGCUGGGCCACCCAUGGAUAGUUCAAGUUCUAAUAGACCUUGUCAGAUGUAAAAAACCUUCUAUAAUUUUUCUUAUGGAAACUUUGUGUAGUAAAAAUAUAUUAGAGAGUAUCAAGUUAAAGCUGGGAUUUGAUGGGCUUUUUGUGGUGGAUUGUGUGGGACGUAGUGGUGGGCUUGCUCUUCUUUAGGAUGCUAAUACUAAUGUUUCUUUAUUGAGUUAUGCUAUAAAUUUUGUUGAUGUCCAUGUUGAGGUCUCUAGUUUGGGUGACUGGAGAUUGACUGGUUUCUACGGUUUUCCAAAAUCGUGUCAUCGUCGCCAGUCUUAGGACUUGUUUCGACUUCCUUCUUCUUCCUCUGCUGCCCCAUGGAUUUGUCUUGGGGAUUUUAACGACUUAUUAGCGGCCAGUGAGAAAAGAAGUAGACUUGAUCAUUCUAAUUGGAAGCUUCAGGGGUUUAAGAGUGUUAUUUCUAAUAGUAGUUUGCUUGAUGUUGGGAUGGAAGUUUACCAAUUUACAUGGGAGAGAUCCCGAGGGUCAGCUGAUUGGGUGGAGUUACGGCUUGAUAGAGUUUUCGCCUCGGCUGAGUGUAGUAAAAAUAUAUUAGAGAGUAUUAAGUUAAAGCUGGGAUUUGAUGGGCUUUUUGUGGUGGAUUGCGUGGGACGUAAUGGUGGGCUUGCUCUUCUUUGGGAUGCCAAUACUAAUGUUUCUUUAUUGAGUUAUGCUAGAAAUUUUGUUGAUGUCCAUGUUGAGGUCUCUAGUUUGGGUGACUGGAGAUUGACUGGUUUUUACAGUUUUCCAAAAUCGUGUCGUCGUCGCCAGUUUUGGGACUUGUUUCGAAUUUUUUCUUCUUCCUCUGCUGCCUCAUGGGUUUGUCUUGGGGAUUUUAACAACUUAUUAGUGGCCAGUGAGAAAAUAGGUAGACUUGAUCAUUCUAAUUGGAAGCUUCAGGGGUUUAAGAGUGCUAUUUCUGAUAGUAGUUUGCUUGAUGUUGGGAUGGAAGGUUAGCAAUUUACUUGGGAGAGAUCCCGAGGGUCAGCUGAUUGGGUGGAGUUACGGCUUGAUAGAGUUUUCGCCUCGGCUGAGUGGCUUAAUCGUUUUGCUCGGGUUAAUUUUAUGAGUUUGGAGGCCUCUUGUUCUGACCACUUGCCUAUUUUUAUGGAUCCAAAUCCUAUUGUUCAUAAUAAUAGGCAUAAGAGAUUUCGUUUUGAGAAUUUCUGGCUGCGGGAGGGGGAAUGUGUUGAGGUGAUUAAAAAUAGCUGGGCUGCUUCUUCAGGUUGUUCAAUUCAGCAAAAGAUUUUGAGGUGUGGUGCUGACUUGUUUCAAUGGGGGGGUUAUUUAGCUCGAGAUCUUCGCAAGUGUAUUUCCGAUUGUAAAUGUCUCAUGGCUCGAUUAAGGGGGCGGCGUGACCAGGUUGGUGUGGAUGAAUUUGUUGAGGCCAGGAAUCGUUAUAAUGCGCUCCUCCAUAGUCAUGAAGUCUUCUGGAAGUAGAGAGCAAAAUCCCUUUAGCUUAAGGAGGGAGAUAUGAACUCGCGUUUCUUUCAUGCCACAACUUCAGUAAGGAAGCGUAUGAAUUCUCUUAAAAGGUUGUGUAAUAGUCAGGGGCAUUGGUGCUCUAAUCAGGAUGAGAUUGAUGGAAUGAUUGUGGAGUAUUUCAGUACGUUAUUUAAGACUGAAGGUUGUAGCAGUGCUGAUGUCUUAGCUUGUGUAAAGACGAGUAUUACCGAGGAUUAGAAUAUGACACUCUUGGCUCCAUUCUCUGCUAUUGAAAUUAAAGAUGCCCUUUUUUAUAUGCAUCCAGAUAAAUCUCCAGGGCCUGAUGGUAUGAAUCCUGCAUUUUAUCAAAAGUUCUGGCAUAUUGUAGGUGAGGAUGUGGUACUAGCUUGCUUGACUUUCAUUAACAAUUGUUCCUUUCUUGUAGGAUUGAAUGACACCUCCAUUGUUUGGAUUCCGAAAAAGCAACAGCUUGAGACUUUAGCAGAUAUGAGGCUCAUCGCGCUAUGCAAUGUGCUCUACAAAAUUAUUUCUAAAAUGCUUGCUAAUAGAAUGAAGACAGUGCUUGCUUCGGUUGUCUCUGAUGCCCAAAGUGCUUUUUUUCCUGGCAGAGCAAUCACAUAUAAUAUUAUUAUCUCGGCUGAAAUUAUACACUUUUUGAAGCGAAAGAGGCAAGGAAAGAAUGGUAAUGCGGCUCUUAAAAUAGAUAUGUCUAAGGCAUAUGACCGUAUCGAGUGGCAGUUCCUCCAAGCUAUAAUGUUGAAAAUGGGGUUUGCGGAUAAAUGAGUGAAUUUGAUAAUGCUUUGCAUUUCUACAGUUCAAUACAACAUGCUUCGUAAUGGCAAGGAGGUGGGGCCGAUUAUUCCUAGUAGAGGGUUACGCCAAGGUGAUUCGUUAUCCCCUUACCUGUUUAUCUUAUGUGCUGAAGGGUUGAGUUCCCUGAUUUGUGUGCAUGAAAAGGCUGGUUUGAUUCAUGGUGUAAAGGUUGCUAGAGGUGCUCCAAUAGUGUCCCAUUUAUUCUUUACAAAUGAUUCCUUCCUGUUUUUUCGAGCAAACCAGCAGGAAGCAUAUUUGAUAAAGAGUAUUCUAGCUUCUUAUAGUCGUGCUUCUGGGCAAAAAGUUAAUUUCAGCAAAUCUUCUAUUUCAUUUAGCUCUAAUGUGCUUACUGAUGUUGUUAGCCAUGUGUGUGGGGUGCUGGAUGUUAAUGUUACCUCUGAUUAUGGUGCUUAUUUGGGUCUUCCCUCUUGUAUUUGAAGAAAGAAAAAAGUUGUGUUUCAAAGCAUCCAUGACAAAGUUUGGCAGAGGCUUCAAGGAUGGAAUACGAAGCUGUUAUCUAGAGGCGGAAAAGAAGUUUUACUAAAAACAAUGGCGCAAGCAAUGCUUAACUAUGUAAUGAAUGUCUACCUUCUUCCGCUUGAUCUUUGUAAGGAACUUGAAAUUAUGAUGAACUCGUUUUGGUGGGGUAGUAAGCGCAAUGGUGGUGGUGGAAUUAAAUGGAUGAAGUGGGAGCGUCUAUGCAAGCCGAAGGAUUUUGGGGGGUUAGGUUUCAAGUAACUCCAUAUCUUCAAUGUUGCAAUGUUGGGUAAACAUGUGUGAAAUCUGUUGACAAACCCAACUUCUCUUGUUGCAAAGGUUCUUAAAGUCCAUUAUUUUCCUAGAUCCUCUGUUUUUUAUGUUAGCUUGGGGUUUAAUCCGAUUUUUAUUUGGCGCUCCAUAAUGGCUUCAAAGGAUGUUGUUAUUAAAGGUAGCAGACUUCAGAUUGAGAGUGGGCAUCAGGCCCUCAUUGGGAAAGCUCCUUGGCUUCCUGACUCUGAUUGUGGUUUCAUUACUACUGAUCUGCAUGAGGAACUUGUGAUGGCUCCAGUAUGCAGUUUGAUGAUGGUUGAUCAGCGUCGAUGGGACUAUGAUGUUGUGACCGACUUAUUUAAUGCCAGAAAUAGAGAUCUUAUUCUGAAAAUACCGCUUAGCACUCGUAGGGAUCGUGAUGUGUGGUAUUGGUUGGCCGAUCCUCGUGGUGUGUUUUCUGUUCGUAGCUGUUACAAGAUGAUGACUUAUGAUGCUAAUAACUCUUCCUCGAGUUUUUGGAGACGCUUAUGGAAAUUGAAUGUGCCGAGUAAAGUGAAGAAUUUUCUUUGGCGUGCUGUUAAGAAUGUUCUGCCUACAACUGAUAACCUCCUUAGUCGAGAGUUCAGGUGCUGCCUACUUGCUCUGUUUGUAAUGCCUAUAAUAAGUCUGUAAUUCAUGCUUUGGUGGAAUGUGGUUUUUCCAAAUCUUGCUGGAUUGCUUCUCAUGUUGGCUAUGUUGGUCAAAUGUCUUCUUUUAUGGAGUGGCUUGGUAUUAUUUUUUCUCGUUGUAACAAAGAAGAGUGUGAGCUUGCUACUAUGAUUUGUUGGAGGAUUUGGGCUCAUCGUAAUGAUAAAGUUUGGAAUAAAAGAUGUGGUCGGUUUUACCAAAUUCUCAACUCUGCUAGCCACCUUUUACACUAGUGGCAAUCUUUGAGAAAACAAGUUAUGUUUGCUGAUGUAGAUGAGAGCAGCUUGGUUCAGGGGUUGUGUGCUGGGAAAGACCUCAUGUUGGUUGGGUUAAAUGCAAUGUUGAUGCUGCUGUGUUUUCUUUUCAAUCGAAAAGCAGUUUUGGCUGUGUGGUUCGCAAUUCUGAUGGUACUUUCUUGGCUGCAAAGUGUGAUAGUUUUGCUGGCAGUUUUCGGGCUAGACAAGCAGAAGCGUUUGGUGUUCGGGAGGCACUUAGCUAGUUGAAGAAUCUGCAACUUCCUCGUGUGGUAAUUGAAUUGGACUAUCUUCAAGUUUUUAAAGCUUUAACUAAGAACCAGUCAAGUCCUAAUGGCUUUGGACUCAUAAUUGAGGAAUGUCGUUUUUUAGCUCAGAAUUUGGGAGAAAUGAAAUUCUCAUUUGCCAGUCGAUCUGCGAACACUGCUGCCCAUAGUGUUGCUAGGGUGGGGGGUUCUAUGUCAGGUUCUAGAGAGUGGACUGUUGCUCCAUCUCGUUGGUUACUGAAAAAUUUGUAAUCGUUUUUGUUUAAUGCAUUUCUCUUAAAAAAAUAAUAAUAAUAGUUAGGGUAAGGUGAAGCUCUUAGGAAAUAAAUAUGAUUUAAUCAAAUUCUAUUUUUAAUUUUAUAAAUUAAAUUAUUUUCUAUUUAAUUUUAUACAUAUUUUUUAUUUUAAAAUUUUGAUUUAUUGUAGACAAAUAAGGGAGUUUGGCACAAUAAAUUCUUAAUAUAUUAAUAUAAGAUAUGGUAAAAUUGUAUUUUGACUUAUUGCAGACAAACUAAAUUUGGCACAAUAAAUAUUUAAUCCAUAAUGAAAUUAAUGGGAAAAUAAUAUAAUUUAUAAAAUUAAUCUUUUGGGCAAUAAAUCUAAAAAAAUGUAAAAAGAAUUUAUUAAAUUUUAUUUACUACUAAGAGUGGAUCUAUAACCCUAACUAAUUUAAUAUCAUAAUUACUUUAUUGAAAUCAAGUUGUAUAAGUUUUGUUUUCAUUUUUAGAUAAAGUAAAAUAAACAAAGUAAAUAUUUUUUCUGUAGAUUGAUCUCGGACUCAUCGAGCUAUAAUAUAACAAGACACUCUUAUACUUUGAAGUUACAAAUCACUUUUAAUUUAUGUCAAGUUUUUGACGCCGUUGCUAGGGAAAUGUUUUUUUUUUGUUUCAUUUUUUUGUUUUUCAUUUUUUCUCUUUUUGUAAAUUUUCAUUCACGCCCUUUUCCUCUUAUUAACUUCUGUUUUGUCCACAAAAUCUUUCAGAAUCUUUACAUUCAUAUCACAUGGCUUUGUUCUAAACUUCUAAAAAUUACUAUCUGGCCAUAAAAUUAUAAAGAAUUUGCAAACGAUCCCUAGACGAAAUUUCUCAUAAUAAUGAGACUUGGACUUACAUCUUGCACUUAUUUGGACUCAAUUUGGACCAAUUUGGCCUCAAUUUAGACUAAGCAAACUGAAUAUUGACUCUUAAUUUUUUUUAUUUAAUUUUUCGUAUUUAUUUUAUUUUAUUAUACGGCUGGUUUGACCGCCAAAAUUGUUAUUUAAUUUUCAAUUUUUUUUAUUAUUUUGCAUUUAUUUUAUGCUUUAUUUUAUAUUGUUAAUUCGUAUGGUGGGUUCAACCACCAAAAUUAUUAUUUAUUUUUAAUUAAUGUUUUUUUUAAUUUUUUGUACACUUAUAUUAUUUGCAUAUUUAAUUUUCCUUUUUUUUUGCAAUUUUCAUUUAGUUCUUUUGUUACUAAUUUCUUUGAAUAUUACCUUUGUGAUAUAAUUAUUGCAUGAUAUGUUGGUCUCGAACUUCAAGUGGCAGGUUAAUUCGUAGAUCUCAAUCACCACCACCAAUCACGGACGAGAUACAAGAUGAGAAAAAAAAACAAGGAAAUUAAUAAUGUUAGCAUACCACGGCAUUGAAGUAACAUAAAAUAAAAAUUCAUCAGGGAAAGAAUCAUUGAUAGGUGUUAUAUCAGUGCAGUAUUUAGAUGUGAGUCUUGAUAAAUGAUCAACAAUGACAUUUUUGACACUCUUUUCAUUUUUUAUGGUAAGGUCAAAUUCUUGAAGUAACAAAAUCCAACAAAUUAAUCUUGGUUUGGCAUCCUGUUUUUUUGGACUAAUUUGUCGGAUUUGGUUACAUCAAAAAUUUGACCUUACCAUCAAAGAUAAAAAGGGUUUCGAAAAUGUCGUUACUGAUAAUUUAUCAAGACUCACAUCCAAAUACUACAUUGAUAUAACACCCAUCAAUGAUUCUUUCCUUGAUGAAUUUUUAUUUUCUGUUACUUCAAUGUCAUGGUAUGCUAACAUUGUUAAUUUUCUUAUUUUUUUCAUCUUGUAUCUCGUCCAUGAUUGGUAGUGGUGAUUGACAUCUACGAAUUAACCUGCCAGGUAAUUAUAAGUUAUCUCGACACGUUACCCAAAAAAAUGUCUCAGUAUGUGUGACACGUUGAACUAAGGUAUUCAGAUACUGCCAUUGCACCCAAAAAAUGAAAAUAAAAUAUGCAAAUAAUGUAAGUGUACAAAAAAUUAAAAAUUAAAAUUAAAAUUAAAUAACAAUUUUGGUGGUUGAACCCACCAUAUAAACUAACAAUAUAAAAUAAAGCAUAAAAUAAAUGCAAAAUAAUAAAAAACUGAAAAAUUAAAUAACAAUUUUGGCGGUCAAACCAGCCGUAUAAUAAAAUAAAUACGAAAAUUAAAUAAAAAAUUAAGAGUCAAUAUUCAGUUUGCUUAGUCUAAAUUGAGUUCAAAUAAGUCCAAGAUGUAAGUCCAAGAUGUAAGUCCAAGUCUGGUUAUUAUGAGAAAUUUCGUCCAGGGAUCUUUGUACAAAUUUUUUAUAAUUUUAUGGUCAGACGGUAAUUUUUAGAAGUUUAGAACAGAGUCAUGUGGUAUGAAAGUGACGACUCUAAAAGAUUUUGUAGGCCAAACAUAAUUUAAUAAGAGGAAAAGGGCGCGAGUGAAAAUUUACAGAAAGGGAAAAAUGAAAAACAGAAAAAUGAAACAAAAUAAAAACCUUUCCCCUGCAACGGUGCCAAAAACGUGACACAAUUUAAAAGUAAUUUUUAACUCCCAAGUAUAAGAGUGUCUUGUUAUAUUAUAUUUCGGUGAGUCCGAGGUCGAUCCAUAGAGAAAAGAUUUACUUUGUUUAUUUUACUUUAUCUAAAAAUGAAAAUAAAACUUAUACAACUUGUUUUAUAUGAAAUUAUGAAAUUGAAUUAGUUAGGGUUAUGGAUCCACUCUUAGUGGUAUAUAAAAUUUAAUAAAUUCUUUUUGCCAUUUUUUUUAGAUUUAUUGCCCAAAAGAUUAAUCAAAUAAAUUGUUAUUAUUUUCCAUUAAUUUUAUUAUGGAUUAAGUAUUUAUUGUGCCAAAAUUUAAUUUGUCUACAAUAAGUCAAAAUAUCAUUUUACCAUACCUUAUAUUAAGAUAUUAAAAAUUUAUUGUGCCAAACUCCCUUAUUUGUCUACAAUAAAUGAAAAUUUCAAAAUAUAAAAUAUGUAUAAAAUUAAAUAGAAAAUAAUUUAAUUUAUAAAAUUAAAAAUAAAAUUUGAUUAAAUCAUAUUUAUUUCCUAAGAGUUUCACCUUACCCUAACUAUUAUUAUUUAGUUAAGCAUAAUUGAAAUAAAAAGAAUUAUUAAAAUUAAAUUACUCAUAAUUAAAAUGAAUAAAAACAACUAAAAUUGAAAAUAAAACUAAAUUUAUUUAUAAAAUAAUUAAGCAAAAUAUUUAAAACACACCUGAAAAACAAGAUUACAGGGAGAUUGAGAGAAAUUGAGAAGAAGAGAGAUGUAGAGAGAUGAUCAAAAACAUAAAAAUGAGGCUCUAUUUAUAGAAAAAUAAAUUCAUAAUCCAGUGUUUUGCGGCCCAUCAUAAGCUUUAUGCAUGCACUCCUUACAGCCAUUAGAUCAUGAUCCAACGACUGGUCAAACUUCAAAAGUCAACAUUACACGUGGCAUCAUUUGACGCGUUCGAUUCGGCCAAAAAAUGGUUGAGAUUCGGCGAGUUAAUGGGUGGAUCGGGUUGACCCAAAUACAAAGAUUCGAAUCCUACAAUUUGCUUUACCAACCAUUGCCACGUGGCACAAUCGUGGGCAUUGAAUUAUGAACGAUUGAGAUUUAGUCAAAAUUGCUAGCUAUCCAAUGCACGCAUAUCUAUUGUAAGCUCAUUUUAUCAUCCAAUCAAUGCUCGGUCAACAGAAAAAGUUAACUCUUUCGCACAACCUCAAUUUUAAGCGGAUUUUGACUCAUCUUAAGGUUUUCAGACCUCCAAAAUCUAAAUUUGUCAUCUGUUUAUCUGUUUGGAGCCUCAAAUUACACGAAUUUAAUAUUUUACCUAAUAAACGCACAAAAAUAUACAAAAUUAAAUAUAAUUAAGACACAAUUAAUAAUUCAUAAUAUAUUGCAUAAACACAAAUAUAAAUUAUAAUAUAGGCACAAAAUAAUUUUUUAUCGCUUGAUAAUCAAACAAUUUUUAAUACUAAUCACCAAGUCCCAACCUGACCCAAUGACUAAAAUGAAGGGCUCUAAUCCUUAAAAAACCCGACCCUUCAAAUUAAGCAACAACUUGACUUUAAUAAUUUUUUAAUAUUUUAGUUUUUUUUUAAGACUAGGACUCCUAUUCUUCAUCUUUAGUAAUAAUAAUAUUAUUAUUAUUGUUCCUUUUUUUGGUUGGAUUUGUUUGUAAGGAAUUUAAUAAAUUAUUUUUUAUUCAACUUUAACAAUAAUAGAACAUGUAACAAUCUAACAAAAUUAACCAAGCAACAUGUAAAUAAAUCAAAUACAAAUUAACAAAUUUAAUGUGAAACAAAGACAAAUAUCCCUAAGGUGUAGAUGUAACCAUCUAUGUGGUGUAUGUGUGUCUUAAUAAUAUUUUUAUUUUAAAACUUAAUUUAAAUAUCAAGACUUGGGACAGAGCUUUUUGGUAAAACCUUAACUCUAACACGAAUGUAAUUAGGUCCCGAUUCCUUAAGCCCUAACCCAACGUUUAACCCUUUAAAUUUGAGCUAAAGUAGGUCGGAUCAAUCAGGCCGAGGGUCAGAUCAAUCACACCGAGGGUCGGAUCGACCCUUUUUAUCAUCCUAAUAAUUACCUUAAAUUAAAAUCACAUUUUUAAAAAAAUUAUAUAAAAAUUAUUCUUAUACAAAGUAACAAUAUAUGACCCAUUAAGAAACGAACCUUUUAUCCACAAACAAAAUUUCAAAACCCACUUAUAGACCUCAAAAGCAUUUUAGUCCAUUUAAUCAAACAUAAAAAUACAUGUACCAGCUGGUUAGCUUACACACUUCCCAUACAAAGGCACUGGUCUUAUUUCAUUAAAUAAUAAGAGUAUCACCAAAAAGCACUUCAAAUAAAAUUUUAUUACUUAUUUGAAGAGUCACAUCAAUAUUUAAGGCUCCAAAAGACACUUCAAUUAAAAUUUUUCAAAUAAAAAAUGAUUAUCUCUCUUUAAAUUUAGAGAGUUAUUUUCUCCCUCUUCAAUUUAUAUUUUAUUACUUUUCAUUGGAGAAAGAGAGAGAAGUGUUUUAAUUGCUAUUGACUUUUCCUUUUAAAAAAUAAUUAUUUGAUUAAAAUAAUAUUAAUUUAUUUCUAUUUGAAGAGUCUUUUGGAGAAUAUCAUAUUUUUUCACCCUUCUAUUUGCCACAUAGGUAAGCAAAUAGAUAUUUGAAGAAUAAAAUUUAUAGAGGCUUUUGGAGAUGCUCUAAUAAUAAGGGUCCCUCUAUGAUGCCGUAAUUUUUUUUACGGCAUCAAUAGCGUAAAAAAUAUGUACCGUUGGAUGUAAUCAAAGGUACAUAUUUUUUAAUAAUAAAAAUAUUUAAUUAUUUCAAAAAUAUUAUAACUGGUUAACAAACCGGUUGAAAAGAUUAUUUUAAAUUUUAAAAGAAAGACAAUAGAGAUACGAUAAAACAUGAUCUCUUUCUUUAUCUCAUAAAAUUCACCAUCUAUUUAUCUCUCACGUUGUUGUAUUGAAAUUGGAUUCUUGAAUGCUGUCUCAUUUCCUAAAUGAUUAACCAUUGACAAGAAUUGUAAUCUCAUUCUUUUAGUUCAACUUUUUCUCAGUUUAUUGCCUUGAGUAUUUGAUAGGUAGGCUUUUACAUGUGUUGGUAGAUGGUGACAUUAGACAAGGAAUCAUGGAUUUGAUGUUCUUUGUUGUACUAAAUUCAUAUCAAAUCUUGCUUUAAUGCUAUAAUAUAUUUAGUUACUACCUUACAUUUUCUUUUUUCACAUUUGAAAACAAAUUCUUUUUAUUCAUAGGAUUACGUGACGUGUGCAGUCUUGAAGUGUGAACUUCAAAGCAUAAAGUUGCAUCGCAGCAUGUUUGAUAAGGAGCCAAGGAGGUGCUCAUGCAACUUCAUGCAGACCAUGUUUCACGUGCGGGAUGAAUUUGUUUGAGUGUCAAAACAAUAGCGGGAGAAUCACCAUGUCAAACUAUUCGUUGCUGGUUUGGAAGAGAAUCAAAUUGUGGUUGUCAUGUUUGAUUUGGAUUCGGUCACUAGGUUUAUCUUUAAAUAUUUUUCUUAUUUUAUUUUACUAUAUUCUAGCUGAUAUUGUUGGCUAAGAACCAAAGACUUGUGAUGUUAGCUACUAUAAAUAAGUUUCCCGCUGUGAAUAAAGAUAGUCAGCAAUUAUCAAACCUAACUAUCUCGGGUCGUUCUCACCAAAAGCAGAACAACGUUAUCAUCUUUUUAGUCAUUGUUAGCGAGCAUUUGACUGGGACCUAUCAAUGUUAGGCAGCAAAGUUCCUUCCCUGCAUUAGAUAGAAAACAAAACAACCUAAAUCAGGGAAUCAAGUGAAACCAAGACUUGGCUCAGUCAGCACUCAACAGUUAGCCACUCGUGAUUCGUCUUUUUCAGUGCGUGUUAGGAUCCUAGUCUUAGUUCUACAUUAUUUCCUUUUCUGUUAAGGAUUAGUUACUAAGUUAUUAUGUUAUUAGGAAUUAUUAUUUUAGUAGGAUUUCUUUCGCUCUAUAUAAGGAAUUGUUGUUACAUUAAUAAAGAAUAAGAAUUGCUUCAAAAACUCUCAUUUUCCCUCUGGCCACCUCUCCUCAUUAUUUUUCUCUUCAAUUCAUUGCUUCUAAAUUGCUAUCUAAGAGCAACAGCCUAACAGUGCGCUUUCUCUUUUCGACUCGAAUUCAUCCCUUCGACAAACGACAAGAUGGCAGGCAGCAAAAACAGGGGUUGAGGACCCGGUUAAUCGGUGGAAGCAGCAACCCACCAAUCGUUUAAGAAAAAGGGGCAAAGCAAGCAGAAGCCCACUUAUUAAUCUCAGUCUCUUAUUCCAUUCUCCUUUUCUCCACCCCCAUUUAAUCAUCUCCAGCAGCGACGCGGGAAAGGUUAAACCGGCAUGAUCUUGCCCACUUAUUAAUGUAGUUAUCUCUUUUUUUUCUUUUUUAAUAUCAUUAAUGUUGCCUUUCUCUUUUCGUUCCUCGCAAAAACAACAAGAGGGAUCAAAAUAGAAAGCACACCCGCAAGCCGAAGAAAACCCACACCAAAUAAGAUCUAUAGAAGAUAGGAUAACAUGUUCAAGCUUCUGGAACAGAGGCUACUACACGCUUCAUGGAAGCAAACUUGAUAAGGUGGUUGUAGCUGUCUUUUUCCUUGAACAAUUUGGAGAAAUGAUGUUUGCAAUACCAGAUGCCUUCCAGGGCUGCGUAAUUUGAUGGGCUAAUGGAAUAACCACCAUGUGAGCACUUGAAACAUGACUUGUGAUGGGCCUGGCUUUCCAUUGCUACCUUCUCCGAUGGACACACUAUUUUACUGCAAGAAGCACAUGUUUUUGGGUCCCAGAUAACAUGCUGGCAGCUUUGCUAGGCGAUCUUGUCGAGUUAACUUCUCAAUUAACUUUGCAGGUGAUUGGAAAUUCUUGUUAAAGUUACCCGACUCCUUGAAAAGUUGUUCAAAGUGAGGCUUAAAGUAAAGAACACCUUCCAUGGAUGAGUAAUUGCUCAGCUUGAGUGUGCCUUUGCAGUGAGAGCACUUAAAGCAAGACUUAUGAUAAACAAUCCCAUCAGCAGAUAAUUGCUCAACUGGAUAAACUGUCUUCUCACAGACCUUGCAUUUCUGUUGGGUACCAAUAAAAGACAUUGCUUUUUGAAUUUUGGUUGAUAACUGCAAAAACAAUAUUGAACGUUUUGUUAUUAGCAAACUUGCAUGAUUAAACUGUACUGGCCUAAAAUAUGUAAUAUUACACAGUAUAUACGAUUGGAUACACAAAUGUGUAUAGUUAUAUAGAAAUUUUACAAAUUUUAAUUUCAACUUCUUUUCUUAAAGAUAUUCUGGAUUUAGUAAACAAAAGUCACGGUUGUCCUCAAACUACACAAGAUCAGAUGUUUUCACUUAAAUGGUAUCAAAUAAUGAAGAAUAAUAUUACAAGUUAUGUAUCUCUAGAAAGCUGUAUUUGUCAGGAGUUCAACUAAUUUUACGGUUUUCUAUUUGAAGUUUUCUACAUGACGAUAUGGCUUAAAGAAUGGUGACUGCUCAGAAUCAUUGAAGCAACCAAGUCUAUGAUUAUCAGCCAAAUUUCAUGAUUUAACUAUAUUGAUCUAGAACAUAUGAGUUUGCAUAUUAUAUAUAGUACGAUAGAUAAAUUCGUCCAACUAUAGAACAACUUUAAAUAAUUAAAUUCAGACUUUUCUUCUUAAAGAUAUUCACAAUUUAGUGCGCAAAGGUCACAACUGUCUUGAACCUAAACAAGGCCUGAAGUUUCUGAAUUAACUGAUAUCAAUUAACAAGGAAUAAAAUUACAAACUAUAUAUCCCUAGAAAGAAGUAUUGUCAGGAGUUCAAAUAAUUUUACGGUUUUCUAUUUGAAGUUUUCUACAUGAAGAUAUGGCUUAAAGAAUGUUGAUUGCUCAGAAUCACUAAAGCAACCAAGUCCAUGAUUAUCAGCCGAAUUUUCAUGAUUUAACUGUAUUGAUCUAGAAUGUAUGAGAUUGCAUGCUAUAUAUGUUUGGAUAGAUAAAUAUGUCUAGUUACGACAGAACGUUACAGAAUCAAAUUCAGACAUCUCUUCUUAAAGAUAUUUACAAUUUAGUGUACAAAGGUCACAACUGUCUUCAAACUACACAAGGCCAGAUUUUUUUAAUUAAAUGAUACCAAUUCCUCAAGAACAAAUUACAAGCUAUAAACCCCUAGAAAGUUCUAUAUUUUAGAAGUUCAAAUAAUUUUACAUGUUUAAUUUGAAUUUUUCUACAUUAAGAUAUGACUUAAAAAGUACAGAUUACUCAGAAGCAUUGAAGCAACCAACUUGGAAGAUAUAUUAGUUCUUUCUUUCAGCCUUUCCCCUUAAGGACAACAACCGCCAAACAUUAUAUGCUUAAUUUUCUUAUGUUUCUACAUUUUUUUUUCUUUGGAAAAACAGUAGAACAGUGUUUAAUCUAAAGUAUUGGUUAUUACAUGGUUACACAGCCGAAAUCUCCUCAUGACCAUCUCUCUAGUCAACAACAAAAUAAAGAUAAAAAUCCUAAAUAUCAAAUUAUAAAAAACAGAUGCAGUACUAACUUUCUUUAUCAAUAUCAAUGGCUUUCUUGUAGUGAUAGCUCCCAGAUUUAUCUUGAACAUAAUUUUUUUCAAAACUAAAAAACUUGAUUAAUUGAUAAAAAAAAUCUACUUAAAUUAAAUUGGAUUGAUUGACUAAAAACUCCACUCAAAUUUAAUCUUUGAUGAGAUCCUGUCUGUUGUAUACAAAUAUGAGUUUGAAUUGUGUUAGUUUAUUCUGCCAACAGUCAAACUGGUUAACAUAAACCGUUUGGAUCGUGUAGUGGGCUCAAGUUCGGCAAAUUUCAGUGACCACCCUACAAUUUCAAACAUUCUCACAAUUUCACUUAAAUAAUAUAUUUUAUUUAAUUACACAAAAUUCAAUAAAUAUAUGAUUUUUGUAAAAUAUAUGAACAUGUAUAUGAAACUGAUAUUCAUAGGAAUUUUUAAUUACACUUUAAAAUUUAUUUUAUCUAUGUAUCCUACAUCAUUCAUUAUCGACUUUUCAUAAUUUUAUUAAGUAGUAAUUUCAAGCCAAACAUAAAAGAGUUUCAACAUUUAAUUAAUUUGAAGACUCAAUGUGAGACUCAAAAUUGCUAAAAUAGUAUUUAAAUCAUAUUGUUAAUGUUAUAAGAUAACUUGAUUAUCAUGUAAUUAAACUAAUUUCAAAAUUUAUUUUCAAAGCAUGCAAACAAAUGUAAUCUCUGCUAUGAGUUUUUUUUUUUUUUUUAAUGUAUGGUGUUUGUCCAAUGGUGAAAUAUAAAUAAUAGCCUUCAAUUUCUCAUGUGGUAUAUUUUAUUGGCUUACUAGCUUAUAAAACUAUAUGCAAAUGUUGAAAAUUGGACUGCUGCAUAAAAUAUCAUGUGAUAUAUCUUAUUUGACCUUAGAUUAAUGUAUCGAAUGCCCAUAAAACAUAGUUUACUUUGUAAUUCUACAAAUUAAUUUUUACUAAUAUUUAUAUUUCAUUUAUCAAUUCAUAAUUCAUCGGGAUAAUUACAAAUUUAAUUUCUCUCCUAUUAAUAAAUAGGGGUACAUACAAGUACUCAAUAUCUGUGUGUGUGUGUGUGUGUGUCACUUAAUAUGUUUUAAUAACUAUAAGAAUAAUUUCCUCUACUAACUUUUUCCCAUACAAUUUUUAUUACAUUUUACCAAUUGUAUUUCUAUACUACUAUUUUGUAAAAGAAAGCUAUAAUUGACUACUCAAAAAUAUCUUCAUAUUUUUUAUUACAUUUACAUUAAAGUUUUAGUAUAUUAGAAAUGCAAAGUUUAAUUUUCAAUAACAUAACACUUUAACGAAAUCAACAUAUUAAGUGCAAUGUAUGAUAGAUGAUAUGACACUUUAAAUAUGCUACAAAGUUAAUAGGGAAAAAACCACCCACACCUCUAAAGUUUGCUUAAAUAGUAAAAAAUAAUCCCUUAAAAUUAAAAAAUAUAAUAUAUAAAAUAAGAUAAGAUAAAAUUUAUAAAAUUUUAUGAAUAUUAAAAAAUUUAUUUUAACAUUAUUAAUUUGUCAUAUUCUUUUAAUAAUAUUAAAAUCUAUUUCACAUACGAAUAAUAUUAAAUUAUUAUACCUAACAUUCAAAGUAAUAUAUAAAAUUUAUAUUUUUUUUUACAAUAUCUUAUUUAAUUAUGUCUAUAUUAAUAUCGAUCUUAAAAUCAAUUUUUGGAUUAAUUAAUUUUAGUAAAUCCAUCGGGAUAGACUAAAAAUAACUUAAUAUGAAUAAAAUUUUCAUCAUACACGUUAUUUUAUUAAUUAUACUUAUUGUAAUAUUUUAUCUAUAUCAUAUGAUAUUUAUUUAUCAGUUCUAUACUAUUACUAUAUUUAUAUUUAUUUAGGUUGUUUUAAUUAAAAUGUAUAAUAAUCAUUAUUUGUUUCGGGGGGGGAAUAAAAGGGUCCCCAAAAAAAGGGAAAAAAAAAAAUUUUUUUUGUUUAAAAAAAAAAAAAUUUUUAAAAUUUUUUGAANNNNNNNNNNNNNNNNNNNNNNNNNNNNNNNNNNNNNNNNNNNNNNNNNNNNNNNNNNNNNNNNNNNNNNNNNNNNNNNNNNNNNNNNNNNNNNNNNNNNAAAUUAAAAUUGUAUAAUAAUCAUUUAUGAAAUUAAGAGAGUUAGUAUAACUAUUCAUAAAACUAAAUGGUUUUAUAUGAUCAUUUAAGCAAACCUUAAGGGUGUGAAUGGUUUUUUUCUAAAUUAAUAUUAAUUUAAAAUUUAUAAAUUAAUAUUUUACCUGCUAUAUUUUAAUUAAUUAUUUAAUUAUCUAUUAUAUUAAAUGAUUAAAUUUCUUACAUUUAAGGAUUCACACUAAUCCCACUGUCAAUGCUGUAAAAACACAUACAGCAUCUUAAAGAAAUCCUAAUAAUAAUAAUAAACUCUCCGGAAUUGAACCGAACGAGUCUCAGAAAUGGCAUCGAAAAGCAAGAUUCUAUCCAUCGGGGGGACAGGGUAUAUCGGUAAAUUCAUCGUCGAAGCGAGCGUGAAAGCCGGCCACCCGACGUUCGUGCUCGUGAGAGAAUCCACACUCUCUGCUCCUUCCAAAUCUCAACUCCUCGACCACUUCAAAAACCUCGGCGUCAAUUUCGUUGUCGUGAGUUAUCAAUUUUUUUUCAUUUUUUAUUAUUUCAAAUCAAAAGAUUAAAAUUCACCAAUUGAUCAACUAUACAUCUAGCGCCUAACUAUGACCAACCUCAAUCAACGGACGUCCAUCAACUAGAUUAAUUCUCAAAAACCUGACACUUUCUAGUGCGUGGAAGACACAAAGUCCUCAAAGAAGAUAACUUCACAAUAUAUACAAACUCCUUGUUAUUAUUAUGCAGGGAGAUGUUUUGAAUCACGAGAGUUUGGUGAACGCAAUAAAACAAGUGGACGUGGUGAUAUCGACAGUCGGUCACGCUUUAUUAGCCGAUCAGGUCAAGAUUAUUGCUGCCAUUAAAGAAGCCGGUAACGUUAAGGUAAAAAACAUAAUUAAUAUCAUUAAUAUAAUUAAAUUAAUUAAUUACAAACCAAUAGCAUGAACGCAGUUAAUUAAUUGAUGUUUGUAAAUUAUUUAUAAUUCAGAGAUUCUUCCCAUCAGAAUUUGGAAAUGAUGUUGACCGAGCCCAUGGCGCCGUAGAGCCAGCAAAAUCAGCGUACUACGACGUAAAGGCGAGAAUUCGCCGAGCCGUUGAGGCAGAAGGCAUUCCGUACACUUACGUAGAAUCUUAUUGUUUUGAUGGCUACUUCCUUCCCAAUUUGUUGCAGCCUGGGGCCGCUGCCCCCCCGAGGGAUAAGGUUGUCAUCUUAGGCGAUGGAAAUCCAAGAGGUAACAUAAUUUAGUUAAGCUCAUUUUUUAUCCAACAGUUUGUUGAUUAAAAACUUCAAAUAUUUUUACUAGAUUUGUUGAAAAUAUUACGGUUAAAACCUUCCUUUUUUUUUUUUAAUAUCAUCCCUAUACUAAAUGAAUCCUAAGUAAUCAAUGUAGAUAUUAAGAUAAAAGUUUUAGGUGAUUAUUAGAUACUUGAGCUCCUGAACUACCACGUCAUGGCUACCACAUAAACGAGAGAAAUUUUAGAAUAUUUUACAUGUAUUACAACUAAUUAAUGUAUGAAUGACAUGUGUAGUUGAAUUUAAUACAACCACCACUUUCAUGAUGGUUUUUCAAAAUAAAUACACAUAUAUCAUGACAUUAUUUGCGUGUUGUAUAGUUGACAUGGUACCUCAGAUGUAUUUCUCCACAAACGGAGCUUAACUUAUGGUCUAAUUGGUACUACUAUUAGGAAGCACUUGUAUCCUUAACUUUUAAGCCAAGGUGAUUUUAUCCAACAGUUGUUUGAUUAAAAACUUAUAAUACGCUUAUUAGUUUUGUCAAAAAUAUUACAAUUAAAGAUUUUUUUCUUUCCUCCCUAGGACCCUAAAACUAAAUGAACCCUAUGUAGUCAACUUAGAUAUCAAGAUAGAGUUCUAAGUGAUUACCAGAUACUGAACUGCCACAUCAUGGCUGCCACACAACAAUUUCAAUCAGAGUCUAAAUAACUUCAUUGCAAAAUAGUUAAAUGAAUCUAACUUAGUUUCGUCAUUUGAUUUUCAGCUGUUUAUAACAAGGAAGAUGAUAUUGCAACCUACACUAUCAAAGCGGUUGAUGAUCCGAGAACCUUGAACAAAAACCUUUACAUUCAGCCUCCUGGUAAUAUUUACUCAUUCAAUGAUCUUGUGUCUCUGUGGGAGAGAAAGAUUGGCAAAACCCUCGAAAGGGAGUAUGUUUCAGAGGAGCAGCUCCUAAAGAAUAUUCAAG